AAGAAUACACUUAUACCCUUGGGUUAACUUUUGACUGGGGUAGGGUUUUUGGAAUAUGAAAUUUAGGAUUCUAAUAAAUAUAUAAAUAAAUUCUUAAAAAAUAUAUAAAAAAUUUUAAAAAAUAGUUUCAAACAUAAUUUUUGAUUUUCAAAAGAAUUUUUUUUAAAAAAAAAAUCGAAACAAUUCAAAAAAUAAAAUUAGAAACAAGUUUGAAAUUGAAAAAGUAUAAUUCGAAAACAAUAAAAAAUUAUUAUUUUUUUAAUUUAUUUAAAUAAUGAUUUAUUACAUAUAUAGAGAACAAAGAUAUAAGAUUCUUUUACCACUUAAUGAAGAAUGUAUUUUUGAAAAUGUCCCUUUAAUAGUGGUAAAGAUGAAAAAUAGUAAACAUGAAAUUUCUCCAAAUCAAAAGUCUAAUUACUAUAAUAAUAUAUUAUUAUUUAUAGUAAUAGUUUAUUUAUUUUAAACAUAUAAAUUAUGGAAUGACUCCAAACAUAUAUAAAUGAAAAUGAAAUAUUAAAAAGUGUUACAAUUUAAUUUUAAAUUAUAUAUAUAUAUACAUAAUUUUUUUACAUAUCAUUUUUCCCUCCAUUAUGUAAUUUUUAAUCGAUCAAUAUUUUUUUUCUUUAAUUGUCAAAAAAUAUAUAUUAAAUUAUACAUAAUCUGACGACUAAACAAAUGUAUACAUAACCUUACUGAAAAAAUUAAACAAAUAUAAACCGAUUACCAAAGGAAAGCAAAUAACAAAAUUUAUUAAAACUUUAAUCUAUUGAAAAAAAAAUACUAUGCUCGAAUUCGGAGAAAUGAAUAAAAGGCAAUAUAUUCAAAUAAUAAACAAAUCGACUAGAUAGUAUAAAUCUAAUUAGCUAAUAUAAUAUUAUUUAAAAUUAUACAUAUAAAUUACAGAGUGAUUUAAAAUAAAAUUAAAAAUAUUAAUCAUUAGCUAAACAAUUUCCUUCUUCCAAAAUUAAAAUAUUAAAAAUUAAACAAUUUUCCUUCUUCCAAAAUGCUGAAAUCAUUAGCUCAAGCUAGCAAAAGCUGAUAUCGUGUAAAUAUGGACGGUGGCCAAAAAAGAAACAAACCAACAUCAAACCUUAAAAAGGUUCCACAUUCUCACUUUGUCAGCAAAUACUAAUGCGAGGAAAAGGUACGAAGCAAACAUGUAAUCAAGGCAACAUUAUCAAACGCGACCUCGUUAAGAAAAAAGAAAAAAAAGAAUGAACUAAGUAAUCAUCUAUGUUUAUCACUGCCCUAGUUAUAGAUAAACCCAGCCCAAUAAGAGCCCACUAGCGGGUUAUGUGGUAAAUUAGUAAAGAAGAGCCAGAGCCAUAUCCACCACCACCGAGCCAAGAGGAAAAUGGCAAUGGUGGUGGCCGUGGGUGUGCUCCACAACCACCUCCUCUCUGCGUCUUCUCGAAUAGUUUGUUUAUCUUCUUGUUCUCGCCCUCCCCUCUCAGUCUCGUCAGGUGUUGCGAAGGUGGUUCUUAAAAAGGGAAAGACACAGCUCUUCAAAGACGGAAGUCCAAUGGUGUACAGUGGAGCCGUGGACAGGAUCAUCGGAAAACCGCCUCCACAGACCGGAGAUGUUGUCAUUGUCGCCGAUGGCACCGAGAAUCCCAUUGGCUGGGGGUUGUAUAACUCCGUAUCUAUGUUCUGUGUUCGCCUUAUGCAGCUCCAACACGAAUCCACCAGGUUUCUUUCUUUCUUUCUUUCUUUCUUUGGAGUCAACUUGUUUUGCUUCAUAUUGAUUCCUUUUCUUCUUAUUGGCAGAGAUCCUUCGUGUGCACUCAACAUUGAGAAGCUUCUCCAAACUAGAAUCACUCAAGCAGUUCAGUUGCGGAAUAGUUUGGGACUCCCCUCGGAUAAUAAUACUAAUGCUUAUCGUCUUGUCAACAGUGAGGGAGAUAGGUGUUCUCACUCACUCACUCACUCACUAGCUAAAUCUCAAUCAAAAUUUUUUUUUUUCAAUCUUCUUCUAACAUAUCAUUAUCUUUAGAUUGUCUGGAUUGAUAGUGGAUGUGUUUGGAGAUAUAGCUGUGGUUGCAUCCUCCGCCGCUUGGCUUGAAAAAUACAGGAGUCAUGUGGAGGCUUGCUUGAGAUCAAUCAAUGGUAUUAAUCACAUUAACUGGAGACCCUCUCUUGAUGUUCUCAAAGAAGAUGGCUUUGAUAUCUCCUCUUUGAAACAAACAUCAUCUGCUCCUCCUCUCCCCGAGAGAUCAAUGGUCUUUGCUUCCCCUUGGCUAUCUUUAUGGAAACAAUCAUCAGGGAAUGAUCUUUCUUUCUUAUCCUCCUCCCCCUUAGGUGGUGGAAAAUGGUAUCUCUUACGCAAUCUCUCUAGAGGGACAGAAGACAGGGUUCUACACUGAUCAACGCGAAAACCGCCGCUUCAUAUCGACCAUCUCCGCUGGCAAAAGGGUUCUUGAUCUUUGCUGUUAUAGUGGUGGAUUCGCACUAAAUGCUGCGAGCGGAGGUGCCACCAGUGUCCUCGGUGUUGAUUCAUCUUUGCCUGCUUUGGAGCUCGCCAGAGAGAAUGUAAUCCUCAACCGUAUGGAUCCAGAGAAGGUUGCUUUCUUCAAACAAGAUUCUACAGAGUUCAUGAAGGGCGCUCUGUCAAGGGAAGAGACAUGGGACAUCGUCAUCCUAGACCCUCCUAAGCUAGCUCCAAGGAAAAAGGUUGGCCCCUUGGGACUUGUUUUCUUUUUCUUUUUCUUCUAUUGAUUUACAGGAAUAGUUAUUGAGAGGUUUUGAAUAUGCUCUGCUAGGUUUUACAUAACGCGGCAGGAAUGUACAGGAAUCUCAACUCGUUGGCGAUGAGAUUGACAAGUAGUGGAGGUUUGUUGAUGACAUGCUCAUGUUCAGGUGCCAUGACACAGAGCGGGAAGUUCUUGGGCAUUCUUCAGAGCGCUGCAGCUAUGGCGGGAAGGAAGAUCACUGUGGUUAGGGAGGCAGGAGCUGCUUCUGAUCACCCUCUCGACCCAUCCUACCCUCAAGGCCAGUACCUCUCCAAUAUUCUGCUUCGGGUGCUCUGAGUUUUCGUUUCAACAAAUGCUCAAUAUUAUUUUUUAGGUUUGUUGGGGACAAAAGUAAUUUAGUUUGAACUUGUUUGUUAUAGAUAUUUGGAGUAUCAGCUCUCACCGAAUGAACCAUUUUUGCAAGCAAGGAUUUCAUUGAGUAACGUUUCUUAAUUUCACUUAUUUUCUUUAUAAAAGUGAAAAGACAAUUUCAAAAAUUAGAACAGUUUUAUUUGAGGAAAACCACUUCAAUACAUUUUAUCCGAAAUUUUAGAAAAGAAUAGGUACGAAGAACAACAACAACAAAAAAGAACAGUUAAAAGUGAAAAAAUUUAUAAUUUCCGCAAAUGAAAUUAUAGUAUAGUUGAGCAUAUGAUUGAACCACGUCACUGUACGAUAAUAAUUCAAUGAUUCAUGAGAAUUCAUUUUGUUCUAUCUUCCUUUGGUUAUAUAAAACAUAAUUGGCCACAGAAGAAUUAUCAAAAGAAACAGCUCCUCUUGAUAGCAUUUGAAGGUAAAAUCAUAAUUGUAUUUGAAUCAAAAUGUUUGAUAUUUGUCAAUUGUCAAGACACUGCACCGCUAUUGGUCAGCUUCACUAAACUCUGAAGUCGACAUUUGCUUAAUUAAUAAUUCACUAAUCACUCAAUUUGUUGCUUAAUUAAUUAUUGCUACUUAAUUAUUUUCUCUGUAAGAUUACAACAUAUCACAGUCGUUUCGACUGUUUGUACAUCUUCACUGAUAAAAGCUUGUAUUCCCUCCGUUUCACUUUAUUUGUCCAUCUAGGUUUUUUGACACAUAUUAAAAAAUGAUUAAAUUUAUUAUUUUGUUCUUAUUUAAUACAUGAGAGUGAAUUUGAAAAAACUAGCAAAUCGAAAACAUAAAACAACACUUAAAAUGAAAAAAAUAAUACGAAAAAGAGGGAGCAUCAACAAAGCACACCAUCGUUUGCUUAAUCUGAAAAGUUGAGGUGGCUGAUCUGGGACUUGUGUAUGAAACAAGUUACUAAGGAGGAUCACUUGAACAAGCAGCGCGAUGAAUUGUAGUGUUGAUGUCAUUAGAAACAAUCACAUAAUAAGAUGAAUGUUUCCUGGUAUUAACUAUAAAAGCCGGAAAACCGGAUCAAAAGAAACGAUAUAAUAUAAACGACGUUAAGGAAAAUAUACAGACGAUUCAAAACCGUAACGGAAAUGAAACCAUGGAGUCGAGACGAAUCUCUUUCCUUAACUCUUAAUAUUCGCUCCGUUAGUGCGACGGAUCUGUACGAAUAGGAGUCCCAGGAUAAAACCAUGAUAGGUUAUCACGCAGCACUCGUGAAGAACCUCUAACGAACUAAUAUUUCUACGAAACACUCUCUAGACUUACGCUAUAGGAUUUGCUGGUUUUUGUUGUGAAAAAACGUCAAAAGAAAUGAAGGAGGAGACGAGUUUAUAAAGAAGAGAAGACGAGCCACUUUCCGUAACUGAUGCCGCACGUGCGCACGUUGGCGGAAAUCUCGCGAGGAUCUCGGAGGUGAGGCGUUACGAAACUUCCUCCGCAAGAUCAUCUUUUCUCGUUUAUACUUAUCGUCAAGAAGAGAGACAGCGUGUUGUUUUUAAACGAACUACGUGUUGUUUAAAAUAAAAUGCACGUCGUUUUUUCGGGAAUUAAAUGGCAAAGCGUUGAGCUUAACUUGGUCCAAAAAAAAUAGUUCUUAUCGGGCCAAAGGCUCUCCACCCAAGGCCAAGCCCAAGCCCAAGGCCAAGCCCACGCCGAGCCGGCCGGACGGCGGCGGCGCGCGCGUGGGGAAUUCUCUCUUCCUCUGAGCCGUUUAACACAUGGUAUGUGUGAGUGCAUAUAUAUACAGCUCGACUCUUCUCUUCCUCCCCGAUGUGGGACUUUGUAAGUUUCAUUUCAUUAACCACACAUAAGUGGGCUAUUAGGCACACAAGCCCAAUCAUUUGUUAUUCACAUAUUUUAAUUAAACCCAAUUGGUUUAAUUGAUCCAACAAUCCCCCACAUGAAUAGAAAUGACUCUUCUAAACAUAUGCAGACUAAAUGCAGACUCGAUAGACUCUAAAAAAAACUAUACUUAUUCUAAUCUGGACUAGACUAGACAGACUUAUCGAGAGUAUUUGCGAAAAUUCAAUUGUGUUUGAGUUGGUGGCAUUUUUAAGCCUUGAACCACUCAUAGUUAAUAUCUGUCGGGUUUACUUUACCAGAAGGUGAACAUGAUGUCUUGAACCAACCGGUGUUUUAUGUAAACCGAGACAACAGGCAUAACGCAGCUUCAUUUUCUCGUAGAACUUAGUUCUCUAUUGUGUUCAUUGUGGUCCUGAACUAUUCCUGGUUUUCAUGAGUGAACUUAGAGAAUAUAGCCUUGCAUUCAUUCUCCUAGAAACGGCCUCAUUUCACACUCAUUAGGUGAUUGACCAUGAAAAGUAUUGAGUAAUACUCCGCUUAAGAAGCUAUGGAAUCAUUAAAAGCUUAUGCUUAUCCUUCUCACAUUUGUUAGCACUUUUAUCAUCUUAGGAGCUGGGAAGAGACUACUUGUCUCAAGUGCUUUGGUUAGAUUCUGUUUGAUUUUGUUUUCCCUUUGAACCUACGUCUUGGGAUCUCCAGUCAUGAUAGGUAGGGUUGCAAUCAAGCAUCCUCAUUCGUUAUAGGCUUUAAACCCAUUCAUUUUGAUGAUUUAGCAACAACAUCUCGUGACAAACCUUUAGUAAAUGGAUCCGCUAGGUUGUCAGCCGAUUUGAUGUACUCUAUUGUAAUUACACCAGUUGAGAUAAGUUGUCUAAUGGUUUUAUGUCGUCUUCUGAUGUGACGAGAUUUACCAUUGUAGAGAUUAUUCUCAGCCCGAGCUAUAGCUGAUUGACUAUCACAAUGUAUGCGUAUAGCUGGCACAGGCUUCUCCCACAUAGGAAUAUCUUCCAAAAAAUUUCUAAGCCAUUCAGCUUCUUCCAUCGUCGAUCUGGCUAACACUGUUUGUUUGGUAGAUUUCCAUGAUAUUGCUGCUCCCCCUAGUGUAAAUACAUAUCCACUUGUGGAUUUUGAGUUUUUAGAAUCUGAUAUCCAGUUAGCAUCACUGUAUCCUUCUAAAACUGCUGGUUCUUUACCAUAGUGGAACCCAAAAUCUUUGGUGUAACGUAAGUAAUUGAGUACCCUCGUUAUAGCUUUCCAGUGUGUAUGACCUGGAUUACUUGUAUAUCGACUAAGUACGUUUACUGCAUGCGCUAGAUCUGGUCUAGUACAAUUUGUCAAGUACAUGAGACUUCUGAUCACACGUGCAUACUCGUUUUGUGAAACCGCUUCACCUGAAUUCUUUGUCAAGUGCAUUUGGGGAUCUAACGGAGUUUUUGCCGUAUUAUUAGAGUAAUUUUUAAAUCUCUCUAAUAUUGUUUGAGCAUAAUGAGAUUGGGUUAAGAUAAUUCCGUUUGAAUUUCUUGUGACUUUAACCCCGAGAAUUACAUCUACUAAUCCCAAGUCUUUCAUCUCAAAUGUCCCUUUGAGCAUGUUCUUUGUUUGAUUGAUAAUGUCUUUAUUGCUUCCAAUAAUGAGCAUAUCAUCUACAUAUAGACAUAGCAAAACAUACGCAUUUUUGGUAGUUUUGUAGUAUAUGCAUUUGUCACAUUCAUUUAUUUUGAACCAUUUGACAUCAUUGUAUUGUCAAAUUUUUCGUGCCAUUGUUUAGGAGCUUGUUUAAGCCCAUAAAGUGACUUUACAAGUCGACAUACUUUGUCUUCUUGUCCGGGAAUGACAAAACCUUCAGGUUAUUUCAUGUAAAUUUCCUCUUCUAAAUCACCAUUUAGAAAAGCAGUUUUUACAUCCAUUUGAUGGAUUUCUAGGUCUCUCAAGGCUGCGAUUGCUAUCAUCAGUCUUAUUGAUGUUAUUCUCGUCAUUGGAGAGUAUGUAUCAAAAUAGUCAAGGCCUUCCUUUUGUCGGAAUCCUUGAACUACAAGCCUAGACUUGUAUUUUCCACCAGGUUUGCGUGUCAUUAUCCAUUUAUUUCCUAAUGCUUUGCAGCCAGGUGGUAAAUCCGUUAUGUAAUACGUAUAAUUUUGCAUAAUCGAAUCUAAUUCACUCCUGACAGCUUCGUUCCAAAAAGGAGCUUUUGGUGAAGCCAUGGCUUCUGCCAAAGUUUUUGGAGCAUUUUCUACUAAAAAUGCCAUUAGGAAAUCUUCUCCAAAAGAUUUUUCCUUUCGAGCUCUUUUGCUUCUUCGAGGUUCAUCUUUUCCUUCAUUUUCUGAAAUAUCAUUUAUAGAAAUCUCGACGUUUGUCUCAGUUUCUGAGUUCUUGUCGUUGUCUCUUUCUUCUCGAGUUCGUUUUGAAUCUUGUUUUUCCUUAUAUGGAAAAAUAUUUUCGAAGAAAGAUGCAUUUCUUGAUUCCAUGACUGUAUUUUCAUGAAUGUCUGAUAUUUCAGAUUUAUGUACCAGAAAACGAUAAGCAUUACUGUUAUGUGCAUAUCCGAUGAAGAUGCAAUCCACUGUUUUAGGUCCAAUAGUGACCUUCUUUGGUGGCGGUACCGCAACUUUUGCCAGGCACCUCCACACUUUGAGGUAUUUAUACGAAGGUAACUUUCCUUUCCAUAAUUCAUAUGGAGUUUUGCCAGUUACUUUGUGUGGAAUCUUGUUGAGGAUAUAAUUAAUGGUAAGCAACGCUUCCCCCCACAUGUUCUGGGGUAACCCAGAUUCCUGCAACAUAGCAUUCAUCAUCUCUUUUAGAGUUCGAUUUUUGCGUUCAGCAACUCCAUUAGAUUCUGGUGAGUAAGGAGCUGUAGUUUGAUGGAUUAUUCCAUGUUCUUUACAGAAUGCAUUGAACGGACCAUCAUACUCGCCUCUUCUGUCGCUUCUAACUACUUUAAUAGUUGUUUUAAGCUGAUUCUCGACCUCGAGUUUAAAUUCUUUAAAUUUUUCCAAGGUUUCAUCUUUGCUAUGUAAUAAAUAAACAUAACAAUAUUUUGUGCAGUCAUCUAUGAAGGUCACAAAGUACUUUUUACCACCUCUAGUUUGUAAGUAUUUUAAAUCACAUAAAUCAGUGUGAAUUAAAUCUAGAGGUUUAUUAGUUCUUUCAACACGAGGUGAUGGCGUUUUUGUGAGCUUUGCCUGUACGCAUACUUCACAUUUUUGUUUACUUGUUUUGCAUUUAGGAAUUAGAUUUAAAUUCAUUAAUAUUUGUAUAGACUUGUAGUUUACAUGGCCUAAUCUUUCAUGCCAUAUAUUAAAAGACUCAACCAAAUAAGCAACUGGCUCAUUCUUAUUCAUUGAAACUUUUGGAGCUACAACUUUUGGAGUGACUGUCAUUACAUUCAACUUGACAAGUCCACCCUUAACAUAUCCCCUUCCCAAAUACAUCCCAUUCUUCCUAAUCACGAGCUUAUCCGCCUCAAAACUUGUGGCGAAACCAUUCUUGCUGAGCAAGGUUCCCGAGACUAGGUUCUUCCUCAUGUCAGGCACAUGCUUCACAUUUGUCAGAGUGACCUCACGUCCAAAUGUCAUCUUCAAGAUCACAUUGCCGCGUCCUUCAAUCUUGGAGACUGUAGUGUUUCCCAUCUUGAGCUUCUCCUUAGUCUUGCUUUUCUGAUAGGUGCUGAACAUCGCCCUAUCGGUGCAAAUGUGGGUGGUUGCACCAGUGUCAUACCACCAUUCCUUGAGGUUGUUGCUUUCAACCAUAUUUGCUUCAGUCACCACAGCAACGAGAUCCUCCUCAGUGAGAUUUGCCUGAGCCUUCUCAUCUUUGAUCUUUUUGCGACACUCAACAGUUUUGUGCCCCACUUUGUGGCAGUAGUGACAUUUCCCCUUGAACUUCUCCACAUUCGCAUUGAUCUCAAUACCUUUGUUCUUGAAGUUUUUUUCAGAAGCCUUCAAGGCUGCAGCAGUUUUGGAAGGCUUGGCAGGAGAAUAGGCGUGGGCCUUUCCUUUGCCUUUGUGCUCAGCCAUGUUGACACUGUGCUCCUUUGUACCGACCUUUGCAGCAGUUCGGUUUCUGGAUUCCAUCUGAAGCCUCGUGAUGAGCUCCUCGAGCCCCAUCUUCUUCUUCUUGUGCUUCAAGUAGUUCUUGAAAUCCCCAUAGCUUGGAGGAAGCUUUUCAAUGAAGCUGAGAGUUGUGAAUGUCUCGCAGAUGGACAUUCCUUCAGCAGCGAUUUCAUGGCAAAUGAGCUGAAGCGCUUCCACCUGAUCCAUGAUGGGUUUUGAAUCCACCAUUUUGAAGUCGUGGAAUUUUGAGACUACAUACUUCUGGCAGCCAGCGUCCUCACCUCUGUACUUCUUGUCUAGUGAUCUCCAUAACUCUUUCGCCGUGGGGAUCUCACAAUAGACACGGUACAAUGGGUCAAUGAGGCGACCCAAAAUGUAGCCUUUGCAGAUGAAGUCGGAAUGCACCCAUAUGUCAACAGUUGCGAGGCUGUGAACAUCAUCAAUCCCGUAAGGCAUAAGGGGCUUGUCCUCCUGGAGGAACUUCUCCAGCUUCAUCGUUGCCAGGAAGAACAACAUCUUCUUCUGCCACGUUUUGAAGCCUUUGCCAUCAAAUUGGUUUGGCAUCAGUCCUUGAGUGAACACACUAGGGACAGCCGGAGGAGUUUGAACUGCCACCGGACCACUUACAGUUGCUAAAAUUGAACCCGUCUGAUAAAGACCAGCACCGAAUAGGAUACGGCGAGUGGUUUCAUCAGCAGCAUUCCCUGCAGAGAGGAAAGUGCUCGUUGUUGCUGCAGUGGUUGACGCUGUGAUGUUUCCAGCGGUUGUCACGCCAGUUGCUGCAGCGUUGAGUGGAGUCUGAAUGACAUCCAAGGUGUCCAUGGGAGUGGGGGUGUCGUUCUCGUUUGUCAUUUUCCUGUAGAGAAAACAUGAAAACGGAUUAGUACUCCAUUCAACAAUUACAUAUUAUUUUAAUGAAAAUAAUAGUCUAAAAUCGAUGUUCUUUUUUGGUGUUUGAACCAAAUCAUAUCGAUAUAAGUUUUGAAAAAACGUUUUGCAAACUCGCUUAAAAGCGUUCGCAGAAACCAUUUUUAUAGACUUAGAAUGUUUCACAAACUCGCUUAAGAAAGCGAUCUUGAAACAAUUCAUUUAUAGAACGUUUCGCUAUACUGCUAGAAAACAAUCCGCAAAGCGUUAUUAAUAAAUAAGAAACGUUUCGCGGAAGGGCUAUAAAGCAAAUCGCAAACUCGUUUUCACCAAAAUAAGAAACGUUUCGCGGAUAAGCAUAUAGCAAAUCGCAAACAACGUUUGAUUGAACCCCGAAAGGUUUUUACGAAUCGUAUAUCAAAAAACGUUUUCCGGUAGUGCUACAGAGCAAAACGCAAACCGUUUAUGAGAUAAAUAACAAAACGUUUCGCGGAAGUGCUAGAAAGCAAAUCGCAAACAGCGUUCCAAAACCCGUAUUUAUAAAUCGUUUUUCAACCCGAUUCGAGCUUUAAACGUAAAGCGAUUAAGAGUUAAGAUUGUAAAAGCCGGAAAACCGGAUCAAAAGAAACGAUAUAAUAUAAACGACGUUAAGGAAAAUAUACAGACGAUUCAAAACCGUAACGGAAAUGAAACCAUGGAGUCAAGACGAAUCUCUUUCCUUAACUCUUAAUAUUCGCUCCGUUAGUGCGACGGAUCUGUACGAAUAGGAGUCCCAGGAUAAAACCAUGAUAGGUUAUCACGCAGCCCUCGUGAAGAACCUCUAACGAACUAAUAUUUCUAUGAAACACUCUCUAGACUUACGCUAUAGGAUUUGCUGGUUUUUGUUGUGAAAAAACGUCAAAAGAAAUGAAGGAGGAGACGAGUUUAUAAAGAAGAGAAGACGAGCCACUUUCCGUAACUGAUGCCGCACGUGCGCACGUUGGCGGAAAUCUCGCGAGGAUCUCGGAGGUGAGGCGUUACGAAACUUCCUCCGCAAGAUCAUCUUUUCUCGUUUAUACUUAUCGUCAAGAAGAGAGACAACGUGUUGUUUUUAAACGAACUACGUAUUGUUUAAAAUAAAAUGCAUGUCGUUUUUUCGGGAAUUAAAUGACAAAGCGUUGAGCUUAACUUGGUCCAAAAAGAAUAGUUCUUAUCAGGCCUUUGGUCCGACACCCACGCCCACGCCGAGCCGGCCAGACGGCGGCGCGCGCGUGGAGAGCUCUCUCUUCCUCUGAGCCGUUUAACACAUGGUAUGUGUGAGUGCAUAUAUAUACAGCUCGACUCUUCUCUUCCUCCCCGAUAUAGGACUUUGUAAGUUUCAUUUCAUUAACCACACAUAAGUGGGCUAUUAGGCACACAAGCCCAAUCAUUUGUUAUUCACAUAUUUUAAUUAAACCCAAUUGGUUUAAUUGAUCCAACAUUAACUACACUUCAAAGGCAGCCAAAGUUUCUUCCCUCACAGAACAGCCUUCAUAAGUGGGCUAUUAGGCACACAAGCCCAAUCAUUUGUUAUUCACAUAUUUUAAUUAAACCCAAUUGGUUUAAUUGAUCCAACAUUAACUACACUUCAAAGGCAGCCAAAGUUUCUUCCCUCACAGAACAGCCUUCUUAAUAUUUCUAUAUAAACACUAAAUAAACUAACCAUCACUGCCCUGCCCUGAGAAGCUAUCUUUUAAAAAUCAUUGGGUGAAAAGAAACAUUUCACAACUAUUGUAGGAACUGGAACCAAACAUGGCCAAGUCUCACCAUGACACCAUCUUUGGUUUUUUAUCACAUCGUUGUUUAUUCCUUAUCUAAUGCACUUAUAUAUUUAGACGCGUAUUAGAAUCUACGUCCAUGGUUAUCUCCUCGACUGUUCAGACCAUUUUGCAUGGAUUGUCAUGUGGUGAAAAGAGUGAAGACUUAAAUUGGAUGAUUUAUUAUGCUUGCAUGGAUGCUUUAUUAUGCAUAUAUAAACUGGAUUUGUGAACUGUGCAAAGCAAAAUGGCAAAUAAUUCAAGCAGAGAGACAUGGGGAGAAUCUAAACCACACUUUCAUGACAGUAUCAGAAACCUUUGCUUCUCACUUCUUUUGCUGAGCCUUGAGUUCUUUUACCCUCUCUUCCGUUGCUUUCAAUGCUUUCCCGUAGAUAUCAAUUAACUGCAAAAAUGAAUAAGAGCCACCAAAUUAGGGGAAAAGGGGAAAAAAAAAGAUUUAACAGAUUAAUGAUGUCUCAAGAAUUGUAACCUAUAUAUACCUCAUCGAUCUCUUCAGGUGAGAUAAUGAGCGGUGGAGACAUCAUUAUGCCAUCACCUGCAACACGGACUAACAUACCGCGUUUCUGGCACUCGGCUCCAAAAUAUGCACCAACACCUGUAAACAUCAAUUGAAAACGGUGCAGGGAUGUGUGUAAGGUAAUGAGUUUAGGAGAGAGACACUUUUGUUGUUUGGUUGGUUAUUAGAGAUACUUUACCCCAUUCUGGGGGAAAUGGUUCGUUCGGAGAUUUGUUGUCUGUAAACUCAGUCCCCAGAAUCAAACCCGUUCCUCUUAUCUGAAAACCAUCACAAAAAUGUUCAAUCAAAGACUUCAACAGAUAGGCUGGUGAGUAACAUUAUACCUCUCCAAUAAUAGGACUACUCUUGGCAAAAGCUUUAAGACCAUCUUGAAACCUUGGGGAAACUUUGGCGACAUGUUCUGGUAUGUUCCUCUCCCUGUCAUAUGAAUAUUGAGCGUCAAGAAAGUGCAGAUAAGAAUAGAGAAAUGAGAACCAUAAUCACCAACUCACUUGUAUAUCUUUAACGCUUCAAUUGCUACAGCACAUGAAACUGGAUGACCAGAGUAAGUAAAUCCAUGCGAGAAAGCACCUGAAAUACCAAAACAAAAAAUGGGUUUUAAGAUCUCAGGAUACUGGAAUAUUACAAAGUUGAGCAUAACUAGCCCAUACCUAGCUUGUUGCUUUGAGAAUAUAUGACAUCUGCUACUUCUUGACUCAUAAGAAUGGCACCAAUAGGCAUAUAUGCUGAAGAGAGUGCCUGCAUCAUAUAUUAAAAACAUUUACCAAUUGUCUGGAGAAGUUUCGCAACAGUGAUAGGAAAUCUACAAAUCAUCUGACAAAAUCUCACCUUGGCUAAGGACACAAGAUCUGGCUUGAUGUUGUAUUUGUCACAGCCAAACAUUGUCCCCAGUCGCCCAAAUGCACAAAUCACCUUAUAGACCAAACAUAAUUAUAACGGGUAAUGAUAUCUUUUUUUUUCUUCAUCGUGAUAGUAAACAUGGUUCAAUAAGAUAAUGCAUAUACCUCAUCAGCAAUGAACAGGAUGUCAUACUUCUUAACAACAGCUUGAAUCUGCAGUACAGAAAUGAGAUAAGAAAAAAAAACACAUCACAUCCACAAUGACCUUACCACGAAAAAGAUUAAUCAUUGCAGUUUGGUAUUUAUGCCAACAAAGGUUUCGAAAUUGACCUUUUCAAAGUAUGUAGCAGGCGGAGGUAUCACACCGCCAGCACCCAUUACUGGUUCAGCAAUAAAAGCACCAAUCUGGUAAGAAGACAUUUGCGUUAGAUUGGAGCUGCCAACAUCAACGUUACUAAAUGAAGAUCGUAAUUUCCUUAGAUUGCUCACAGUUUCUGGUCCCUCUUUAAUGAUAAGAUCCUCUAAAUUCUUGGCUAAUCUGGUUGAGAACUCCUCUUCCGUUUCCCCUGCACAAAAAAUUAUCCAAGGUUAAAAUAAAAAGAUCACACUCAAGCUUUUAGCAAAGCUUCCCUUUAACCAAUAAUGGAAUUUAGAAUCCUUCAUACCCGGAAGAUGAAAACGCCAGUAAUGAGGGCAAUCUGUGUGCAACACAAAUGGUGCAGGUAAAUCAAAGUUUUGAUGCAACGCUGGGAGACUGUAAAAUUAGAGAAUCAAUAUUUUGAUGCAUUUGUUAGGCAAAUAUAAAGUCUCUUUGGCAUUUCUAAAGAGAAUAUCUGAGGAACUAUAUAUUCAUCAUACCCGGACAAACUUGCUGAUAUUAAAGUGGAGCCAUGGUACCUGAAAUUCAUAACACCACCCUUAUAAGUAAGUACUUCGAGAGCUUAUAGAAACAGAUAACACACAAAAUGACAAGCAAAUAUCCUUUUCUUUCUCACGAUUUCUUUCUCGCGAUAAACUUUUUCUUCUCAGGCCUCCCAAGUGCGUUAUUGUAAUACCAAACCAGCUUGACCUGCAUAAUACAUGAGAUUUAUAAGCUUCUAAACAAGGAGAUCAAGGUAGAUCAUAUAGUUUGGGGAACCUCAAACCUGUGUAUCAUUGGCCUCUGAUCCACUGUUUGUAAAAAAUGCUUUGGCCAUUUUCUUGGCCGUGAACAUCUCUAAAAGAUCCUUAGCAAGAUCCUGUUUUCGCAGGAAAAAUAUAACACAAUGAUCAAAUUCUCUUUAAUCACCCUAAUUACACAGCAGAAUGUACAAAAAACAUUAUUAAUAAAAGGACAGCAGAAGUAAAAAGUCUCACCAGAGAAGGCUUAGUAGUACGGUUCCAAAAGGAGUGAUAAAAGGGCAAGGUGUUCAAUUGCCCUACAGCAGCAGAAACAAGCCGUGGCUCAUUUCCUCCUGCAAGAUGUUGUGGUAUCAAUGCUAACACUUUCACAAAUAUCCUAGGAAUAGCGAAAUAUACAAAAAGGAAAAAAGAGAAACAUCAAGUCAAAUAGUGUGGUAACAGAAGGAACAAUAUACCUAAGGCAGUACACCAUAGACCAGCGAGAGAGUCAAGAUACUUCUUCCCAUGGUCAUCAUACACAUAACUCCCCUGUAAGAAGAAUGAAAGGAAAAGAAAUGUCACACACUUUUUUGUAGGAACAUUGACGAAUGAAUCAAAAAAGAAGGGGGGUGACCUCGGAUUUGGCUAUGAUCAAAGGAUCUAAAUCAGCACUCUGCCACCCAGCUGUAAAAGGUGCUAGCAUAUCAUGCCCCUUUGACCUGCCCAUCAGAAAACGCAACCACUUAUUCAUCGCCACGUUGACAAAAGCAUGAAACUUUUGCAGAAAAUAAUCACGAGUGUGAAACUUACCCAAGCUUCUCUGGUGAUGCUUCUGUAGUGAGGAUUCUUGAGCCAGGCAUGUAUUGGGAAGAAACAGCAUACCUGCUCUGCAAAGUAACCUGCCAUAUGAGAGAGGAGCGAGUUUUUUGAGCUAUGAAUCAAAAUCACUAUUUGAGUUAAUAUAUAUAAAAUGGAUUCCUUGAAAUUCUUCAAGAUCACUGUUUGGGUAGUUUAUUAUUAUAAAAUUAAAAAAAGGGUUCCUUGAUUACUGGAGAAUCCCACAAAAGUUACACUCUCACAAAGUCACGUUUGAUGGGAAUAUUAUUUGAAAGUACGACUUACAAAAAAAAAGAAAAAGAAGAAAGAAAGAUUCAAUUUUUAAGCAUUUGAACAUGAAUCUGGACAGAAUCCUGAUCUACUACGGGUGAGGAGUGACGAUGAAGCAGCUAAAAAGCAAUCGAAAGGAGCGAGUGAGAAAACCUGGGUAGUGCGCGCCAAUCGUCGGAGGCUGUUGACCACUGCCAUUUCGAAGAUUGAAUCUGUAGAAAUGAUCCUUUGAUUCUUUUGAGAUUUGUUCGCUUUUAAAAACAGAGGAGGAUCAUCAUCGUUGAUACCUUCCUUAUAUGAAUACUCUACAAAAUUAAAUAUCUUUUUUCUUAUUAUCUCUUCGACUCCCAUUUGAUUUUUGAUCAGUGACGUGUCAUUGACUCAUUUUAUUACAUAUAUAUUUUUGAUCAUCGUCCUUGAUACCUUCCUUAGUUUCCAUUCAUUUUUUUCCCACAAAUUGAAUUUAUUCAUACGGAAAAUACCAGUAUUUAUACCGGCCAAACAAAAUAGUCUCAGAACCAAAAGUCCAUAAAAAAUGACAACUAAAUAUCACAUUGAGGCGACUUAAACCCACACCAGAGUGACUUAAAAAAGAACAUAAAACAUAACAACUACAAUGAUAUAAUAGUGCACCUAGCAAUCUUUAGAAAUGAUAAAAUGCCAAUGAUCGAGAAUUACCGCUGCUGCCUAUAGUCCACCACCCGGUACAUUCUACUUCUACACCUAAACCACACUUAUCGAUGCUGCCUUGUCCGCCACACGAUAAGACCAAGACCCGGAGACUUCACAAACUCGACAAGGAGAACACGCUGCUCGGUCCACACUUUUUGGAUAUAUAAACACUCUACGAUCUAAGAAAAAAGCUCCUCCAAACACCAAGAAGAUGAAGCCUUGCCAACCGAAUUUUUUGAACACUUACUGGAGAGAAGAACCAAACGGCAAGCAAUCAAUAGACACAUUACGUCUAAAAGAAAGACUGCUAAGUCACAAGUAACACGACCAAACCCGGCGAAGCUCACUGAGCCACACCACAACUCCCUCCUCAAAAUAAAUCGAUCAAAGCAGCAAAAAGGAAAUGUGGAUGGACCACAAUAACCCACCGCAAUGAAGAAACUUCUAUACUUCAUCUAAUCAAAGAGCUGUUUCUCUGAACAAACAAAAGAUACCCCCGCAAGAAUAUGGACAAACUGACUCCACAUACAACAAACACACAGACCAACGCUUCGAGAAAAAGGUAGAACGAUAAACCUCAUGCCAUGAAGAACAGCGAAGGAAGGGACAAGCAAAAGCUCACCAGACCCACACCAAGUCGCUCUCCCCCAAACCUGAGUCAGAUUUGGAAAGGCACUGAAUCGAAACUACCCUCCUGUGAAGCCAGUGGUGGAGGCAAUUCAUUGUCACGGUAGUCAAAUGACCCACGUGAAAUUAUGAAAACAUUAUGGCUUUUAUUAAGAAUUUUAAAAUGACCCUGGUCCAAAAUAUUUAUUGAUCCCGUUAAAAUUUUUCUGACCCUUAUCCAAAUUACUUUGACCCUAGUCCAAAUUUUGUAUGGACCAUAAUCUAAUAACUACAUUAAUUAAUUUGCAGCCUAUUAGAUUUUAGAUAAAGAAUUACAACAAAAUAAGCCCACCAGAUAAAAUAAACCCAACCAUUAAUAUUAUUUCAAUGACUUAAGUCUAAUUAUUAUAUUAAUUUAGUCAUUUGGACGUUUUGUUUUCUUCUUCUCCUUUCUGGUCUUUCUGAAACUCGUCCAUUACAACAACAGUAGCCAGUAGCGAAGGUAAUAAAUAUUGUAUUUUGUUAAAUAAUUUAUUUAAGCUUUCUUCUUCUACCAAAUAUGAAUAAAGUAUUAUAUUUUUAUAAAAAUCAAAAGAUCUUAAAACUAGUUUUUAUUUAUGGCUUGUUCCUUCGAUUUUUAGAUUAUUUUAUCCUAAUAAUUGUUAUGUUUCAUAGUUUCAAAUGAUAAAAUACCAAAUGUCUACAUAAAGGAUACCAUUUGCACAAAAAACAGAAGGAUUGCUCAACAUACAAAUUUCGUAACUAUUAGACAUAGAGAAUUGAACAUUGUCUGUUAUAUUAUAUACUUGGUUUGAUAUUAUAUUUUGUUUUUAUUUAUGCAGGUACCAUCAGACAAAAUGGAACGAUAUUUGAAUUUGAACAAAAGAAAAGCUCCACCAUCUGAUAUCAACUUGGAUGAUUUGCCGUGGGAUCCAGCUAAGCGGAAAAACAUUCUAGACUACCCUUAUAAUCAAAGAGAUGAAGUAAGGCGCAAGUAUUUGACUAGAGGACCUUGUCAACCUAUUGGUCAUACUUUUCAACAAAAAUCAAUAGGAGGUGUAUUACGACGCUUUAAUCCACGUUGGUUUGAGCAGUACCCUGAUUGGUUAGAGUAUAGUCUGGAUCAAGAGAAGGCUUUUUGUUUGUUUUGUUACUUGUUCAGAGUUCAAGCUGGAAAACAAGGCGGAAGUGAUACUUUUGUAUCAACGGGGUUUUCUAGUUGGAAUAAGGCUGAUAGUUUCAGUAAGCAUGUGGGAGAUCAUACUAGUUUUCACAACGAUGCUAGAAAUAAAUGUGAAGACUUGAUGAGACAAAGUCAGUCUAUCAAGCAUGCUUUACAUAAACAAACCAAUGUUGUGAAGAAUGAUUAUCAGAUCCGUUUGAGUGCUUCGAUUGAUGUUUCUAGACACUUGUUACACCAAGGACUGUCUUUUCGUGGUCAUGAUGAGAAAGAAGAGUCAACAAACAAAGGUAAUUUCUUAGAGCUUCUGAAGUAUACGGCUAGUCAGAAUGAGGCUGUUAGAAAAGUUGUGAUGAACAAUGUUCCUAAAAAUAAUCAGAUGACUUCUCAUCCUAUCCAGAAAGACAUUGCUCAUUGCUUUGCGGAAGAAGUAACUAAGUCUGUCAUACAAAAAAUCAACAAUGAUGUAUUUGGCUUGCUGGUAGAUGAAUCGGCUGAUAUUUCAGAUAAAGAGCAAAUGGCUGUGGUUUUUCGUUUCGUUGAUAAAUUUGGGCUCGUAAAAGAAAGAUUUGUUGGUCUUAGUCAUGUGAAAGAGACAUCUUCUUCAACUCUGAAGGAUGCUAUUGAUGAUUUGUUUUCGAAACAUGGAUUGAGUUUGAAAAAGGUGAGAGGACAAGGUUAUGAUGGGGCCAACAAUAUGAAAGGAGAAUUCAAUGGUUUAAGAUCUUUGAUUUUGAGAGAAAGUAGAUCUGCAUAUUAUGUUCACUAUUUUGCUCAUCAACUUCAGUUGGUUGUUGUGGCUGUUGCAAAGAAGCAUUUUGAAGUUGGAGAAUUUUUCGAUAUGGUUCAUGUUCUGUUGAAUGUGGUUGGGGUUCUUGUAAAAGAAAAGUUAUGCUCACUGAAAGUAAUCGCAAGAGAAUGGAAGAAGAGAUUAGUAAGGGUAAAAUGAAGACUGGAACUGGGCUGAAUCAAGACCUUUCUCUUAAAAGACCUGGAUAUACUCGUUGGGGUUCACAUUACAAGACUUUAUUACGUCUUGUUGUGAUGUUUCCAUGUAUUAUUGAAGUUCUUGAACAUAUUCAGAUAGAAGGCAAAGAUGGCACCAAAAGACAACAAGCAUAUGGUCUCCUCAAAUAUUUUCAGACAUUUGGUUUUGUCUUUCAUCUACACUUGAUGCUUGUUGUUUUGGGACUCACUAAUAAUUUGUCAAAGGCUCUACAGAAAAGAGAUCAAGAGAUCUUGAAUGCAGUUUCAUUGGUUGAAUCUACUAAGCAACAAUUAUAGAAGCUUAGAGAUGAAGGAUGGGAUGAUUUUGUGGCUGAAGUUUAUUAUUUUAGUGAGAAGAAUAAUAUUGAAGUGCCUAGUAUGGAAGAAAACUUUGUUGACUCAAGAAAACCAAGGAGUAAAACUGGCAUCACAAACUUGCAUCAUUAUAAGGUGGAGUGUUUUUACACUGUUCUAGAUUUGCAGCUUCAAGAGUUCAAUGAUCGAUUUGAUGAGGUGAAUUCUGAACUACUAAUCUGUAUGGCAUCCUUAAGUCCGACAGAUUCUUUUGUUCAGUUUGACAAGUCAUUGUUGGUGAGACUAGCUGAGCUUUAUCCAGAUGAUUUUAGUUGUGUGGAGCGAAGAUCUCUUGAGCAACAGUUUGAAAUCUACCUUGAUAAUGUGAAAAAGAUGAAAGAUUUUCUAAUCUAGAGAGUAUUGGUGAUCUUGCUCGUGUAUUGGUUGAGACAAGGAAACAUCUUUCUCAUCCUUUGGUUUAUCGUAUUUUGAAGCUAUGUUUGAUUCUUCUUGUUGCAACUGCAAGUGUUGAAAGGUGCUUCUCUGCCAUGAACAUUGUGAAGACGGCCUCGCGUAACAGUAUUGGUGAUGAAUUUUUAAGUGAUUAUCUAAUUUGUUUCAUUGAAAAGCAAAUUCUUGAUACAGUGGCAAACGAAACAAUCAUAAAAAGCUUUCAAAAUAUGAGUGAGCGUAGAGUACAUCUUUGAAAUUCGAUGUACGGUGAUAUUUUUAUUAUUCAAUAGUUUAUGUACUUUAAGCAAAGUUAUACUAUGACCCCCGUCAACAUUUUCUCUGCCUCUGCCACUGUGUGAAGUCCUGCCCCGACGAAUCCUUGCAGCAUCUCGUUGCUAUUCCAGUGACGUGACAGACUCUGCCUCGCCGAUUUAGAUCCUCCAGAAACUCCAAGAAAAUCAAGAAUAGCGCGCAUUUCGAUACAGUGCAAAAAAAAAGACGAAAUCGGUAAGGAACAUGAGAAAGGACAAAAAAAACUACAAAAAGAGGAGGAGGAGAGGGCUCUCACGGUGACUAACCACCGGAUACGCCCCUCUUCUGAUAUGAUUCUGUUGACAGUGCUUUUAGGAUUUUCGCAAGUGUAUUCUCUUUCACGACUAGUUUCUAUUCAUUUUGGCAGCCAUAUUUUGCAAAUUCCUUACCAUAUUAAAUCACACCAACUACGCCAGCUUGUUUCUUUUUUCUUUUAAUUCAAAAGUUGAUUAAUAUUAAAUUGAAGUUCGUAGGAACAAAAUAAUUAUGUUGUGUGAAUAUUUUUUUAGCAUAAAAUAACAUAAAAAUAACAAACAUAUUGCGGUAAGAGAUCGAUGAUAGAAUCAUUUUCAGUACUGCUAAACUGUUUCCAUUUUAGUGAGUGGUUAGCGUAUACUUGUUUUUUUUUUUUUGAAAAAAAGCGUAUACUUGACUUGUUUUACCUAUUGCAGCUAAAGGUUACGGCCGAUUAUUAUUGUCAAGAUAGUCAUCUUCGCUGAUAUGUUCAUUUUGUUUUUCUAUUUAAUAACUUGAAUCACAGUGGUAACAUAUAUAGCGUUAACAAUCAGUACAAAUUUAGAUAUCAUUCAUUAGGUUAGUAUAUGUUUAUCGAUGCAUGAAACAAUAGAGAAAACGAUCCGUGUUACAAAAAUUACAAAUCAGUCUCAUCCAUGUCAUAGAUGACAAUGACAAGACAGUCACAUAAGAUAAGAAACUUUUUUUGUCUUCUCAUUCAAAUAUUAUUUACUAUACAGAAAAAAAAUUAAGAACUAGCAGAAACUAAACUGUGUGGCGUUUUACAGCUUAAUAAACGCUGAGAAGUUCAGGUUACAAGGCGCAAUUUAGCACCCCGACGGCGUGCAAUCUAUCCAUCAUUCAUUCAUUCGUAUCUGAGUAGAGGGAAACGAAACGAUAAAUCAAUUUCUAGCAAGUCAAUUCCUAUCUGUCAAUCUUCUUCGCAUUUUAGAGCGAGAAAAUGAGACUUUUUAGAGAGAGAGAGAGAAAAAGUAGGCAAGAAAGACGGUCACUGACUGAAUAAAAGAUCACUCACUCUCACACCCUUUCAAGAGAUCUCAUCGCCCGAUCUUUCCUUCCUUCCCCGCCGGUAAAGUUUCUAGCUUUGCUUCUUCUCUCGUGUCUCUUCGUUUCUCAAUUUGAGAGUUUACUGCAAAGUUUCCUUAUUUAUUCCAAUACAGAGUUGCUGAUUAAAAGUAUUCAUCAAUAAAGUUUUGGUUUUAAUUUUGAGAUCCUAACAUUGUCCGAAGAAUCUAGCUACUCAUUUCAGUUUCCUUACUUGUGUAUCUAUUGCUGCUUCAGCCCAAAAAGGAAAGUUUGUUUCUUUCUCUAUAAUUCAGCUGCUAUUCAAUUCUGCAGGUAGUUCUUAACUUGCUUUGAUAGAAAAUGGGUGCUUCAGGGAGAUGGAUUAAAGCACUUGUUGGUUUCACCAAGUCUGAUAAGUCAAAGUCUAAAAAGAAGGAUGAUAAUGUAAGCACACACUAUGUUAUUUCUUUACAAGAGAAUCUCUUUAUCUAAAUGCCAAAUGUUGUAUACUUUCUUCACCUUUUUUUUUGUAUUUUCAUUAUAUGUUUGUUCAAUUGGCGAAGGUGAAGACUGCAACCAAGAGCCGGUUUGGGAGAAACCAUUCUGUUGAUUUUGAUGCUGAAAAGUUUCAACUUGGAUUUGAAGAUUCCAAUACGCAUAGCAGCAUGUUAGAUAAUGGGGUCUCCACUUCAACUUCUUAUGGUGCUGCUAAUGAAGAACAAAGGAAGGAGCACAUGGCUGCAACUCGGAUUCAAACAGCUUUUCGAGGGUUUCUGGUAUCAUCAUCACUUUCUUCGCCCUGUCAACUUUUUUUUUAAUAUUUGUCUCAAGCGUUACUGAGAGAAAGAUGAUACCUUUUUUCUCAGGCUAGAAGGGCUUUACGAGCAUUGAAGGGAUUGGUUAGACUUCAGGCCCUUGUUAGAGGACACGCGGUGAGAAAGCAAGCUGCUGUAACGCUUCGAUGCAUGCAAGCGUUAGUAAGAGUCCAGGCUCGUGUACGCGCAAGACGUGUUCGUCUCGCCUUGGAAAGUGAAACGGGUCCGCAGAUGCUUCAGCAGCAGCUUGCAGAUGAAGCCAGGGUUCGAGAAAUAGAGGUGUGAUGAUCACUUGUCUCAGUUAUUUAACUUUUGCAAAGAGAAUUAUAGUUAUGUUGACUAUUUGUUCUCAUUUCUCAGGAAGGUUGGUGCGAUAGCAUUGGUUCUGUUGAACAAAUCCAAGCCAAGAUACUAAAGAGGCAGGAAGCUGCAGCUAAGCGUGAGAGGGCUAUGGCAUAUGCUUUGACUCACCAGGUUACUCACAACAACCUCUAUGCUUGUUAAGAAGUAACUGUUUGAAUUUUCGCACUUUGUACUAAUCAAAACAUUCCUUAUAACUCUUAUCUGAUUGUCAUGGGUUCUCUUCUAUAGGAUCAAUCUUUAACCAAACACUAUGAUAGCAAAACUGAAGCUGUAUACUCUUAAAUCUUACAUAUAAAAUUUGGUAUGUUGUAGUGGCAAGCAGGAACUCGGCAGUUAUCUGCGCACAGUGGUUUUCAGCCUGACAAAAACAACUGGGGAUGGAACUGGCUAGAAAGAUGGAUGGCUGUUCGUCCAUGGGAGAAUCGGUUUCUUGACAGUAACCUCAGGGACGAUGCCAUAUUAGGUGAAAACAAUAUGGAGCAAACUGAGAGUGUUGUGCAUAAAACUCAGAUGAAAAUUGCAAGCAAGAUUCCAAACACUUCAAAUCUUGCGUCCGGUGUUUCGAGUCAGAAGGUAACCGGGCCAUCUCUGUCGGAUGGUAAUUCCACUUCACCUGGAAUAUCUUCAAGCAUGCCAGUGCCAGUGGUGUCCAAGGAUAGGUCAAAGCUCGCUAAAGACGAUCUUGCUGUAGAAGUUGUUAACUCAAGACCUGGUGCUGGUCCAAGAUCACACAGCAAUCCAAAAGAAAGAUCAAGAGCGCCAGAUAGAGCUUCUAAGGAACGAUUAUCUCUGCCAAACAGUGGUCAGAUCUCUUUCUGUAUCCCCUAAGUUUCCUCUUUUUUUUUUUCCCUUUUUGAUGGUUGAGUGAAUAGUCUUAUCAACAUGGGGAUAGUGAUAAGAAAAUCAGCUUUGCAUUACUCAUAAGAAUACAGACCACAACUUAUAUGUGUAUACCUAAGAAGCAAUACAUUUGAUCUUUGAAACAUUUAGGCUGUCUUUUGACCUUUUUUUUUCCUUUUUAAGGCUAAAAUUGUGAACAUUGGUUCUUGAGCAGGAAAAUCCUUAGGAUCUCAGUCAGCUAAAGCCAAAUCUUCCCAAAACCAGAAAAGACGCAACUCUGAUCCAAUAAAACAGAGGCUUGCAUAGCCCUGGCUAGAGUCUCUGAGAAUCGUCAGUCCAUCUAUCACUCCCAUCGUUCCUGUACAUAAACACAGCUUCUGAAAAUGGAAACAAAAAGAGAAAAAGAGGAUAUCAUGUGAGAACACAAUGGGUUACAUUCAGAGACUUGCGUGGUGGUUAGAGAUGUCAAAUGGGCUGUCCAUGUCCACUGGACAUGUCCAAAUGGACAAAUCAGUUUAUUGGACAUUAUUUUUUUUAAGUCCAAAUUAUACCAAGUUCAAAUUGUCCAGACCAAAUUGGACCAUUCCAAAUGGGCAUUCCGCGGAGUCCAAUUAAAAAAUCAGUGUUAACAUACAAAAAUUCAUAUUUAAUAUAUUAUUAUGUGUUGUAGAAUUCAAAAGCAUAGAUACGAUUUUGGCGAGAAAUCUCGAUUUACGGUUUUGGAGGAAAAUCUCGAUUUUACGGUUUUGGCGGGAAAUCUCGAUUUUAUAGUUUUGGCGAGAAAUCUUGAUUUUACGGUUUUGGCGGAAAAUCUCGAUUUUACGGUUUUGACAGAAAAGUAUAUCUACAGUUUUGGCGGAAAAUCUCGAUUUUACAGUUUUGGCGAAAAAAUCUCGAUUUAUGGAUUUGGCGGGAAAACUCGAUUUAUGGUUUUGGCGAAAAAACUUGAAAAUUCAAUUUUACGGUUUUGGCGGAAAAACUAGAUUUACAGUUUUGGCGGGAAAUUUCGAUUUUACGGUUUUGGCGGAAAACGAGAUUUUACGGGUUUAACGUAAAAAUGUGAUUUUACGGUUUUGGCAAGAAAACGUUAUUCCACGGUUUUAACGGGAAAAUAUGAUUUACGGUUUUGACGGAAAACAUGAUUUUUACUCAAAUACAUUAACCCUAAAUAUUUUAAAAUUUUGGGCCGUCCAUGUCCAUCUGGAUUUGUCCAUUUGGAUAUGGGUGUAUUUGGGCCUCGUCCAUUUGCACAAAACAAAAUUAUGGUCAAAUAUGGGUAUGUCCAUAUUGGUUUGGACAUGGGCUACCCAUGGACAGCAUGCCCAUUUGACAUCCCUAGUGGUGGUACAUUGAUCAGAACUCAGAAGAGAACACCAUCGUCUUGGCGUCUUUCUGCCUUCAUUGUUGUUUGUUAUUUGUGUGUCAGACAUCCUUUUUCUUUUGUCCAUGAUUCUUAUAUGGAUUAUUAGUACGUAGUGUUAUUAUUCAAGUAAAGUUGUUUGGGGUAUAUGAGUGAGACAGUUUUUUUUUGUUGGGAGAACGAACCAUGCUGCUCCUGGCCUUCCCAAUGUGAUAUAUAUACAGUAGUGUGUUGUAUUUGGUAUAAGUUCCAAUUAUUCAGAGUGAUAAUAUAUAUUAUCAUCAUGAUAAGGUAUCACUUGGCUUGUCAUCUUUUCGAAACAGGAAAGUGAAUCAUUAAUUAAAGUGCAGGGAAGGAAAUGUCAACAAGCGAAGAGAUCACGAAAGCAAAAAAGCCCUAAACAUUCCCUGUGAAAGUUUUCUAAGGAAGCAAAUUCAAAAAAUGCAACAUAAAAGGAUUUAAUUGAAUCGACAUUUAUAUUAAAGAACAUACAUGUAUACAAAACACAUGACAUAUACAACCAUAAGGAUUUGAUGCAGCUUUUCUGAAUCUUGGAACCAUACUACUACUACUACUUUACCUCGAAGUUGCACAAUGUGCAAUAUAGAAGAGCCUCUUCGUUGUUUCCCUGUUGUUCAGACCUCUCUUCCUUCUUUCCCUGUCGUCUUCGAGAACAAACAUGCAAUAGAAGAUAGCUAGAGGCUUGUAGCAAGAUUUGUAGGAACCUGAAACUCGUUAAAUUUGCAAACAUCCAUGCAUGUGUGCAAUUUGGUAUUCGGUUAUAUGGUUUUAUCCUAAGAUUCAAGUUGCUAAACCUCGUCUCUAUCUCUUAUUAGAUUUGGAAGUAGAUACAGCUUGAAAAAGCAUUUAUAAACAUGACACCGGAGAGUAAAGGCGGAUCAAAAUGUAUUUCCCAAAUGCUUCCUCCGACAAAAGUUGCACAGAAAGCAUAGUCAGCGACCACCACCACCAACAUGCAAAACACUGUAUUAUUACUUUAGGACUAAUUCUGAUAAACAAAUUAGCUAUAUGUUUUAGUUUUAGCCUAGUUUCGAUUUGUUUUUCAUAAAACUUAAUUUAGUUCUCCGAAAUAGCAGAUUUUGAAAAUUACACAUACAAUACACACAUUUACAAACCUGUUAGAAAUUUUCCACCACUAUAAAUUUUACACAUUCACAGGCUUUUGUUAGUCUUGAACCUGAAAAAGAAUUGAAAACCUUUUGCUAGUGUCAUAUACAAGCUAAAUACCACUAUACUAGGUUAUGAUAUCUAAAGUAUACAAACUAAAUAAUAGAUAUUAUUGUAAAUAAAAAACAUAAGCUAAAAUAUUGAAACAAGUAGAAUCUUUAAUCGUUCGUGGACCAACCAUAUAAAAGCCUAACUCUAGAACUAGAAGACGCCUACUUUAUAGACCAUAGUAUAUAUUCAUUCAUAAUGCCAUUAGUCACGCUUCAUCUAAAUUACCAAGUCAGUCUUGGCACGCGCAACGCGUGCGCAGUGGAGAAGAUAUGGAACACUCACACACACACACGGAUUUUUUUAACGGAGAGAGACAGAGAGAAACCCUAGACACCAAAGAAAAAAAGAAAAAAAAAAGGAAUCGUGCCUCCUCCUCCUCCUCCUCCUCCUCCGCCCACUCGCCCCCUCAGAUCGCGUGAACAUCACAAACCAUUUUCUCUCCUCCUUCCCUCUCUCUCUCUCUCUCUCUCUAUCAUCCAUCCUCCCUUCCGCAGAUCGAAACGCCAACUCGCACCGAUUAGCGCGUGCCUCCUCAUCGCGACGAGAUUACAGCUUAUUGCUCUCGAUUUUCCUCUUCGUUCCAGGUGAUUCCAUCUCAUCUUCGUUACAGUGAAAAAACCACCACGGAUUCUAUAUAUAUAUAUAUAUAUAGUGUUCGAUUUCAUUGAGAAUUUUCUGAUUAAUCUAGUAGUUGCAGGAAGUGAUGGACAUAGAUCUUCGACUACAUUCAGGCGACCUCUGCAAAGAAGGCGACGACGAAGAACACAGAGGACUUGACAACGAAGACAUAGACAUUAGCAAAAUCGAGGAUGACGUCACCGUUGAGCCACACACCGAUAACAACGGCAUCACUCUUCCAGAGCACAACACACAACAACAACAACAACAAGGCGUGAAUCUUGAACCGCUUAACGGCAUGGAGUUCAACUCGCACGGCGAGGCGUACACCUUCUACCAAGAGUACUCUCGAACCAUCGGCUUCAACACUGCUAUACAGAACAGUCGCAGGUCGAAAACCACUAGAGAGUUUAUCGACGCCAAGUUCGCUUGCUCUAGGUACGGUACUAAACGGGAGUACGACAAGUCUUUCAACAGGCCGAGAGCUAGACAGAGCAAGCAGGAUCAUCCUGAGAACAACAUGUCUGGUCGGAGGACGUGCGCGAAGACUGACUGUAAAGCGAGUAUGCAUGUUAAGAGGAAGCCUGAUGGGAAGUGGGUGAUUCACAGCUUUGUGAGGGAUCAUAACCACGAGCUUUUGCCUGCUCAAGCUGUGAGCGAGCAGACGAGGAAGAUCUACGCUGCCAUGGCUAAGCAGUUCGCUGAGUACAAGACUGUCAUCAGCUUGAAGAGUGAGUCCAAAACUUCUUUUGAGAAAGGUCGGAGUUUGUCUGUGGAGACUGGGGAUUUCAAGCUUCUCCUUGAGUUCUUGUCGCGGAUGCAGAUUCUGAACUCCAACUUCUUCUACGCGGUGGAUCUUGGUGAUGAUCAGCGUGUGAAGAAUGUGUUUUGGGUGGAUGCCAAGAGCAGGGUUAACUAUGGCAGUUUUUGUGAUGUUGUUUCUCUUGAUACUACCUACGUGAGAAACAAGUACAAGAUGCCACUUGCUAUUUUUGUUGGUGUGAACCAGCACUACCAGUAUAUGGUCCUUGGGUGUGCUUUACUAUCUGACGAGAGCGCAGCUACAUUCUCUUGGCUAAUGGAGACUUGGCUGAGAGCGAUGGGUGGACAAGCUCCAAAGGUUUUGAUCACUGAGCAAGAUCCUGUGUUGAACUCCAUUGUCCCUGAGGUCUUCCCUAAUACACAGCAUUGCCUUUUUCUUUGGCAUGUGUUGAUUAAGGUCUCUGAGAAUCUUGGUCAAGUCGCUAAGCAACAUGAGAAUUUUACAGCGAAGUUUGAGAAGUGCAUCUAUAAAUCAUGGAAGGAGGAAGACUUUGCGAGGAGAUGGUGGAAGAUUCUUGCUAGAUUCGGUCUCAAAGACGAUCAAUGGAUGCAGUCUUUAUAUGAAGACCGAAGGAAAUGGGCACCGACCUACAUGACCGAUGUUCUUUUGGCAGGGAUGUCUACGUCUCUGAGAGCUGACAGUGUUAAUGCUUUCUUCGACAAGUACUUGCACAAGAAGACGAGCGUACAGGAGUUUGUGAAACUGUAUGAUACGAUUUUGCAAGAUAGAUUUGAAGAAGAAGCCAAAGCUGAUUCGGAAACAUGGAACAAGCCACCAACAAUGAAGUCCCCAUCGCCAUUUGAGAAGAGUGUUUCCGACGUCUAUACUCCUGCUGUAUUCAAAAAGUUCCAGAUCGAAGUUUUGGGUGCAAUCGCGUGUAGUCCCAGGGAGGAGAACCGAGAUGCAACGUGCUCUACUUUUAGAGUUCAGGAUUUUGAAAACAAUCAGGACUUCGUGGUUACAUGGAGCCAAGCAAAGGCUGAAGUCUCUUGCAUGUGUCGGUUAUUUGAGUAUAAAGGCUAUCUCUGCAGACACACGCUUAACGUUCUCCAGUGUUGUCAUCUUUCUUCCAUCCCCUCUCAGUACAUAUUGAAACGGUGGACCAAAGAUGCAAGAAGCCAGCAUUUUCCAGGAGAACCUCAGCAGUUGCAGACGAGGCUCCAGAGGUAUAAUGAUUUGUGCCAGAGAGCUUUAAAGCUGAGUGAAGAGGCAUCCAUCUCUCAAGAGAGUUACAAUAUUGCCUUCCUUGCUAUUGAAGAAGCUUUGGGAAACUGUGCUGGUGUUAAUACUUCCGGCAGAAGUCUUCCAGAUGUGGUCGCUUCGCCAACACAAGGUCUGAUAUCCGUCGAGGAGGAUAAUCAGAGCAGAAGUGCAGUCAAGACGACGAGCAAGAAAAAGAAUCCAACUAAGAAAAGAAAAGUAAACUUCUUGUUCAUGAUCUCUCUGUACAUGCACAACUUAAGGUUUUUCUUAGCUUUGCGCUUUUAUGAAUUGCAAGUCUUAUGAUCCUCCUGACUAUGGAUUGCAGGUGAACUCAGAGCAGGAGGUAAUUCCAGUUACAGCGCCAGAAAGCUUGCAACAGAUGGUCUGUCUUUGUUAACAUGUAGUAGCAAGACUCUGUUAAACUAGAGAGAGUCCCCUAAGUAUAUGAUAUCUGAAUUUUGUAAUUUGCAGGAUAAGUUAAGUCCAAGGACAGUUGGCUUAGAAAGUUAUUAUGGAACACAGCAAAGCGUGCAAAAUCUGGUAACUAAGCACAAAUUACUUGUUAUUAUUCUCUUAUAGACUGAGAUUUUUGUUUGUAAUGUGGUCUGAUUAUAUGUGUGUUUACAGGUCCAGCUGAACUUAAUGGCGCCAAAUCGCGAUAACUUUUAUGGGAAUCAACAAACAAUCCAAGGAUUGGUAUGAAAACAAAAUCGCGAUAACUAAGCUUCUGUUGUUUUUUUCUAUCAUUAACUUUGGAUAAAAACAAAAAAAUCCCCGGCUGGUUUUUUGUAGCGACAGUUGAACUCAAUAGCACCAAGCUACGACAGUUACUACACUGCUCAGCAAGGCAUCCAUGGACAGGUACCUUACCUUAUUCUCAGAGCUUUUACUCGACUGCAAAACCUAUUAAAAAAAUGAUCACUCUUUACUUUUGUUCUUUCUAGGGAGUAGAUUUCUUCCGUCCUCCCAACUUUACUUACGAUAUCCGGGUAAAUUUUCAGUUCUAGUAACAUAUUUGCAUCUCUAGUGGUGAAUUUUUGUUCAUGAAAACAAAUGUUUAUUACUGUACAGGAUGAUCCUAAUGUGAGGACGACACAGUUGCAUGAGGACGCGUCUAGACACACUUAAACCAGGCUAAAACCUAACCAUGGUUCAAAUCUUAAAGAGAGUCCGUCCCUCUGUAGACAAAAAGCCAACAAGCACUUGGAAGAUGAAGCUCAUAUCUCGAUCUGGUUUUGGAAACAGAACAAGGAGCACUUCUUGUUUUAUCGGCUCAAGUGUUUAAAUAGGAUAUGUUGUAUUGUUUCGGUUAUAAAGAUACCGCUUCUGUUAAUAUUUGGUCAGUGUGUGUAUUAUUAGUUCUUGAUGAUCCCCAAAAAAGCUUUUGAUCAUUGAUUGUUCGAAUUUAGAGGAGGGGGAAACAUUUGUUUAGAGGAUAUUUAUCUAUUUAUAAACUCUUGUUAAUUCUUUUCAUCAAGUUUCUUAUAUUUGCAUCAGAUUAUUCCCUGAUCUUAAGCCACAGUAUGGUCUGUUGUUUUGCUCUUUCAUCCUCGUACAAUAUCUAAGACAAUCCUCAGCCUAUUUCUAUUCUUUUUAUAUUUUUCUUCUAGAAUAAAACAAAACUAGGUGUUUUGUCCGCGAUGCGAACUUAGACAUUUUCAUAAUUUUUGAAAAGUUCUUUGUACAAUAUAUUCAUUAUACUAAAAUAAAUCUUAAAAUAAUUUAAUAUUAUAUUUUUAAUUAUAUAAUUUAAAAAAUAUAUUUGAUUAAUAUUUAAUUAUAUCAUUUAUGUUUUAACUUUUUACUAAAAUACUUUUUCAGAUAACAAUACAAUAUAUAUAUAUAUAUAUAUAUUAUUUUUUUUUUAAUUAUAUUUUUGGAUUUUGGAUAAUUCAAUAUUCUAUUUUAAUUAUAUAAUCAAGAAUUUUAUUUGAUUAGUAUUUAGUUAUAUAAUUCAUGUUUUUAACUUUUUAUAUAUAAUUCAUGUUUUUAACUUUUUACUAAAAGACUUUUUCAGAUAAUAAUACAAUAUAUACAGAAAUUAUCUCUUUUUAAAAUUAUAUUUUCAGAUUUUGGAUAAUUCUUACUAUUAUUAAUUUUAAUCAAUUAUCUAAUCAAAUAAAUUAAAAUUUCAUUUUUAUUUUUUCAUUUAGUUAUACAUUUUAUUCAUUAAGGGUAUAAACGAUUAAUCAAUAUUUAGUUAUAUAAUUCAUGUUUUUAACUUUUUAUAUAUAAUUCAUGUUUUUAACUUUUUUACUGAAAGACUUUUUCAGAUAACAAUACAAUAUAUACAUAAAUUAUCUUUGUUUAAAUUAUAUUUUCAGAUUUUGUAUAAUUUUUACUAUUAUUAAUUUUAAUCAAUUAUCUAAUCAAAUAAAUUAAAUUUUUGUUUUUAUUUUUUUAAUAGAUUUACACAUUUUAUUCAUUAAGGGUAUAAACGAUAUUAACCAUUCUAACUUUUAACGUGAGAGCUUGAUUCUAACUUCGCAAAUAAUAGUAUAAAUUAUUAUAGAGGUAGAUUUACUCUAAUGUAUGCUUCUAAAAUAGAAUUUUUAUUUAUAUUUUUCAAAACAAAAUAUAAAAAAAUAUUAUUUUCAUCUAUAUAAAACUACUAUUGUUUUGUAUUUUACUCUAUAAAUAGAGAAAUUCUAUUAUAACGUUAUACAUUCAAAGGAUCAUCACCUUAGAAGAGAUGAUGAGAAAAUGGUUUAAGCUCGAGCAUCACAUUCUUUUAUUCAUUUUCGUAGAGUUGACAUACAUAGCAUCUGUAAAUGGUUUCAAGUUUGAUCAAUAAAUUUGAUAUUCAAUUAAAAAAAAAAUUAUACAUUCGAAUAAAGUCAUCUUUAUAAUAGAGUUUUUUAUUUUAUGAGAAAAUAUAAAAAUAUAUACCGGUGUUGCUCUUAUAACGUGCUCAUAUGAGCAGUGUGAUGAGUGUUUUGCCCAGAAAGUCUAACAGAUAAUAUUUGAUUUUGGUAAGUUGUCAGAUUACUGGUUGACACAAAAAAUAUUUAAAAACUAAAAACCUCGUUGUAACAUAGUGUUUAAAACUAUCAAUUUAGUUAAAAAUAGAAAAACAUACAUUCCAAAAACGAAAAAAAUGAAAAUAUAAAUUUAAUUCACAUAUUAGAUUUAGUAAUCAUUACACAUAGUAAAUUCUGUGGUUUUCUAAACUUAUUUAAUGAACAACACUCCUAAACAAAUAAUGAUUCAUAUUAGUCCCCAUAAAGUAUAUAUUAAAUGUGUGAAUUGAUGCAAAGUUCUAACAAAAGAGAACGAUGAUUUAGUUCCCCAUAUUACAUAUCACACGUCAGGAUUUGGUUUUGUUUGAAAAUUCUGACUAGUUUCAUGUCUGAUCUUUGGUCGUAACUUGUUUUACAUUCAUUCUAAGUCACCUUACCCCGUCAAUUAAUUUAUGCCCACUCAUUCCUUAAUCAACUGCGUAAAUUAAAUAAUAUGUACACCUAUGGUCCUAUCAAUUAUCAAAAGACUAGUGUCUUAAGUAUCACUAGAUUUUCACCCGUGCAACCGCACGGAUGUUUGUUUUCACUUUUCUAUACAUAAAUUAUUGUUUUAGAACAUAAGUGGUAUAUAUUUUUAAUGUUAAUCAUAUACUUAAAUAUUUAUAUAACUAUUUCAAAUACGAUAAUUUUAUAAUUUACAUGUUAUAAUUAAUUAAUUGUUUAAACCUUAUGUAUUUGUCACUUCUUAUUAUAUAUUUAUCUUAUUGUAUUUGCAUUUAGUUAUUAAGCAAAUUAAUAUAUUCAUGAGAAAAUAUAUUUAAAAAAUAUUUUGUAUUUAAUUUAUGCUAAAUUCUGAUCCGUAUUUCAAAACUGGAUUUCUUUUUACCAAUAUUUUUAUGCUUAUUCAUUUUAGAUAAUUUAUUAUUGUAUAUAUAAAAGUGUAAAAUAUGUUAAUUUUUAGACAAGUAUUAUAUAGUUUUUUAAUUUUAAGUCGUUCUAUCAUUAUAUUAUAUUUUAAAUAAAUAGUUUAUAUUUAUGAAAACAAAAUUUAUAAAUUUAUCAAUUGAAUAUAAUUUUAUCAUAUUUAGUUUAGUAUAAUACUUAUAUUUUAACAUGAUCAUGACUAUAAAAGUAGAUAAAAUAGGAUAUAAUUUAUUUAUUUUCAUUUCUAAACAAUAACUUAAAAUACAUUAAGUUAUUGUUUAAAUAUUACACAGAUUUAUUAGAAUUUUUAAAAUAUAAUAUAUAAAUAUAUAUUAUAUUUAAAAUGAAAAUAUAUUAUGAUUAAAGUAGUUACAAAGAUUUUUUAUUAUUAACUUUAAAGAAAUACAUGUUAAUUUUUAUACAUGUAUUAUAUAGUUUGAUAAUAUUAAUCCAUCUUACCAACAUAUUAGAUUUUAUUUUUGAACAUAAAUAUUUUAUAAUUACGAAAAUAAAAUAUAUAAAUAUAUAAAUUUAAUACAAUUUUAUUAUAUUUAGCUCAAUAUAAUAAUUUUAAUUUAAUAUGAUUGAUUAUGAUUAUAUAAUAACUAAAAUAUUAUAGAUUUUUUUAUUUUUCAUUUUAUAUAACUGAAUAUAUUAAUGUAUAAUAAUAUUUUAAACUAAUUUUGAAAUUAGUGAAAAUAUUUAAAUAUAAUUUCAAAAAUGAAGAUCUUGUAAAAAUCUUUUUAAACAGAUUUGUUAUAAUUUUAAAAUAAAUAUAUUUAUAUUUAAAAUGAAAAGAUAUCAAAAGAUACUGUGAUUAAAAUAUUUCAAAAAUUAUAUUUAUUAUUAGUCUGAAUUAAAAUAUAGUAUGAAUUUGGGGUUUUUGCCAAAAUUAACCUACAACUUGAUUUUAAACCCAAACCUAUACCCAAACUUGAAUCAAAUGCAAAACUAACCUAAAAACCUAGUGAAAUUACAACUCAGCCCCUUGUGACCAAACAAAAAAACAGAAGCCAUUUUUACGAAUAUAGCCCCAGUAAAUCGUCUGAGUCGUCUGAAUUGUUGGAAGUCGUCUGGACGACUGAAGUUUAAGUCGUCUGGUACCAGUUUAUUUUAAAAAUAAUUUUUAAAUCUUGUAAAAAAAUAUUUUGAUGCGUGAAAAAUAAAAAUCAGAUGAUUAUAAACAGUUUUAAGUGAUAUAAAUUAAGAUAUGAUAAAAUUGAUUUGUUUUGAAGAUAGAUGAGUGGAAGUAGUGAAUCAUGAUAUUCUUUGGUUUAUGAGUUUGGCAAACAUAUGUUGUAGUAUUGUAUGUAUUGUUAGGGUUAGAUCUUGGAAAACUAAAAUGUUUUUUUCAAAAAUUAGUUUUCAUCUAUAUGUGUUUCUUUAUGUGUAUAGUAAACACUUUUCAACUUUGAUUUGAUUUUAUGAAGUGUUUAAUUAGGGGUUAUGUUUAGGGUGUGGACGACUUAUAUUUCAGUCGUCUGUUGAAUAAUUUACACGGACGACGUAUAUUUCAGUCGUCCACAUCGUACCGAACCUUUAAUUUUACCAAUGUACGUUUUAACCUAACCGGAUCAUUUACCGGACAUAUAAAAGCUAUUUUUUCACUAUUUCACAACUUUUCGAAACCCUAGCGCAGUUUCUCUCCAACGGCGAUUUCGAAGGCGAUAAGACGAAAACCCUACCGUGGUCGUGUUCCGCCGUUAUCUUCGCCGGUAAUCUCUCCGAUUACGACGAAUCUCGUUUCUCCUUCAUGCCGUAGAGUAUUUUCGUAGUUUAAACUGACCGUCCGCUUCCUUUUUUUCAGAUCUGAAAUCUCGUUUGCCAAACUCCGCCGCCGGUAUGUUAUUUCUCAUGUAUUAAGGCGUUUAGCCGCCGGAAAACCCUAAAUAUUUUAGUAUUGAUUCUUCUUUUCCCUUCGAUUUGCAGAUCUGUAACGGCUUGGGACCACAUCUUCUCCGACCAUAUCUUCUCGGACAAUAUAUUCUCCAACUGUAAGUCAUUCGUCUUUUGUUUAAAAGAUUUUGAGAUUGUUGUAGUCUUUUGCUGAAAGAUUACUCAGACGACUUCCAGGAAGUGAGAAGACUACUUGGACGACUUCCAUGAAGUCUUCUACGAUGUCUUACUCUCUGGACGACUUACAUGUAAGUCGUCUAGAGAGUAAGACAUCGUAGAAGACUUCAUGGAAGUCGUCCAAGUAGUCUUCUCACUUCCUGGAAGUCGUCUGAGUAGUCUUCUCACUUCAUGGAAGCCGUCUGCAAGUCUUCUAUAGCAUUUAGCAUAGUGCGCAACCUAUGUGUUUGAGAUGGUUGUUUGUGAUUAUUUGCAGGCCUUAAAAUGGAUUUACGAGAACUCCCGCCGAGGAUGUUUACAUUAGGAGAAGAGCCCGAUGCAAUCAAGAGCAUUUCGUAUCAAUCUGAUGACACAAAGUUGUUUAAAGCUCUAUGUGAUUGUCUCACACCUGACGAAUUUGAGGAUCUGAAGGCGUCGAAGUUAGGAGUGUUCAUCAAAUUCAAGGAGCUUGACUUUGGUUGGACUUCAAGGCUGGUACAUUUUUUGCUCUGUUUCCAGCUAGACAUCAAGAAGAAGUUUGAGCUCUGGAGUCUUGUCGUUUCACAACCUGUGAGGUUUUCACUGAUAGAGUUUGAACACCUCACUGGGCUGAACUGCGAUUACAUCAAGGACCUGGAAAAUCCAAGAUGUGAGGUUACAACGGAGAUGGCUGCUUUCUGGGAGAAGAUGCAUGUUGAUAUCGAUACUGGGCCAAGUAUUGAACAGAUAACAGAAGCAUUUUACAACUGCGACGAGUGGUCUCGGGAUGAUCGCAUGCGGCUGGGAUACCUUGCCAUCUACGCAGGAUAUAUCGAAGGGAAAAAGUUCUCAUCCGCUACAUCAGCUAGUCUUGCAAGGCUAGUGAUGGAUUUAGAAAAAAUUGAGAAUUAUCCAUGGGGGAGAGUGGCGUUUAAGGUGCUGAUGGAUUCUCUGAAGGCAAACGACUUGACGCAAACUGGUUACACUGUUGAUGGGUUCAUACAAGUGCUCCAAGUGUUGGCGUACUAUGCUAUGCCAGAAUUGGGUGCUAAUUAUGGGUCUCCCAUACCAAACAGACCGUCUCCACUGUUGCUGGCUUACAAGGGUGGCAAAAGACAACGCAAAUGUUUUAAGGCUGCUAUCAAUAAACAGGUACUUAACUUCACUCCUAAGACUUCUCAGACGACUUAAAGUUAAGUCGUGUGGAAGUCUUCCAACAAAAGACCACGCAGACGACUUACUUUUAAGUCGUCUGAGUGGUCUUUUUGUUGGAAGACUUUCAGACGACUUAACUUUAAGUCGUCUGUGAACAAAAUACUUCUCAGACGACUUAACUUUAAGUAGUCUGUGAACAAAAUACUUCUCAGACGACUUAACUUUAAGUAGUCUGAGAACAAAAUACUUCUCAGACGACUUAACUAAGUUUAUAUCUUUUAUUUAUUGCAGACUAUCGUGAAGAACUUCGUUCAGAAGGAUUUUGAUGAAAUGUUUCCAAAAUGGGACGGAGACAUAGAUGACCCUGCCGCGGAUAACAUAAUUAAAGUCAUGUUUAAUGAUCCUGGAUGGGAGUGGACCAUGGAAUGCUGGCCAGUCACCGGUACUCGCAAGGUUGUGAAGAUGGAAGUGAUUCCAGUGAAGAAUGAAGUGAGUCCCGUGAAGUCAGAGAGUGUUGUGAAGGAAGAAAGUAGCAGACCUCGGAAGAAAGCUCGUAAAGGGUCUUCUGUUUCUGCUGAGACACCUGCGGCGGGUAGUGAAGGGAUGACGCAUCAGCAGAUUGAAAAGUCCUUGAAGGACAUAUCUGAUACCAUUAAUCUUGGCUUUGGGACGUGCCUUAAGGAGCUCAAGUUACUGGCGGAUAGGAUGGUAGCUGUGGAGAAGAAGGUGGGAAUCACCAACAGAGGGGGUUUAUCUGAUGAUCGUCAACUUACAACCACUUCAAAUCCACCAAAACUUGUUGACGAACCCGGGGUUAGUACCAAAACCUCUCCCAAAAUUGCAGAGAAGAGAGUCACUAGGCAAAGUGUUAGGAAGAGUCAGGACUGAUGUGAUUUGUUUCUUGUGUGCUUUGAUGAACAUGUGUGCUUUGUUUCUAGUGUGCUUUGAUGAACCACUGUAUGCCUUGAUUCUGAACAUGUGUGCUUUGUUUCUAGUGUGAAUUUGAUCUUUGCUGUAAGGGCUUUUGUUAAUAGUUUUUAAACACACUGUGAACUCGAAAUUGCAGAGUGAAAGCGUGAAUGGGGCGAAAGCAGGACAGAAGGAAGCCAAAGAACCGAGUUCCUCGAGAGAGCUCUGUCUUGUGAGUCCUGCAGACGACUUACCGAGUGAUGAUCCUAGCCUUCUUAUAUUGGACAAACAAGUUUCGACCGCUUCAGAUUUACUCGUUGAAGAAGCUAGAAGGCAGACAAAGAAGGAGACUGCUUUGGUGAAUCUCCGUAAAAAAAGUGUGCGAGAAAGGAAGCUUGCUCCCACACAGCAAACUCCUUUUAAGGGAAACAGCACUGCCAAACAGAUCAUUCCAAACAAACAGGUUGGCGGAGGCUAUGAUCCUUUUGCACCCAUUGACAAGAUGAAGUCGAAGGAGCUCACUGCAUGGGUGCAAAAAGAUCCGUAAGUUGCUGUUAAAAAUAUGCUUACUUAUAUUUGAUUAAAAAAAGCUUCUAUUUGAUUAUUUACAUUUUGUGUUUGCAGUUCUUAUAAACUGCCUCUGAAAAAAAAACCACGUAGAUGUCGAAGUCGAUUCUAUCAGGUCCUCCGAACCCCCUUAGAAUGGCUAACCGACCAUGUAAGUCUUCUGCUAUUUUCUAACUCUUAUAUAAGUCGUCUGGUAGUUAUCUGGUACUUUUCUGAUUUGUAUAAGUCGUAUGUGAGUCGUCUGUGAGUCGUCUAUAAGUCGUCUGGUAGUUAUCUUAUGUAAGUCGUCUGUAAGUCGUCUGUAAGUCGUCUCUAAGUCGUCUCUAAGUCGUCUGUAAGUCGUCUGGUAGUUAUCUUACGUAAGUCGUCUGUAAGUCGUCUCUAAGUCUUCUCUAAGUCGUCUCUAAGUCGUCUGUAAGUCGUCUGGUAGUUAUCUUACGUAAGUCGUUUGUAAGUCGUCUGUAAGUCUUCUCUAAGUCGUCUCUAAGUCGUCUCUAAGUCGUCUGUAAGUCGUCUGGUAGUUAUCUUACGUAAGUCGUCUGUAAGUCGUCUCUAAGUCUUCUCUAAGUCGUCUCUAAGUCGUCUGUAAGUCGUCUGUAAGUCGUCUGUAAGUUUUUUUGACUUGUAUUGUUUUAUAUGCAGCAAAUGGAUGCUUUUAUUAAUAUACUGAGGCAACGGUACCAAAACCAUCCAGAACAUUUCAGGAGCGACAGAAUGUGCUUUCUUGAUCAUGUCUUUUCUCGGCAGUGGAGGGCCUCCUACCCUGAUUUUAAGAGCGACGCUCCUGAUGCCAACGGUUUAGGAAGAAGACUCCCUGGUGGGGCGUGGAAUUAUCAUGCAGGCGUGAUACCUUCUUUUUGCCAAUCUAAGAAGGUUUGGGGGGGUGGAUGUGGAUGAUAUCUAUGCACCUGUGAACUUCAAGAACCAGCAUUGGAUUGCUAUAUGGAUAUCGAUCCCUAAGAGGCACAUCGUCGUCUGGGACAGCAUUGUCUCUCAUAUUAGCCCUGAAGAACUCGAUGAGGUAAUGGAGCCUUUUCUCACAAUGGUCCCUUAUCUGCUUGUUGAGUGCGCGCUCUCUGACGAACAAAAGGUUCAAUACACAUUGGAGCCAUACACAUAUGCGAGACAAACCGUUGGAGUACCUCAGUGCCGAGCUGGUGAUUGUGGCCCUUUCACUCUGAAGUACAUCGAAUGUCAUGCUCUUGGGAUAGAAUUUCCCACCGCGUUUGACAAAAAACACGGGAAGACCAUCAGGGAGAAGAUGGCGCUGGAUAUAUUUCGAGAGCUUUCUAUGUGCCAUGAAUGGGAAAACCAAGACAAUGAUGAGAACCUGGCAACGUAUGAUUAGAUAUUGGAUGUGUUAUUGUGUGCUGUUGCGAUUGUAUUUGAACUUGAUGCUUUUGUGUACUGUUGUUAGGUAGAUUAGGGGAUGUUAACAGGGUCAGGAUAGGAUGAUGUUUUUUUGUAACCUAUCCUCACACCAAACUAGAAUUCCGUAGGAAAUUAGUUUGGUAGUGCAGUAACCUUUCGGAAUAUGUAAUGUUUAACUUGUCUUUUUUAAAUUGCACUGUUGGAAUUAGUUUCGGAAUAUGUACUGCUUAACAUAGAAGGUCUACAAAGAAAAGUUCAUAAAACAUAUAAAUUCAUAACAUAGAGUCUACAGAGAAGUUCAUAAAACAUAGAAAAUCAUUGUGGACGACUACAGAGAAGUUCAUAAAACAUAGAAAAUCAUUGGACGACUUACUUAAAGGUCUUCUGGACGACUACAGAGAAGUUCAUAAAACAUAGAAAAUCAUUGGACGACUUACUUAAAGGUCUUCUGGACGACUAACCAGAAGAAAAUUCUAAUUAAGACGUUGGACGACUAACUUAAAGGUCUUCUGAACGACUAACCAGAAGAAAAUUCUAAUUAAGACGUUGGACGACUAACCAGAAGGUCUUCUGGACGACUUACCAGAAGAAAAUUCUAGUUAAGUGAUAUUACGUGUAUACGCACACCAAAUAACCUAAUGUGCACACUACCACAAUCGAAUGGUAUGUCGAUGUAGCACUUUAGGAUCGAAUCCACAGAGACCAACUAUUACACUUUAUCUUUAUGGGAUCAAUAUCAAGCUAAAACAAUAUGGGGGUUUUAAAGUUGAUUUCGUAACAAGCAAGUAAAAAGAUUAAUUAAAGAUUUCAGAUGAUUAAAAUGCUAGCCUAGGGUGGUUUGGUCGGGUGUUAAACAAGUGUGAGCCAAACAAUUAUUCAAGUUUAAUUAAGAGCAAGUCUAGAACUCGGAUCACUCAAGUAGAACAGCCCACUGUCGUGGAACUGCCCCCUAUGCUGAUCGAUCUUGAUACCUAAACUCUCGUUUGGAUCAAGAUGCGACAGCAAGCAAUAGAGAUCAAGUCCGAUAGGUUCACCAAACACCCUAAUAUCUACUUUCGCUGAUUAGGGAUGCUAGGCUCAUUCAUAACAGAUCUAGCAACCUAUUACACGGUUAAUGAACAGGUUAAACCUAGGAUCUAACAUUAAGCGGCCAGAUUAAUGCAAGCAUUAAGAACAGUUAUGAAUGAAGACAAUCAAUGGUUUCACUUAUCUAUGUUUAACUCACGGAUCUAACACCCGAACACCCUAGACUAAGCAAGUUGACUACUCAGCCAUGAACAGAGAAAACACAGAGAUCAAUUCUGAAUAAGACUUCAUGUAAAUAAAAGAGAUAGAAAGAGGGUUCAGGAUAAUCUUCUCUAUGGUGAGAGAGAUGGAGCCUUCUCCCUUUACAAUCCAAAAGCACAAAAGUCUCCAAUGGUUUUCUUCUGUCUAGAAUAGCGUAGAAUGAUAAAGAGAAACAGAAAAUAUGAUAUAUCAAAGCCACAGGCGGCUGGGAGAGAAAAUAUGGAUAAUUAGGGCAAAUCCCGUAAUGAUUGUAGUUUCCUAAAAAAUCUCUGCCGCUGGAACACUCACUCGGAACAGUCAUCAAGACUGUUCUGCGUGAAAACCACCAAAUUGCAUUGUUUUCUGCCUCUUUUGUUCCAGCUGAUCCAUCUCCCAUCCAAUGCAACUCCAGACCUGUAAUGACUCCAAAAGGACUAGGAAGACUCGAUAAAGACUUGAAAACCAAUUUAAAAGCAUAUAUACAAGAUGUAUAAAACACCAUAUAUCAAUUCCCCCAGACUUAGAUCCUUGUUUGUCCUCAAACAAUGUCAAGUAUCAAGAACAGGGAGAAAGGUUUGAAAGUGUGGGAACUCUCCUAUUCUCAGCAACCAUACUUUAACCACGAAUCUCUGAACCAUACAAGCAGUAAAACUAGGACAACACACCCUUACCGGAACCCCACUGACUGCUGUUCAAAAAUCGGCUCCAUACUCUUCAUCUCAAACCUGAAAAAGCAACACUAUCGAGACAGAACUCCCUACAUUCAUUUAAGAGUAGCGUGAGCUUCUCAUCACAGGCAUCAUUCAGGGUAGACGGUCUAGGUGUGGAACAGGCUAUUUAAUGGUGGAGUUAAGAGUGUUUAGGGGCUACCAUUUCAUUGAAGAGGAUGCAGGAUAUCACACAAAAUGGCAAGAGAGGAUAGAUCCAUUGAUGUCCACAGCCUCUACUCGUUUUUGCUCUAUCUGGUGCGACUGUUCUGAUGACGGAACAGGCAACUGAUUGUUCUGCUUUCCACUUUCCUCUACACACUCUUCAAUACUUGGUACCAACUUCUUGCUCGACCUUUCCAGUGGCUCCAUGUUUCUUUUCUUUCUUCCCCUUCUCCAUCACAUUAAUCUCGUUUUUUUUUUUUUUUUUUUUUUUUUGAAGACUGAUAUGGUGAUGUGACGAAGAAGGAGGUAACACAUGAUCGUUCUGAGUGCCACUGGUGGUUCUGAUUUCGCGACCAUUCUGGUUCUCCACCCCUGCUCUUGCGCAGUUCAUUGGUUAUGGAGCGGUUGCUCCCUUAAUCUGCUUGUUCUCCUUUCUGACAUAAUUUCUGCAGCAGUAACGAGUAGGAGGCUGCGUUGAUCCUUUCCUCUCCGACCUUUUUGCACAUAUCUGCACAUAUGACACUGAAAAACAAAUGCAUGAAGGUGGAAUAAAGGCUAAGGUGCAGGGUGGGAACUAGCUAAAGAUGAGCUAGCCACUCAGGAUCAGCAAGAUGGAUAAAAAGGAUAAGAAGUCCUGAGUGUGUUCUCGUUUCCCUGAUCUAAUGCCCAUAACAAGAAGAAUUUCAGUCAAGAUUAGGUUCAAGUAAGGUGGAGUUAAGUCUACCCAGUGUAACCUGAUCGGCUGAGAACUUCUGGAGAAUCAAGUGAGAUAUGUCAGGGUGUUCCAGGUCCACAUGUGUGUCUUUCGCCACUGCUAAGGUCACUGAAUAAGAUAACUAAAGCACGAGGUGGUUAGUGAUCAACACGGAAUAAGGUCCUAAUUCCCACAAAAUUUUGACUGACUCAAUAAAAACUGACUCGAAUUGACCCAAAAGAAAAACAAAAGAAAGAAACGAGUUAGUAAACGACGAAAACCCUCCCCCAGACUUACUUCACAACGUCCCUGGUGUGAAAAUAAAUCAGAGAGAAGGUGAAAUCAAGAAUAAACAUUUUUUUUUUUGUUCGAGAUACUUACCUGGCGCGGAGCAGCCUGACAGAGCAAGACGCGGUUGCUCCGGUAAAGGAUGCUAUGGAAUGAGAACAGCCAGCUGCUUGCUCCAGUCAAGGGUCUCGGAUUUUCUGAUUUGUGACCUGAGACUCAACAAACUAAAAACAAAAAUAAGUAAAAAGAAAAUCCUAAUGUUAAUGACACUCACCAGUGGGUUGCCUCCCACCAAGCGCUUGGUUUAAGUCUCUAGCUUGACUUGGUGACUGGGAUCAGUCGGGUUGAGCAGGAGGGCUUGUUCCAAAACAAGCUCCACAAUCAGACAUGUUCAGCUUCAAAACUCUGCUCAACAACCCUUUCACAGCAGCUUUCCCUUUCUCCUUCAGCUCAUGUGUGAGAAUAGCUCUGACUUUAGAGAAAGGUUUAGAGGUACCCUUGCACUUUACCUCAUACUCAAUGGAGUUCUCAUCACACUUGAGAGGUAUCAAAGUCAUUGUAGGAUCUCCCUUGAUCCUUUUCUUCUGGACUUUCUGUUUCACCCUUGAAUUCCCUCUGAAUUUAGUAGGAUCAGUGCUAGGAUCUUCAUCAGAGAACAGCCUGCUCUCACCCUUAUCACCAUGCUCCUUCUCUGGAACAACCUUCAGCUUUUCUACAUCAAACACUGAGAUGCGAGAGGCGUGUGAUGAGGAAGAUCUGGUGGGUACAGCCUUGUAGAAAACUUUCUUGUUGAUGUUGGAGAAGCAGACUCUCUUGUUGGGCAUAUCGAUGGUUGCUCCAACAGUAGCCAUGAAUGUCCUUCCAAAUAUCAAAGGCAUCUCAUGAUCCUUGUUCAUCUCAACAACUUGAAACUCAGCAGGAACAAUGCAUUCCCCUACUUGAACAUGAAGGCUGCGGAUGGUUCCAUAUGGGACUGCUCUGGAAGAGUUUGCAAAGGUCAGGGUCAGCUGAGAACGCUCAACAUCAGCAAUACCCAAAUCGUCUACAAUAGCCUUUGAGACGAGAUUCACACAAGAACCAGAGUCACACAGAGCAUCCUUGAAGGUUGUUCCUGCGAUGGAGCAUGGGAAAACAAACUUUCCAGGAUCAUCAACCUUAGGCAAUACCUUCAAUGCUGGUGUAGACAGUGCUUUGAUAUAGAGGACCUUGAUCUCCUCUUGAGUCUCUCUACAGUGUUUAAAGAACUGGAGCAAUGGACGAAUCUGCAGAGCAUCUUCGAAUGCAAGUUCUUUAGGAAGCCUUCUCACCAUCUUGUUAAAACCUAUCAGCUGCUCUUCACUAAUGGGAUCCAUCAGAUGUCUAGGUGGAAUUGGAUAGGGAACCUUGGGAACAUAGACUCGAGAUGGUGGAGUCUCAGCAGGUUCGCUAGGAGCAGUCACUCCAGAGCUAGCAGACUGCUCUGCUCUCUCUUCUGCGCCUGAAGCAGUCUCAGCAAACGGCUGCUCUAUUGCAUUACAGUGCUCAGUCCUAGGAUUUUUAUCAGUUCUUCCAGGAAGCGUCUCUUGUUGCCUCUUGACACUCUCAACUGUUUGAGCAAGCUGAACAUCGAUCUUUCUUAUAUGGAUCGCAAGAUUGUCAUACUUGUUAUUCAGCUCAGUGAACAUGUUGCCCAUCCUGGUGUCUAUUUCCGUGGUUACCUGAUUCAACGCCUUGGCCUGAACCUGCUGACCCUGCAACAGCUGUUGCAUCAUCAUACCCAGACCCUUCAGCUCAUCUGGUUGACUGUUCCCGGUAGCUGGAACAGCAUGCGGAUUGCUCUGCGGUUGUCGCUGGUUCUGGUUCUGAAUAUGCCCGGCCGUAGGUUGUUCCAUGCUGAAAACGUGCCCUUGGUUGUUUUUCAGUAGCUGAUCAACCUUGGCAGUCAGCUCAUCUAUUUUCUGGGCGUCAGAACUGUUUCCUUUCUUGGAGCAAUCACUCUCCUCUUUCUUAUUAGCUGAGCUAGCAGCCAUGUUCUCAAUCAGCUUAAACGCUCCAGCUGUGGUUUGAGUCAUGAAAUCUCCAUUGCUCGCAGAGUUUAGAGCACCUUGGUAUUUCCAGUCCACUCCAUCAUAGAAAAUGUCCAGGAUAUAAUCAUCAUCAAAUCCAUGGUGAGGACAUUCUCUGCGAUAGUCAUUGAAGCGCUCCCAUGCGUCGCAGAAAGCUCAUCAGUGAGCUGUCUGAAGGAGGUGAUCUUGUUCCUCAAUGCAGCUGUUCUCGCCUUAGAGUAGAAAUGGCUGAGGAACGCUGAUCGGACCUGUUCCCAUGAAGUGAGAGAGCCGGUAGGGAGAGAGUUCAACCACCGUGCAGCUUUUCCAUCAAGAGAGAAUGGGAAUAACAUGCACGUGAUGUAGUCUGGUGGAACACCAUUCACGCGAGUGAAACUGCAGACUUUUUCGAAGCUCUCAAUAUGCUCCAUUGGAAUUUCUGUAGAGAGACCAGAGAACACCUUUCUCUGUACUAGACCAAUCAAAGCAGGCUUGAUCUCGAAGUCCUGCCUGGUGCAAGGUGGAGGAACAAUGGCAGAGCGCGUAGUAGGGAUGUUACGCGGAAGGUUUCUCUGCCCGAUUGGAACAGUCUGCGCCUGUUGUUCCUGCUGCGCGAGAGCAGCCUGUUCAGCAGCAUCCUGCUGAGCUUGGAUGGUCUGCUGCAUUUGUUGCAUCUGCUGCUGCAUGUGCAACUGAGCAGCGAGAUCUCCUGAUUGGCGUGAUCACCCAUAGUGGUGUCAGUUUGCCUUGGCUGUUGACGAUUUGUUCUUUCUAACCUUGCUAGCUCCUGGUUGGUAAAUGUAACUAACUCUCCUUGUGCGUUUCUCCGAGUAUGUCUACUGGUCAUGCACCUGGAACAUUAGCUGCAACAAAAAGGAUAAGGCAAGUUAGAGGUCUUAGACUAAAUAAAUAACCGAAAAAUAAAGGUAAAAAGAUGGUCCCCGGCAACGGCGCCAAUUUGAUAUUACGUGUAUACGCACACCAAAUAACCUAAUGUGCACACUACCACAAUCGAAUGGUAUGUCGAUGUAGCACUUUAGGAUCGAAUCCACAGAGACCAACUAUUACACUUUAUCUUUAUGGGAUCAAUAUCAAGCUAAAACAAUAUGGGGGUUUUAAAGUUGAUUUCGUAACAAGCAAGUAAAAAGAUUAAUUAAAGAUUUCAGAUGAUUAAAAUGCUAGCCUAGGGUGGUUUGGUCGGGUGUUAAACAAGUGUGAGCCAAACAAUUAUUCAAGUUUAAUUAAGAGCAAGUCUAGAACUCGGAUCACUCAAGUAGAACAGCCCACUGUCGUGGUACUGCUCCCUAUGCUGAUCGAUCUUGAUACCUAAACUCUCGUUUGGAUCAAGAUGCGACAGCAAGCAAUAGAGAUCAAGUCCGAUAGGUUCACCAAACACCCUAAUAUCUACUUUCGCUGAUUAGGGAUGCUAGGCUCAUUCAUAACAGAUCUAGCAACCUAUUACACGGUUAAUGAACAGGUUAAACCUAGGAUCUAACAUUAAGCGGCCAGAUUAAUGCAAGCAUUAAGAACAGUUAUGAAUGAAGACAAUCAAUGGUUUCACUUAUCUAUGUUUAACUCACGGAUCUAACACCCGAACACCCUAGACUAAACAAGUUGACUACUCAGCCAUGAACAGAGAAAACACAGAGAUCAAUUCUGAAUAAGACUUCAUGUAAAUAAAAGAGAUAGAAAGAGGGUUCAGGAUAAUCUUCUCUAUGGUGAGAGAGAUGGAGCUUUCUCCCUUUACAAUCCAAAAGCACAAAAGUCUCCAAUGGUUUUCUUCUGUCUAGAAUAGCGUAGUAUGAUAAAGAGAAACAGAAAAUAUGAUAUAUCAAAGCCACAGGCGGCUGGGAGAGAAAAUAUGGAUAACUAGGGCAAAUCCCGUAAUGAUUGUAGUUUCCUAAAAAAUCUCUGCCGCUGGAACACUCACUCGGAACAGUCAUCAAGACUGUUCUGCGUGAAAACCACCAAAUUGCAUUGUUUUCUGCCUCUUUUGUUCCAGCUGAUCCAUCUCCCAUCAAAUGCAACUCCAGACCUGUAAUGACUCCAAAAGGACUAGGAAGACUCGAUAAAGACUUGAAAACUAAUUUAAAAGCAUAUAUACAAGAUGUAUAAAACACCAUAUAUCAUUAAGACGUUGGACGACUUACUUAAAGGUCUUCUGGACGACUUACUUAAAGGUCUUCCACGUCAGUUCUUACAUUGUGGACGCUUAUGGCCAGUUUCUUUGCAGACUGAGCACCUAUAAACCAUGUGUUGCUUCCGGGGUUUGCGUCCUCUCAUCCUGGAUAGCUCCAACCAAGAUUGCCAUCUUGAUUUCUUCUGUCUCCCCGGACCACGCUUUACUUCCGGAGGAAAGGAUGUGCUUGCCUCAACAAGUUGUCCAACACAAGGAUAUAUAUUCUCUGAGUAUCCUGCAAACAAAGUAUCCUUUGAGUAGACCGGCCACACAAGUGUGGAGAUAUGCACACCAGCUGCUGUUCCAGCUGCUAUAGCAUGAGAGCAAGGUAUUUUCUCGACUUGAUAGACACCACAAUCGCACUUUUGAAGUUCCAGAUCAACAUUACAGUCCCUAUUGCCACCUUUCACAAAGAACUUCCAUCCAUCAAUUUGUUGGACUCUCAGAGUAUACGCGUUCUCCUCUCGGACAGCAAGCAAGUGUUCAACACCCCGACUAUGUUGAGUUGUAAGACUCAAAGCAUCUCCUCUCCUUUUCCAGUACCACCUUCCUAGCUUCUCCCUUAUGAACUCCAGCAGGAACUGAAUAGGAAAUCCUCUUGCUCGCUUCAGUGCGGAGUUAAUUGAUUCAGCGAUAUUGCUCGUUUUUAAGUUGUACCUGUCUCCCUAACAAUGAACCCUAGACCAUAGGGUCACAUCGGCUUCCUCCAGAUACUCAGCAAGAUCCGGAUUUGCACUUCGUAUCUCAUCCAUGUACCGAUCAAAAUCGUAAAGUGUAUGAGCAUAAGCAGCACCUUUCACUAAGUACAAGAGAUGCUUCCCUUUAUACUUUUUGACAAUAUUCUCUUGAAGGUGAUAAUAACAUAUUCCUCGGGUUGCCCAAGGAAACACCUUUUCACACGCAUUUAUAAUGGAGGCGUGCCUGUCGGAGACUAUCACCAGAGGAUACUCAUCAGAUACACAGCUCGCCAAUUUUGUGAAAAACCAUUCCCAAGAUUCAUCAUUCUCACCAUCUACGAUCCCAAAAGCCAAUGGAUAUAUCUGAAAAUUACCGUCUUGUGCGGCUGCAACCAACAUAGUACCCCCAUACUUCCCACUUAGGUGAGUCCCAUCUACCACAAUGACCCUUCUCUGAUACUUAAAUCUUCUGAUUGAAGCUCCAAAAGCAAGAAAUAGAUACUUAAAUCUAUUCAGAGAAUCAAGUUCUAUAGCUGUGAUAGAACCCGGAUUUGCUGCCUCGAUUUGCUCCAAAUAUGAAGGCAAUCGCUCAUACCCGUCUUCCGCUGAUCCUCUCACCAUUUCUUGCGCAUAUAACAAUGCUCUGUAUGAAGUGGUGUAAUCAAGUGUCAUGCCAAACAUGUUCUUCAUUGCAUCUUUGAUAUGCUGCGGAUUCAACCCAUCAAUGAUUCUAACUCGAUCUAUGAAAAGUCGACCAAUGUACUUCGGAGUACAACGUUUCCGCUGAGCGAUUCUGUCUGGGAUGGAACAUGUAUGAGUUGCCAAAUACUUGGUUACCCAAAACGUUUUAGUCCCAUGUUUCACACUUGCUCGGACCUUCCAUUGACAACCACUAACACGACAUGUUGCCACAAACAGAGUUUUCGUUGACUUGAAUAUUCUGAAGGAGAACCUACGCCUCACCGCUGUCGACCGCAACUCUGAAAGCAGUGCAUCCUUACUAGCAAAACUCUGGUUGACAUAGAUUCUGUCUGCAGAUGAUCCUUCUCCUUCACAACCAUAUGCCCCUUUGUAAUCAUCAAAACAGAUUUCAUCAUCUUCUUCCUCAUCCUCAUCUUUAACAUUUCCAUACUCACUAUAAUCCUCAGCAUCAGCGACAACAGGGAUGUCAGCAUCCUCCUCCCCAUCAUGAUCCUCAGCUUCAUCCCCCUCUUCAGCUUCAUGCCCCUCCUCAGCUUCUUCCCCCUCCUCAGCUUCAUCCCCCUCUUCAUCUUCAUCGCUUACAUCAGCUUCAUCCCUCUCCUCAGCUUCAUCCCCCUCCUCAGCUUCAUCCUCCACAUGAUCUUCAUCCCUUUCCUCUGAAACCGUUCUCAUCUUGCUAAAGCUUGAUACACAAAGACGUACUUCAUGCGUUUUAGUUAUCUCGAGCAAGUUCCGAACUUGUCUAUCACUUGUAACAUGAAUAGGAGGAAGGUCUGGAGCCAUCUGUUGUAAUGAGUAGAUUAGCUCCACAGACUCUGUGUUCAUGUCCAGGUUAUAAUCUUCUUGAGUCAUUGCAACAAGAUCAGCAUGUGUCGAACCUUCAUUCAAAAAUAACAUUCUCGCUCCUUUGAAAUGAUCAACCACAAAAUUCCAACAUCCAUCUUUCAACAACCAUUGUCCAUACACUGCAUGUAACUGACGCAUCAUCUGAAAAAGUCAAAAUAAAACACAUUAGCAAACUUAGAACAAAGAAAACAAAAGUUUAUUAAAGAUCGAAGCGGACGACUUCAAUCUAAGUUGUCUAGACUACUAAACUAUACGUCGUCUGGUCAACGCAGAGGUUAUUUUUGCAAUUGAAUUUGAAAUCUGGCUGUCGACGACUUACCUGGAAGUCGUCUGGCUGUAGACGACUUAACUUUCAGUCGUCUCAGGUUACAGAUUUCAAAGUCAAUUGCAAAAAUAACCUCUGCGUUGACCAGACGACUUCUAGGUAAGUCGUCUACAGCCAGACGACUUCCAGGUAAGUCGUCGACAGCCAGACGACUUCCCAAGUAAGUCGUCUGACGAACAGAUCUGGAAAAAAACUCGAUUUCAUACCUUAAAUUGGUGAGAUAAGUUCCUUAGCAUACAUAAGGCUUCUCCAAGCACACAGAAUCACAAACGAAAGUGACCCACCCUGAAUCGUUAGCUUCUAUGACUCUAUGAACCAUAAAAAUUUUAGAAUCAAAAUCUUGGGUUUUCUUAGCUCAUUGUGGAGAGAAAGUGAAAGAUAUGUUGUGUUUAGUUCACAAGAAUGAAAAAAGAAGAAGGGUAAAUCGAUUUUGGGAGCAUUAAGAGCUUCAAAUUGGUUGUUCAUGGUGGUUGUGGUAUUGAUGACAAUGGCAAUCUUGUAAUUACUUGAAGAUGAUGAGGGUGAGAGAGUAAAAAUGUCAUUUUCGAAAAGAAAAAAAAAAUUGAUGGCAUUUUCGUAAAUUAUAUGAACUUGUGGAGUGAAUACGGCAAAACUAAUUUCAAAAAAAAAGGGAGGUUAGUUUUGUGUUUGACUUUAAGUUGUAGGUCAAUUUUGCAAAAACCCCUAUGAAUUUCUAUGAAUAGGUCUAUUAGGUUCAUUUUUAAAAAAAUCACAAAUGAAUCAAGGUUGUGACUUCUGUUUUAAUAUAUAAGAUAUAGGAAAGUUGUUUCUUUAUUUAGUCGCUCUUUUUUUAUUGGAUAAUCGACUAAUCGUUUUCGCUAAUUAAAACAGCCUAUAGGCUUCUCAUUACGCUAUAUAUUUGAACAACAUUGUCGGCAUAUUAUAAUUCUAUUACGUCUAACCUAUUUUAAAAAAUGAUAUAGUACUAUACUAUAUAACAAAAUCUCAUCGUUAUUAUCAUUAUCGUACAUCCGUCGUUAUUCAUUCGUGCUAUAUAAUACGGCUAUCGCACCAAGCAGGCAACGUGAUAUGAAAUAUAUUAACAUUUUGGUUAGGAAUAACGUAACAGAAAAAUAUGUCGUCAGCUAUGUGACGAUUAAGUAAAGUGAGGCACUUAUUUACUAAUUUAAUGAAAGAAUAUACACAGUAGAUUAGGCCAAUUUCGUCAACUUGUUGGGAAAGUAGCCAACAAACCCAAUACAAAACUAAAUUCUACUAGUUAGUUUCUUGGUAAAACUCAACUAAUCGUAACUUUACGCUGUUUUAUUAUUUUUUCCUAAAUCAUGAUAAUAUCGAAUAUGAUUAAAUCAUUUAGUUAUUAAAAAUAUUAAAUCAUGUUAAUAAAGUAAGUAUAUUAGUAUACUAUAUAUAUAUUUUUUAUUUUAGUUAGGAAAGAAAUGCUAAGCCACAGAAUCUAAUAUGUUUCCUAAAUCAACGGUCAUGAUUGAUUAAGAAUAGUCUUCCUUUUGACCAAGUCUAAUCACUAAACCUAAAUAAAUAAACAACAAACGAAGGCAAAUGCUGUUUUGUUACUUAUUACAAUCUCACACAGCCUUGAGACACAACACAAAAUGGCUAACUCAAACGAUUGGUCUCACCUCUACAGCAACAACCAAGCCUUCUACACAACUUCCACCAUCACUUCAACCGCCGUCACAACCACCACAGCAGCUUCUCCCUCCGGUGAAGCCACCUCCAUGGACUCUCGUCUUAGUCCAGAAACAGGCCGUGUAACCAAACCGGCACGUAGAAGAUCAAGAGCCUCACGUAGAACACCAACAACACUUCUCAACACGGACACAUCAAACUUCCGCGCCAUGGUUCAGCAGUUCACGGGCGGUCCAUCCGCUAUGUCUUUCGGGUCAGGUAAUACCACUUCCGGUUUUAGCCUCACCUCUUCGUCGGAUCCAUCCGCCGGAUCUUCCCAACAAGUUCCUUGGCAAUAUAGUUACCAGCCUCACGCGCCGCCUCCACCGCAACAGCCUUAUAUGUUCUCGUUAAACAACAUGAAUCCCGUCGUUGGGUAUAGUAACAUGAACAACCCUAAUACGAUGGUUCCUGGUGGUUUUGGAACCGCGGGCGGUGGAGGAGGAGGUUCUGCUCCGUCGUAUAAGGAAGCCACGAAUAGUAAUACGUCGUCUUCGAGACUGCAAUGAGAAAACGAUUGGAUUCUUUUGAAAUAUUUUUUUCUCCUUUUUCGCAUAAAGGCAGAAAUGUUAGGUACUGACUUUCUUUUGUCAUAGAAUGACAACUUUGACUGUUGUAUAUUUAAGUUUUUCGUUUUCAUAUUCAAGCUUUUUAUCUUUGUUUUAGGCGUUGAGCAUUUGUUUACAGCGUUAUCACUUAUCAUGGUCCUAAAUAAGCAAAUAUUCAAUGACUGAAGUUGCACACUUGCUUGCAUUCAAAAGAAAAACUCCAGUUUGGCAGUAAGCAAAAUAAAAUAACGUCUCCAAAUAAAUCUAUAUGUUUUUACGAGAAUACAUUAUCUGUUAUACUCCCUCUGUUUCAAAAUACAUGAAGUUUUAAGAUUAUACACAACUAUUAAAAAACUUGUUUUUUAUUUUAAAAAUAUCAUUAAAAUAUAAAUUAAAAAUUAUUUAACCAAUCACAAAACAGACUACAAAAUAUCAUUAGCUACACAGUUUUUGAUAAAGUGAAAAAAUACAUUGAUAUAUGAAAACAUCAUCUAUUUUGAAACAUCAAAAACUACCUAAAACAUCAUCUAUUUUGAAACGGAUGGAGAAUAAAUUAUUAUGGCAUCCAUAUUUUCUACUAGACUUAGGUAAACUAAAGCAAUGUUCUCGAACACUAAUAUAUCACGUAUAUAUAUUAUAUAUAUUAACGCUCUAUAUAUGUUAAAAACAUACUUUCACGUAAAGUUCUGAACUACAUGUGAAAAAUUGAAAUUUCUUCAAUAUUAUUCAAAUUAAUAGUAGUAUAUAUGUAUAACGUGCAUGUAAUGGAGGAAAUGUGAGAGAAAUAGCUUACAUCCAAUUUCUGUAUUCAUUUAUUGUAGGCAUUCAAACAUGAAAAUUAGUUAGUGUGAAUGUAGUUUUAUCUGCUUUGCCAAAUUAGCUCGAUAAAAUGCAAAAUAUGAAUAUAACUUUAUAUAACUUAUUUUAUAAAAUGUGCAUGGAAUGGAGGAUGCCUACAAUAAAUGAAUACAGAAAUUGGAUGGAGAAUGCCUACAAUAUAUGAUCCACUUAAGCUACAUUCAUUUACUUACACCCCAACGAUUGUAUUCUUAUUCGAUAAAACUGUAACUGUAAGUGAAUGUUCUUUUACCAAAUUGUAGCGAUAAUAUAGAAUAUGAAUAUAAGUUAAAACUUUAUAGUUUGCUUCUUUUUAUGGCACAAUAUAUUUUCUAUUGUCAUAUAACUUGUAGACGGAAAACGAUGACUAUCCUUUUCCAGUUCACAAUUUGAUUACUUUUUUCUUUGUCUUCAAUCACUAACUUUAUAAGAUUGUUGAAAUAUAUUUGAAGGAGAAUUUUCGCCAAGACCAGAAUAAUCUUUUAACAUUAAAAUAUGGUGAUGAUUAAUUGGAUCAUAUAGAAAUUAAACUUGCUUUUCGUUGGAAACAGAGGAAGCUUUUGGGUGAAGGUAGGCUACCAACAUUAACACACCUAGAUUCUUACGUUAUCGUUUAUUUUUCCUCUUUUAAUUUCUUCCCGCUCAUAUUAAUUAUGAUUUAGACUGAAAGUGAGAUGGAUCUUUUGAUUUAGAUCGAUGUUUUUGUUAAUAUAGAGUUUGGCCAAUAUACCAAAGCCAAACUCUAUACUUAUAGAAUGUCUUUAGUUUUUUUUCUUAGUCUUUUGCAUUUUUAAUAGAUUUUAGAUUCUUAAGAUAAAUCCAUAAAUUAAUAAGAGAAUAUUUCUAUCAUGUUGUAGACGUGUUUAUAUUUGACAAAUAAAAUAAUAUAAAAGGAAUUAACAAUGAAGAAUCUUAUUAAAAAAAAAGUAACAUCGACGAAGUGACAAAAAAAUUGAGUGAUAAAGGGGUUGUGAAGAGGGGAUGUAUCUAAUACGCAUUGUGGGUCCCUUAACCUCAAGUGAAAUUUCCUUUUCUUAACUGAAUUUGAAUUCAUUCAUCAAUUAUUAUACUAUACAACUAGGCAAUAAUCCGCACCUUGCGCGAAAUAUGAUUAUUAGUUUCGUUAUUUUUUAAUAAAGAGACAUUAAUCUAUUUAAUUUGAAUAUCGGUUCGGUUUUAGGUUGAUUUUUGGUUUUUAAUCUCCUAAAAUAUAACUAUCAUUUUAAAUCAAUAUUUAUUUUGUUUGUUCGGUUAAAAUGUUUGAUGUUUUUGGUUUUUUUUUCAUGUGAUAAUUAAAAAUUACUAUUAUUUGUUUGUUUUCAUGUUAUGAAACUUAGAUAGUCGUGAUGUCGAAUCAAUGGUUUCAUAUUAUAGUUUCUAAAUAGAUAAUAGUUCAAAAAGAAAAGAAAAUUGUUAAGACAAAUCAUUUUACUACAAUUUGGUCGAUAGGGAAAGAAGCCUUAAGAAAAAGAAUAUUUUAACUUCAAAAAAAAUUUAGAUAUUUCAGUUGUGGUAAAUAUUUAGUUAUAAAGUGCUCACGUCAAUGUGUCCAUGUAUGUGUAUGUAAAGGUAUAUAAAGAUGGUUGUUAAAUAUAUAAAGAUAAUGUUAAUUAAUAUUAAAUGAUAUUUUUUCAAAAUAAUACAUGAAAAAUAAAAUUCUUAAAAUGAAUUUAUUUAAAAAUAAAAAUACUGUAAAAUUUAUAUAAACUAUAAUAUAUAACUUAUAUAUAAUUCUUUAAAUAUAUGUAUAUAUAUAUAUAUGCAUAUAACAGAUCAAAUUAGAUAUUCGUUCCUAUAAAUACUGAUAUUUGUGGUUUGCUCUUUUUUUUACUGAUAUUGCAUUUUAGUAUUUAAUUUGCUUCGUACAGUAACGAAUAUCCAGAUUUUUCGGUUCAAAUCAAAAUUUUAUGAAUAAUUGUCUAGCUGUAUUCGUAAACAGUAAAAAUAACGUAAAGAAGAACCAUGCAUGUGAGUUUUAUAUUAAAAAAAUGUAAAGUACAUAGUGUGAACAUAUUUAUGUAGUGUUUGGCUGAGAAACUCUGUACAUGUAAUAUGUGUCCAUUUUAGUGUGAACACAUUUAUUACAAUGCUUCUACACGUGACAUGUGUCCAGUUUAGUGUAAAUGCAUUUAUUACAAUGCUUCUCUUUUAAUAUAUAACGGAUUAUACAAAACAUCUUAUUACGAUCCUCAAUCUUAUACUUUGGUAGAUUUUGAUGUUAUUUAUGAUUAAAUUAGCCAUCUUCUUUCAUACAUACUUAAAUAAAUGCGAUAAUCAAUUCUUUUGAACAAGUAGAUAUAAAGGGUGAUUUUAAAACACAAGAGGAAGCAUUUUUUUUUUGUCAUCAAACAAACAAACUCAUAUUAACUAUGUGAACCAAACUGGUAGCUCUGCAUCCAUGUGAACGACGAAAGACGAUUGUUUUCUUGCACUCUGUACUAGAUUAUCCGUCUUUUGAUUCUCCGUUCGGGGUACAUGAAUGAUCUCUGAGCUGAAGAAACAUGUCUUCAGCAUCUUUAUAUCUUCUAGAUAAUUUUCAAACGCCAGCUAUUCUUUUGGUUCCGAAACCAUCUUCACCAAUUGAGAACAAUCCAUAGCAAAUGUGACAUAAUAUUGAUGUAAAUUUCUCAUACACUCCAUCACCCAUAUUAACGCUUCCAUCUCCGAAUGGAGAGGUGAAAGACUUGCCCGAAUAUUCCUUGCACCCAACAAACCAUCAAAUCCCUCAAGAAUAUUAUACCAACCCUCGUCUGAAUAAUACUCUUUAUCUUUCCAAAAACCAUCUAUAAAGCACCAAGGACCUGUCCUCCUCGGACAGUGCCUAACCUCAACUUGUUGUGAUGGCUGCUGAAUAUUCUUCACCUGAGCCUCAGCCCAAAGUUUGGAUUCGGUCUCCGCAAGAUUAAGUGUAUCUCGUGGGUCCAUAUCCAAAUUACUAAAAACUUUGUUAUUCCUACCUUUUCAAAUGUACCAUAAUAUCCAUACAAAAUGAUGAUCUUCCCUCUCCGGGAUAACCCUCCAGAAAAAAUGAUCCAAAUUUAUGAAGAUAGAACUAGUAGGGAAAAGAUCUAGGUUUGACAGUAUCUUUGACAACGCCCAAACUUGACGCAUAGGAGGACAUUAAAAAAAUACAUUAUUUAUUGAUUCCUCAUCAGCUCCACAUCGAGCACAACAUAUAUCUCCUUGAAUUCUUCUCGCUUGCAAAUUCUUUUUUCACAGCCAUACAUCCUGAUACCAUCUAUCAUAGAAAAUGAUUUAUUUUCGGAGGGUAUCUCAAUCUCACCUUCCAACAAAACGCUUUUAAAAUAUCCACUGUAGGACCAUAGACCUACGGUGGUUUUGCCUUAUCCGGAUAGACCCGUUCUAGCUGGUAUCUUGAUUUAACCGAGUAUUUCCUAUUAGUUGUGAAAUGUCAUCCAUCACUAUCCAUCAUCUGGUUUCUACUCAGGAGUAUAAUUUUAAUAAUUUUAGCAUUUUAGGAGUCCACCAGAGCCCAAAUUUUUUGCGUAUUCCAAGUUAGUAAAACUGGAUCAAUGAAAAAGUCUACAAUAGGUAGCAUUGAAUUGGAAUAAACUAUCUACUAUUCUUUCACCUAACAGUUUUUUGUAGUAAUAUAGUUUAGAAAUGUAUUUAAUUGUAUAUAAAUAUAAAUAUAAUUAUAAAUAUAUAUAUAUAUAUCUUAUGAGUUUAUUGAGUGGUAGAUUAGUGGUUGAGUUGUAGUUUUUCUAGAUGGUCAUGUAAAUUUCAAACUCCAUCCAUAUGGUAAUGUAAUGAUAUUACAAAGUAAAAACCAAAAUAAAAACUCUCACUCAGAAGUUCCAGAGCAGUUUGAUUUUUGAAGUCGCACAUUGUCGGAGGAAGCUUGAAUAGUGAUAGAUAAGACAACUCAACUAGAAACUUCGCGAGAUCCAUUUGAAUCACCUCAUUCGUACAUAAAUAAACACUCAUUUUAUUCAAAAAUUCAGAUAUAAGGUUUAAGUUUAACCAGUGUUUAAUUGUUUAUAAUCACCUUCUGGUAACUAUCUUAUUAAAAGGAAAAUUUCAUAAUUACCCAACUAAAUUUCGUUAAAUUUUUUUAUAUCCAAACUUUUAUACUACAUAGUUUAAUACUUCAACUAAUUAUUUUGCUCAGUUUAAUACGCUUGCUUUUAAAACUAUGUUCAUUUUAAUACACAAACUAUGCUAAUUUUAAUAAUAAGUUUUAAACAAAACUUUAAAAAUCUUUAAAUUUCAAAAACAAAAUUUAUUACCUAUUUUCUUUUUUAAAUAACAUAUGUUUGGAUAAUCUUAAUUUUUAUAAUAUUAGUUUUAGUGCUAAUUUCAAUUUUUUUUAUUUUCUGAAGUUUAAAAUAAUUUAUUUAUUUUAUUCAUGAUUAUGGUUUUCUAAAUUUUAAAAUACUAUCUCGUUAGUUUUAUUCCUAAAAAAUUAAAAUAAAGAUUUUUAAAAUUUUAUUUAAAACUUAUUAAUAUCUUUGAUUAAAAUUAAUAUAGUUUGGGUAUUAAAAUAACACAUUUUUAAAAGUAAAUGUAUUAAAAUGUGCAAAAUAAUUACUUGAAGUAUUAAACGGGUAUCAAACUGUGUUGGGUAUUUAACUAAGAUGAGUAAACUUUACAACAUUUUUUAUUUUAUUUUUGUCAUGAAAGUAUCAUUCAUUGAUUAGGUUGUACCAUUGUCAAUAUUUUCUUGUCAACGUACCAAUGUCAAUUUGUAAAGUUGAUCACAAACAGACUAGAAACCAUCUACAAGAAAUAAGGAUUCAACUUUUGUGAAGUAUUAUUGUCAAUUUGUGAAGUUGAUCACAAACAAAUUAUGAAUCAUCUGCAAUAAGAAAUAAGGAUUCAACUUCGGAAAUUGUGUCAAUUUAUGAAGUUGAAUCUUUAUUUCUUCUUUCAGAUGGUUCAUAGUCCAUUUGGGAUUAAUAAGUCAGUUUGUGCUUUGUAUAAACAACUCAAAUCUAGAGUAUUUCGUUCAGUUUUUGUAUCUACAACAGCGGGUGAUGACGAUGACAAUGGCGAUGGCGAUGAAAAUCCAGAUGGGGAUGGGAUUCUUCCUAUUGAUGGGAGGAAGAAUAGAGGAAGACAAUUUACUGAUGAUGUCAAGACAAACAGUUGAUCAAAGCCAAAGUUGUUAGCUGUGAGGUCUGGAGACAAAUGGAAGGUUGAUUGAUAUUGUAACCCGUAUGUUAUCAUCUCUCGGGGGAUCAGUUGCUCAUGUUUAUCAGUAUGAUCAUAUCGUUCCCUGGUGAUAGUUGAUUACAACUUUUAAAGACACACUAAAUUUAUGAUGAAACAAACAAAAUUAACUAAUUAAAUCAUUUAUAAAUGUUUAAAAAAAUAUUUAUAGAAGCUUAUAAACUAACUCCACCUCUUAAAUACUAAAACCUAAACAAUAAUCAUAAAUCUUGAAUCCAAAUAUUAGAGUAUUUUUGAUUGAUCAUAUUUUUUUUCUUUUUUUGAGCAAAGAUUGAGCAUAUAUAUUUUUAAAAUAGUAGCCAACUUAGAAUAUUUCAAGAAAUUUCGCUUAAAAGUAUCAUAUUGGUGUAAAUAUAAAGACUAUCUAAUUAUAUAUGUAAUUAUACUGCUGAUUUUAUUUUAUAUAUUUAAAUUAGGAACUAAAUGGAGUGAAAUGGAGGGUUGGUAUGUUAUCAUCUCUCACGAGGAUCAGAUGCUCAUGUUUAUUAGUAUGAUCAUUUCAUUCUCUGGUCAAAAUCACAUGACUCAAGCCUGGAGAAUUGUCAGGUACUCCAAUCAAUGGUGAAUACUUGGAAUGACGCUUUAUUACAGCUAUAAAUUUGGUUUGUUAAGCUUUUAAACUCAUAUUCUCUGUUUUGGAAGAUAAAUUGUCUAUUUGAAUUUUAGGGUCUGCUGUAGCGAUGAUUCACAAACUCUCAACAAUGGGAUCAUCACAAGAUAAUCAAGAACAGAUAAAGUCGUCUAAAGUAGAUAAUCUUCUUCUUGCAUAGCUUACAUAAUUCAUCAAAGUUAGCUUUUUUUUUGUUUGUUUGUCAAACGAAUUGUCUUGUAACCUCUUGUUAUUUGUGUCUUUGUCUAGUAGAUAUGUUUCUUACUUUGUGAUUACAAAUUAAACUCGAGAGUUUAGAUUUUUUGGUCUCUCGUUUGCCUUUAUUUUGAAGAAGUGUGAAACUUAUGAUGGUCCACAAAACUAGUCAAAUAACACAAGCUACUGAUUGGGGUUUCAUGUGGGACAAACCCAAGUUGAAACCCUCCAAAACUUUUGUACUAUUUUAACAUCUCUGUUUUUUUUUUUUACUUAUUUUUUGGUUAAAAUUGAGACUUUAGGCAUAUAAUAAGAAAACUUUCAGUAGAGUAUCUCAACUUAAAAUAAAUAAAAAUAUAUUAUUGUUCGAUUAUGAAUAUUUCAAAACGAGAAAAACUCAAUCGAAAAUAUCACAAAACGGUGAAAAGUUCAGUCCAAAAUAUCUCAAAUAAUAUAUUUUGACUAAUUUCUCAUCACUCUAAGAUAUCUAAUGAUAUUAGAUCAUUAUUUUAUUUACUUUUUAGAACUACUAAUUUAUUAUAAAAUUUUUGCUCUAGAUCCAUUUCCAUUUUAGUUUUUAUCAUGAUAACUCAAACAUUAAAAUAACUAAAAUAAGAACUUGCUAGAUACUCACAAGAUACUAUGAAAAAUAAUUUGCAUAACAUUAUUGGUCAAAUUUUUUUAAAAAAAUAUUGAAAUUCAAUAGUUUUAUAUAAGUAAACUUAAAAUAACUGAAAUAAAAACUUGCUACAUAAUCACAAAAUACUACGAAAAUAUUUGGCAUUAUAUUAUUAGUCAUUUUCUUAGAAGUAUCUUGAAAUUUAAUAGUCUUAUAGUAAAAACUAUAUAAAGUAAUGAUAUUGGAAUUACGAAAUUUUAUUAUUUUUAGAGUUAUUAAUUUACAAAAAAUAUUUUUAUAUUUUAAAAUAUAUUUUUAAUAAAAUAAGAUAAAUUGUUUAUUUUGUCGUGUAUAUGUUAAUUAAAUUAUUAAAAUUAGACUUUUAUUAUUUUUGUUAUACUAUUUGGUGUAUACAAAAUAUGUUUCAUAGAAUUUAAAUGUAGUUUUUAGAUAUAAUUUGACCUAAUAUUUUCAAAAUAUAUUGAUGUGUUAAGAAAAAUAAAGUUCAAUUUCAUUGUGAAUGUAAAAUAAAUAAUACAAUGAUUUUUUUGUACAUAUAUAAACAUUGUAUGUAUGAAUUAUUAAUUUAUGAUUUUAAUGGAUUAUAUAGAUACAUUGAAUUUUCUAAAAAAAUAUAUUAUCUUAUUUUUUCGAUUUGUGUCAUAUUUUGAACCGGGCAAAUUCGAGACCGAAGAAAUUUAUUAAUUUACUAUGUUUGUAACUGAUCGAGUAUUAAUUUAUAGUAUUUGUACCGUAUAACUGAACUUAAAUAAAAUUAAAAAACACCGAAAGAAUAUCUUAAAGUGAAAACAAUCAUAAAACUAUAAUGUUUACAAGAGAUGAUGCGUAGUGAAGAUGAGAGAAAGGAAACUACAAUGGUUUUGUUUUAUUUAUUUAUAUACAUCAUUACAAGAGAUGAUCAGCUUGCAGUGGUACUUGUAUACAAAGAACAAAGUGUACAAGGCGAGGUAAAUAAUGGAUCUACAAUCUCACUUAAAUCGUCUUCCAAUGGCUUAGAACCUCCAUCUCCUGUCUGGCUGAAUAAUGUUUCUCUUCCAAUGAUGAACAACGAGUGUUUAUGACCAUAGAGAAUUGCUGCAAUGUUACCAACAAAUGAGAGUUUUGGGCGCUUACCCACCUUGAAUCAUCUCACUUCUUAACACAUCUUCUCUCCUUAUUCUGUGAGAGCUAAAAGAGUUACUAGCAUUCUACAUCACUCCUCUAAUUCCAAACUUGGGGUAACCAUAGGGAAUGUUGUCAGAUACGAAUCACCUCUCAUAUCUUUAGCCAAACCCUCAAUGACAUCAUAUAUCUCAUCACUCUGAGGAUGCUCUUGAUCUCUAGACACAAAACAAUUUACAUUACCUGCAACUUCAAUCCCACUACGACCAACUUCUUUCCUUAAACCCUUUUCUCUCAUUCCUCUCCUCAACCUAUCAACACUCGUCCAUUUCUGUUCCUCAGCAUACAUAUUCGAGAGCAAAACCUGAUAUCCUGAAAAGUUCUUCCCUUUAUCCACUUUAGCUAACUUCUCUGAAACAGUUUCAGCAAGCUCAAUCUCACCGUGUACUCUACAAGCUCCCAGGACCGAACCCCAUAGCUCAGCAAUGUUUCCUUCUUCACCAAGCCCUUUAACAAACUCGUAGGCUUCAUCAACGCGGCCUACUCUCCCUAACAUGUCUGUAACGCAGCAAUAGUGCUCAUUGGAAGGCUGGAUGUUAUAAACUUCACUCAUUUCCUCGAAUAUUUUGAGACCUUCAUCCACUAAACCGGAAUAGCUGCAAGCUGAUAAUACUGCAACAAAGGUGACAGCAUCUGGUUUGACUCCAGACUCUUCCAUUGAACGAAACAGCGAGAUAGCUCUCUCACCCAUUCCGUGUUGACCAUACCCCAAUAUCAUCGUGGUGUACGUCACAGAGUUUCUCUCUUUCGUUUGGUAAAACAUGUUUUCUGCGUACUGUAUCGCUCCUGACUUUGAGUACAUAUCAACUAACGCAGAAGCAACAAAUACGUUCUGAUCCAAGUACUGCCUUAUAGAGAAACCAUGUAGCUGUUUACCUAAGUCGAAACUACCUAUCUGGCUACACGCAGGGAGAAUCGACGCCACAGUUAUGGCAUUGGGUUUGAUAUUCUGUUCUAACAUCUUCCUGAACACAGCAAACGUUUCCUCUGUGUGUCCGUUCUGCGUGUACCCGGACAUCAUAGAGUUCCAAGUAGCUUGAUCUCUUUCAGCAUAGCCACUUCUCUCGAAAAGCUUCUCUGAGAUCCUUAUUAGACCUGACUUAGCAUACAUGUCAAUAAGGUAACUGUUCAUCCCCUCGAACUGAAUCCCUUGCCUUAAAAGGAAACCAUGAGUCUGCUUCCCAAUCUCCUUGUUUCUAAGAUUCGACGCAGCCGAAAGCAAAGCAGUCACUGUUAUGUAAUCGAUCUUAAACCCCUGCUUCUGCAUCUCAUACACCAACAUCAAUCCUUCAUCAUCUAAGCCGUUUUGGACAAACGCAGAGAUCAUUGUGUUCCACGUCACAACAUCUCUCUCUCGCAUCGAAACAAAGACCGCAAAGGACUCGUGCACAGAGCCGCACCUCGAGUACAUCACCAUCAACGAGUUGAAUAUCACAACGGGAAGCUCCUGAAAGUUCUUGCUGACAAAACCAUGAAACUGUCUACCUAACUCCACUUGCUGCAGCGCUGAAACUGCACUCGCUGCCAAGAGGAACGUUACUUCGUCAGACACAAUCUCUUUCGAUCCUAUUGCAUCAAGAAAAAGAUCGAUACUCUCAACCAGGUACUCGUUCUGAACAUAGACUCCUAUCAUUGUAUUCCACACCUCAAUAUUCCUCUCUACACAAGAAUCAAACACUCUCCGUGACGCUUCAAUAUCGCCAAGCUCCGCAUACAUAGAAAUAGCCGAGCUCACAACAAACAAGUCCUUCACAUACUCAUCUCCCAACUUAAGCAUCAAACCAUAAAAUACUUUAGCUCUCUUAACACUUCUCGAACUCGCCACCGCGGGGAAGACAUUCACAAAGCUAACCGGACUCGGUUUAAUCUCCAUCCUCAUCAUAAUCCCAAACUGCCUACACGCCUCAGCGUGUCUCUCCGUCUUCACAUACCAAGAAACCAACGUAUUCCACGCCACAACGUUCUUCCUACGCAUACUAUCAAAAACCUUACGCACCACGUCGUACUCGCUUCCAGGAGGAGGGUGGUUCAAGCAAGAAACGUACAUAUUCAACAGAGAGUUAUGAACAACCCUGCUCGAGUUCUGCAAGCACCGGAUCAAAUGGCAAUGCACGGCUUUACCAGCCUUCAGGUUCCUGGUCUCGGCGCAGGCCUUGAGCGUGGAGGAGUAAGUGUAAGGGUCGCAUUUGGUGAAAGGAGCGGUCUUUUUCAUCCGGGAGUAGAAAAGGAGAGCCUCGUGCGGGAGGUUGUUGCAGAUGAGGCCGAUGAUAAUGGUGUUCCAUAGGACGGUUGUUGGUUUGGGAAUUGCGUCGAACAGCUGGCGUGCGAGCUGUGGGUUUCCUUUUUGGCAGAUUCUGCUGAGGCGUGAGCGGAUUGAAGGUGUUUGGGGAGUUGGGUUUGUUGGUGGGGCGAAGGUGGAAGAGCGGCGGGUUUGGUUUGGCGGGGGAGAGUGGAACGAAAGUGGCGGUGGUGGUGGGAGAGGUAGAGCUGAUCCGGCCAUUGUGGAAGAGAUGAUGAAGAACGAAAUGAAGAUACGUUAUUGACUCUCUCUUCCGCUUAUGUUAUCAUCAUCUUUCUUCAGUGAUAAGAGUUUGUUUAUUAUCUAUUUUUUAUAAGAUAGAUUACCAUUUUUCAAAGUACACUAAAUUUGUGAUAAAAAAAAAUAAAAAAUAGACCAACUAAACUAUUUAUUAAUGUUUAAAAAAAUAUUGGGUAAAUAAUCCAUAUUUUCCCACCAAAAAUAUUGGGUAAGAAACUAUCAAUCUCGUCUUAAUUAUAUGUAUCUAUAUUAUUAAAAGAGAAGUACCCAUUUGAAAAUGUUUUUACUUCAUUAAUUAAACUUCCCUUUUUUUUGCUUGUCUUUUUCAGUUGCAUUUAUGAAAUAUCCUAAAACAAAUAAAACUGCCUAAUUGAUUACUUGUCUUUUCAGUUACAUUAAUGAAAUAUGCUUAAAUGAAUUUAAACUUCCUAUUUUAUUGUUUGUCUUUUUCAGUUACCUUAACGAAAUAUCCUUAAAUAAAUUUGGACAUAAUGUCAUUUAAUCAACCAAAAAAACUCAUGAGUUAUCCUUACGUGCAUAAUUUUAAUAAUGGAGAUUUUUAAAAAGAGAAAAUGACACAAAGAACACUAAAUGAAGUUUUCCUCCCCAAACUAGCACUCAGGAUCAGAAUUCACAAAAAUAGGUUUCAUUAAAUGGGCAAUUUACCCUUAUGCCCCCUUCUUUAACUAAUUUAAAAAACAAAUUUGAAAUCAAUUUGUCGCCGUCCUCGUUUCAUCGCUUCUUCUUCUCGUCUCUCCGUCGUCGUCGUCGUCGUCUCUCCGUCGUCGUCUCCCCGUCCUUGUCGUCGUCGUCGUCGUCGUCUCUCCGUCGUCGUCUUCGCCUCUCCGUUGAUCCGUCGUCGUCGUCUCUCCGUUUAUUUAUCGUCGUCGUCGUUUCUCAAUUGAUCUGUCGUUUCUACGUCUAUUCAUCUCAUUCUCUCUCUCGUGUGUCUGAUUUGAUUAAGGUUUGAAUCAUUUCAUUUUGUUAUACAUUAUCUAGGUUUUGUUAUAUAUUAUUCAUUUGUUGAUGAUUUGAAGUUGAUUUUGUAGAACAAUGGAAGUUUUGUGCAUCUGUGGACAAUGGAUCUCAAAAGAAUCUCUCCAGUGGGAGUUUCUUGUUGAUUUGAAGAGGAAUGCAUCAAUCAUUUCCAUAGAAGAAGAUCUACUGUAUGAAGAUUUGAUGAAGAUUGUCUCUGAAGAUUUUAGUGUUAAAGAGGAAGAAAUCAGUUUGAGUUAUGGUUUUUCAUUGGAUAUGAAAUGUAUUAUUGAAAGUUUCCCCCCACUCUCGAUAGGUAAUACUCGUCAGCUCAGAACUUUCAUUUCCAAGACUAGAGCAUUUGAUGGAACCUGUCGUUUGUGUGUUAAGGUUUGUAUGAUUUUUUCUUAGACUUUUCAGGAUAUGCUUCAUAACCAAGUAUUAUGCCUUACAGAACUACUUGACUUAUGCAGGUUAGUACUGAUCCAGUUAGCUGUAACACUCAAGCUUCUGAUACAUUUGCUUCUACUGUUCCAUUGAAUGCCAAUCCAGCGAUUCUUUCUACUGUGCAGAGUGAAAAACAGGUACAUUGUCCUUAAUUCCCUUUUUCUGUUUGUGUUUGCAUGAUAUGCUUCAUAAUCAAGUACUAUGCCUUACAGAACUACUUGACUUUUGCAGAGUCUUCUAUAUGAAGGUGUUUCUACAGUUCCUCUGAAUGCUCUUCCGGAUUUUAGUACUGAUUCAGCUAGCUGUAACAUUCAAGCUUCUGAUACAUUUGCUUCUACUGUUCCAUUGAAUGCCAAUCCAGUGAUUCUUCCUACUGUGCAGAGUGAAAAACAGGUACAUUGUCCCUAAUUCCCUUUUUCUGUUUGUGUUUGCAUGAUAUGCUUCAUAAUCAAGUAUUAUGCCUUACAGAACUACUUGACUUUUGCAGAGUUUUCUAUAUGAAGGUGUUUCUACAGUUCCUCUGAAUGCUCUUCCGGAUUUUAGCCCUGUCCAUAUUGGACUUUCACCAAACACGAGAGUAGCUGGCGAUAUUAAGGUGAAUAGCUAUUUUAAGACAAAGAGAGAGUUGAUGUUGAGGAUGAAGAAAUGGGCUUUAGAGUGGAAGUUUGAGUACAAGACUGUCUCUUCUAACAAGUCAAGAGUGCUUUUGAGUUGUGUUGAUGAAAAUUGCACGUGGAGGAUGCGUGCUAUCAAGCUACCUGUUUCAGAUUUUUUCGUUGUUAAAAAGUAUGUUCAUGAGCAUACAUGCGAUACAACACACAGGAAAGCCAACCACAGACAAGCAUCUGCAAAGUUGUUGGGUUCUUUGAUUUCCAGCAAUUAUGGAGAAAAAAAGGAAGGUCUCAAACCGAAACAGAUCAUUGAACAGGUCAGGAUGCUGCAUGGUGUUCACAUCAAUUACAAACAAGCUUGGAGAGUGAGAGAAGAAGCUCAGAUUUUGGUUAGAGGGACUCCUGAAGACAGCUAUUACAAUUUGUCUAGGUGGUUGUAUAAAAUCACAGAAACAAACCCUGGUUCCUUGACUUAUCAACAUGUUGAUGCUGCAGGAAAGUUCAAGUAUGCAUUUGUGGCUUUUGGUCCAUCGAUAAGGGGAUUUUCAUUGAUGAGGAGAGUUAUUGCAGUAGAUGGUACAUUUCUGAAGGGAAAAUUCAAUGGGACUUUAUUGGCAGCUUGUGCUCAAGAUGGGAAUUAUCAUCUAUAUCCUCUCGCCUUUGCAGUGGUUGACGCAGAAAACGGCGCCUCUUGGAAAUGGUUCUUUAGAGGUUUGAGCCAGAAGAUCCCGGACGCUUCGGAUCUUGUUUUUGUAUCAGACAGGGCUAACUCCAUUUCUUCAGCGUUGGAGGAUGUAUAUCCCUUAUCUCACCAUGGAAUUUGCAGGAUCCAUCUGCUCCGCAACAUCACUCCUACAUAUGCGAAGACUGGGUUGCUACCUCUGGUGGAAAGCGCUGCUGAUGCCUAUACGUGUCACGAGUUCUGGUUAAUCUUCAAGGACAUAAAGGAUAAAUGUCCUGAAUUGGCUAAGUAUCUGGAAGAGUCUGAUUUUAGGAAGUGGGCACGAAGCUAUGCGCCUGCGAACAGGUAUAAUAUCAUGACUACCAACAUUGCAGAGUCUCUCAAUUCUAUGUUGAAGAUGCCUCGUGAGUUGCCCAUUAUCUCUCUCCUUGAAACUAUCAGAUUGACGAUGACCACUUGGUUUUUUGAGCGACGCGAAGCGGCUGCGAAACAUAAGCACCUGGUUACUCCAAAAGUUGUUCAGAAAUUGGUAUCUAGGUUAGGGGCCGCAAUGUUGUUGAAUGUGUAUCAAGUUGAUCGAAGCGAGUUUGAGGUGAAGAAUGAAACAAUGAAGUUUGUUGUUGACUUGGAGAAGCGGCAUUGCACAUGUAAUGUUUUCGACAUUGACAAGAUCCCCUGCAUCCAUGCCAUCGCUGCUGCUAAGCAUAUCAAGAGAGAUGAAAACCGUUUUGUUGAUGCUUCUCACUUGACAGAAACGUGGGCUAAAGCUUAUGCUGAAAGCAUACAUCCUGGUGGAGAGUUGUCAACGUCCACCUAUCCAGAGAAUAUUGAUGAACUGUCUUGCCCACCUCCAGCUACCAAAAAGAAAAGUGGACGCCCUCCUACAAAGAGAAAGAGAUCCGUUGGCGAGUUUGGGGUUCCUGGAUCUAAAUCUCAGUCCCACAAGUGCAGCAGAUGUGGCACAGGAGGGCACAACAAGAUCACAUGCCAGAGGCCUAUAGGAUGAAGUUCUACAUUUUUACAUUUUUAUCGAUUAUUAUUUGGAUGUUUGGCUAUUUGAUGGUUACAUGAUAUGCACAAGACCAUAUACAUUUUUUCUUUUGGAACCCUAUCCUGAAUAAGUAUGAUUUCUUACAACUUUUGUAAUAUACAACAUUAUCUUUUGAUCUCAUUUCAAUUUUUAGUUUAAACUUCUUUGCUAGAAAAAAACACAGUAAUAUUCAACUAUUCUGGAAUCCCAUCCAACUUUUGUAACAUCCAACUUUUGUAAUAUACAAUGUAUUAUACUAUAAAUUGUAUGGGUAAAUUCAAUUAUGUGGAAGCAACUAACAGAUGAUUCUCCUCAGCCUAGCGGCUAAACCACGAAACCUAUGAUACCGAAACAUUUGAUCGACCCGGGUUCGACUCUCCUACGAGUAAUGGGUUUUUUUUUUUUUGUUCAAACAUAUAUCUCAGGAAUCACAUUUGUCGCAAUCGGAAGCCCAUCCUGAACUAUCAAAGAUCUUUCCAAUGUAUUAUACUAUAAAUUGUAUGGGUAAAUUCAAUUAUGUGGAAGCAACUAACAGAUGAUUCUCCUCAGCCUAGCGGCUAAACCACGAAACCUAUGAUACCGAAACAUUUGAUCGACCCGGGUUCGACUCUCCUACGAGUAAUGGGUGAUUUUUUUUUUUUGUUCAAACAUAUAUCUCAGGAAUCACAUUUGUCGCAAUCGGAAGCCCAUCCUGAACUAUCAAAGAUCUUUCCAAUGUAUUAUACUAUAAAUUGUAUGGGUAAAUUCAAUUAUGUGGAAGCAACUAACAGAUGAUUCUCCUCAGCCUAGCGGCUAAACCACGAAACCUAUGAUACCGAAACAUUUGAUCGACCCGGGUUCGACUCUCCUACGAGUAAUGGGUGAUUUUUUUUUUUUGUUCAAACAUAUAUCUCAGGAAUCGAAGAGUCUCUUCCAAACGAUAUCAUGUAACUCAGUAACCGAAGAGUUUCUUUUCGUCAAGAUUGGGUGUUAUAUGAUUGGUUAUUUCAGUAACUGACUUCAAUAAUCGAAGAGUUCCACAAUAAUCAAGAGUUUAUUUUAACUGACUUCAAUAAUCGAAGAGUUCCUUUUUGUUCUAUAAAUAUAAGGGACGAUAUCAGACCUUUUAUUCACUCACUUCAUUUCGCUUGAUAUAUCCUUUUGCAAUACAAGUUAGUUUUCGAUUUUUCUCAUUUUCCAUUCAAUUCAUGAACUUUUUUCUAUUUCUAUUUUAUCGUAACAUCUUAGUUUCGAUUUUGUUGCAGGACAAAGUUUCAAUGGAAGGAAGUUCAAAGAAGAUGAUGAAGCGUCCCAUAGAGGAGGUUUACGGAUGUGAUGCCGCCGAAGGUUUCAAGAAGGGGAAGAAGGAAACUGUGGAACAUUACAGGGCUCUUCUUCGUUUGUCCAACGAAUACAGGCUAUCUGAGAAUGAUUGGAAUCUUGCAUCCAGCAAAGCAAAUUCAAUUGCUGUCCAAAUCGAGUUGCUUGAAGAUAUUAUCAAAGCUGAUGGAAAAUUUGAUUUAACUGCUGAGUUGGAGAAACUCAAAGAAGAGCACUCGGAAGCGGAAGGAAUGCUUGCUGAUGUGAAGGUCAAAGUCCCUGAUUGGGAUAAACUUGGCGAAAGUUGGCUCCAUCAUGAGUAAUUUCAUGUUAUCGUCUUCUCUUUUUAUGUUUUUAAGGACCACAUUAUGUUUGAUUUUCAGUUUUUAUUUUAAAUGAAUAAGCACUUUUGUUUCUCUUGUGUUGUUUCUUCAAUUAACAACCUAAAUAAAAAACUUGUUCAAUGUUUUUCACUAUUUUGUAAUGGUUUGGCCUAGUGUUCUUAUAACUUGGUUAUCUGAUUUGCUUAUUUGUUUUUGGAAAGCCAUCCUGAAUACAUAAAAUGAUAUCCAGAUUAUAUAAAUCUAUCGUCUGUGAAUAAAUGAGUUCACAUUUACUCUGUUAUCGAAUAUCCAACGUAGCCUAGUGGCAAGCCCUUCUACUCUUAGUGUACCCUUAUCACACAAUAAGUCGUGUUCGAUCCCCGUUGUGUAUACUCACAUUUUUUUUGUUUUUAAUUAAAUAUUCAAACGUUAUUUUCGUUUUAUUGUAGCUUUUGGCAAGUAUAAGACCCUUGGUACAACGGCUGCACACUUGGAUUAAUCUAUCGAGAGUUCACGAGUUCAAUCAACAUCAGAUCACAUUCUUUUUCAUUUUUUUUUUGUAAACUUUAAAGGAAUUUGUUUUUGGAAAGCUAUCCUGAAUACUUAAAAUGAUAUCCAGAUCAUAUAAAUCUAUCGUCUGUGAAUAAAUAAGUUCACAUUUACUCUGAUAUCGAAUAUCCACCAUAGCCUAGUGGCAAGCCCUUCUACUCUUAGUGUACCCUUAUCACACAAUAAGCCGUGUUCGAUUCCCGUUGUGUAUAUUUUCACUUUUUUCUGUUUUUAAUUAAAUAUUCAAAAGUUACAAGUUAUUAUCGUUUUAUUAUAUCUUUUGGCAAGUAUAACACCCUUGGCACAGCGGCUGCACACUUUGAUUCAUCUUUCGAGAGUUCACGAGUUCAAUCAACAUCGGAUCACUUUCUUUUUCAUUUUUUUUGUAAACUUUAAAGGAAUAUGCUAGGCUUUGGUGCAUUUUGCUUUCUCACUCUUUUUCUGGAAACCCAUCCUAAAAGUACCAUAAGCAUUUGACAAUUCAUCAAUACAUCCUAAAAAUUUUUCAAUAACAAUCUAAAUGAAAAAAACGUUAGGGAUAAUUCAUUACAAACUUAAACUUAAACGUUAGGGAUAAUUAAUAUCAAAGUAGAAAAACAGUGUAGAAAACAGAACAAAUAUGACAUUUUCACUUCCUUUGACCUUCCUGGAAAUCUUUAUCCAUAAACUGGUCGAAGAUCUCACAACAUAGCUUGCUUCGUAAGUCCAUCGCAGUUUCAUCAUUUAUAUUAGCCAUGCUCUUCAAUCCCAGUGACCUGCAUUCCAGCAUCUUCACAACAAAAAUACCACAGUUGUAUGGAAAUUUUGUCUUUGGAAGCCCUUCUGCAAACUUAACUUCAAAUGGACUGAUAUCUUCGAAAUUAACCUCUUCACCAAGAAGUUCCAUCUUUAUGGCACUAAUCAACACUGUCAUAAAUACCCAAAAUUAUACAAUAAAUCAAUCACCAACAGACAACAAAAUGAAUAUGUAAAAAUGCAUCACAAUCACAAGCAGCAAGUGACAAACUUUUAUUUUCUAAAUUAGCUAAUAUUUUUACCUGCCAGUUCUUGGAUUUGAUUAAGAGCACGUUUGAUAUUUGCUUUUGGAAGACCACAAUGGAAGAGUGUGAUUGUGUUGUCCAUCAAUUGUAUCUCCACCCCAAUAUAGUGACAGCUCAACUUAUCUUCAAUGACACCAUAUAUAACAUCAACAUCUUCCAGCCAUACCUUCUUUGGAUGUAUUAAACCUUUCACAAGUUCGCCUACACAGCCCUCCAAUAACUUUUUUUUUUCUUAUGUGGCUUCCUGACAGAUUCAUAAGCGUACCCAACCUCUUCUAAGAAUUUGACUGGUACAAAGCAUGCUGGUGGAAGAUUGUUGUUGCGGAACCAAGCACCUUGCUCAACCCUCUUACAAUUUAGCAUUUCAAAUGCAACAUUUAUGUGCUGCCAAUGUAACAAUAUAGUUAGAAACUUCAUAUAGAACUGCUAUAACAUGGACAUCUAGCAUAGCUCAACUCAACCUCUUCCUAAACAUAUCACACAAUCAAAUAGAAGACAGAACAGAGUGUUGAUUACCUCUUUGUUGAGAUUGUUUUCUGCAUCGUCCAUUUUUUGAAAGAACUCUUUUUCAAUUUCUUUUCCAUUGAUAUAAAACGGUCUGUAGUUGAUAAAAUUAACUAGUAUCAAUCGAAACUUUUACAAAAUAAAUUAGGAAUAUUUAUGCGAGGACAAAAAGUUGCUUACACACGAUAUAUGCCCCGUAGAUCCAUCCAGUGUGUAAGCCUUGAAAACCGAGGAAAUUCAGGUGUCACAAAUGGAUCAAUUGGAAGGAUUACCUCAGGUGUUACAGGUAUAGGAGGGUUUCUAGGUCGUAUUGGCCUCUUCUCUUCUCGCUGUAGAAAAGGAAGCAAAUCUACUGGCUGAGCAUUUGCUUUCUUCUUCUUACCAACAUGUGGCUUCCCCUUUAAUUAAAAAUAAAGACAAAAAUUCAGGAUCGUUUUUAUCUUUAUACUUGAAUGCCUUCCUAAUAUGAAGUAAAAAUAUUUUUUAUACCUUUUUUGCAUGAUCGUCUUGACUUGGUUUCACACUCUUACCCUGCUUUACUUCUAUCUGUGAAACAAAACCGAUAUAUCAAACUAUUGACCUGAACUUCAAUUCAAGUGGAUCUUAUUCAUUUUUAUUACCUCUUUUGCCAUUUUCCCAACACCAUCUUCUGAUGGACCAGCUGCUUCAUUUUUCUUACAAGCGACAGCCUUCGCCUUCCCCUUUUUGAAUGACAAAAAUUCAGAUACAUUUAUAUCUUAAUUCCUAGUAUGAUGUAUAAAUAUUUCAUACCUUUUUAUCACCAUCUCCUUCACUUGGAUUCACACUCUGCGUCUGCUCUUCUUCCAUCUGAAAAUCAAUACCGAGAUAUUAAACAAAUGACAUUAUUUUUCAAUUCAAGUGAUCCAAGGCAUUUGUUUUACCUUUUUUGUCAUCUCCCAAACACCAUCUACCCAUUUUCUUGGUUUUCGCAUCUCAGAAUGGUGGAAGUAAAUUUGUUCUUUAGAAUUGUUCAAAGAGACAAAACACGAGCCAUCAAACAAAAUGACUUUAACUUUUCCAGCGCACCAGGCACCAUUGUCGAACGCCUCCACGUCCUGCAUUAGCUCAUAACUUUUCUUCGCUCCAGAUCUCUCAGGUGGUGGUUGAGGACGUAUUCUGUCAAUUGAUACACGUGUCUCAACACUCCUUUUCCUCUUCUUUUCGUCCAGAGACGGGACGAAGUACUCAACUUUCACCAUCUCAACCCCAUCAACCAAAUAUGUUGCCAACACAUUUCCUGGAUACCAUUUAUGACAAGUAUUGUCAUCUUGUGAUGAAAUCUCCACAUUUGCUCCGAUCUCAAAGGGAUUUUGAACUCUGCUUUCUACAUCCUGUGAUGGUUUAGAUUCAAGGAUAUCCAGUCAUUUUGAUAGUUGCUGAGUAUUUAUUAAAGGUUUUAAUGAAAGUAAUACCUUAUUUUGCUCUGUUAAAAGAUUUCUGCGAGCUCGGGUAUUUGGCUGUGUGUCGGAAAUGUUUGGUGAAAUGAUCUCAUUCAUAAGCUCGUGAGUCUCCUGAAUUCAGGAAUGGUUGAAUGAACACGUACAAGGGCUUCCAAAAAUUACUUGAAAAGUCCAAUUUUUUAAAGAAGGUACCUGCUGCGUCUGAAUUGGAGUAAGGACUGGAGUCUCAAUAUUCUGUUGAGCUAUUGGAGAACCAGGUGUCUCUUUCGUGAUCUCAUUCAUAGGCUCUCGUGUAUCCUGAUGUCAGGAAUGGGAUUAUGAACACGUACCAAAUUCAUAAUUUUAUAAAUACCAACAGUUUUCAAAAUUAUACUUGCCUCAUUGUUAAGUUGUUCAUCUGCUUGAUCUGCAUUGGCUUCACCUUGUCUGGAAGCCGUCUCAUGAAAUGGAGUUGUGUCAGUCUGUGCAAGUACAACAAAAAUUAGGAAGGCAAGCCUAAAUAUGUAUAACAUCUUCCAAAAUUACUUGACAACUCAAAACUGAAUCAAGAACUAGAUAAACAUUAAUUUUAAUUUCCGAAAAAAAAGUUACCUCAUUGUUUGGAGUUUCAUAUGAAGUAACUCUUUGUAGUUUCUCUAGGUUUGUCACACGUUCUUUAAUCUGUUUCCUGUCUUUUUCAAUCAAACACAAACGAUCGUUCAUGAUCCUUAAAUUAUCUCCCACCAUCUCGCUGAUUCUGUUGAUCUUUGAUUCCAAAGACUCCUCCUGAUACGAAGUAGAAGCUUGACUCAUCCCUCCAUUCCCAAACAGUAAAGAUGCUCUUCUUAUUUCUUCAUUAGCACCGUAUAGGUCUACUGACAUGUUUCGCCAAUCUCUAAUUUUAAACUUAUAACCUCUCUUGGAUAAAUCGGCCAUGUCAUCCAGAUCUUUAUUAGCUUCGUCUCCCAUGCAAACAUCAUCUUCUGGAUCAUUAGAAAUAGGAGGUAGGAUGCAUGUGACCUUAAGCUGAAACCAUAAAAAUAAUUAGCUUUUAAAUGGAGAAUCAUAAGGCAAAACAGAAACAAGAAAAAAAUAAUGUAAAAACUUACAUGAUCUUUGAUUUCAAUUAGGAGAACAUCUAUCAGCUGUGGAGAAGCUAUUUGAAGGUACUUCUCACACAAAAAUAUUGGGGUAGACGGUUGAACGCUCAGAAUAGGAACAACUUGACUGAAUGCAUACUGUAGCAAAGGUACUGACUCAAGUAUCCAUAUAAGAAAUGCCAUAGGGAACCCUUGCAAAUCAUAAUUGUUUUUGUCGAGGCUUUUGUCGACAGCUCUCUGAAGUGAUUUUAACAGCAAAUUAUAAGCUGUUCUCCCCCAUGGGUAUGUCAUCAAGACAUCCAUAUCCUGCGCUAUUUUCACAUAAUCCAAAGUAAAAGUUGUGCCACCGUCGAGAAGGCUCUUCUGUAGUAGUAUGCUCUCAAUCAGGAGGAGCAUUGCAAGGCAGAAUCUCUCAUCAGAAGCAUCUUCUCUUGUGUUUCUGAGCUGCUUCUCCACGUCCUUUACUGUAUGAGUACGCCCUUUUAGGAAGUCCCACUUAAAUUUCUCGGUUCCCUCUCGUGGUUCUCUUGCUUCACCACUACAUUUCAAACCAGUCACCAUGUGGAAUUCUCUUAUAGAGAACCUCAUUGGCUGAGCACCAAAAUGGAACCAUGCUUCGUGUCUCUUCACUGUCUUGAUGCUUUUGGUGAGAACUGCGUGCACUAUCUUAGCUGAUAAUUUCAAAGACCUCUCUCCAAGCUUGAUCACCGGUCCCAAAAACGUCCCUCUUAUUCUGUUGAACUCAUCAUUUCCUAGAAUUUCCUUAACAGUUUUGAUAUAAGCAACUAUCGAGUGUUGGUUUAUCGAUAUCGUCUUCUCUGGCUCUGAUCCAAUCGGAUACCUCAGCUCAGGCAGUGCUAGUCUUAAUGGUAAUGGAUCUCCCAUCUUGUUUCUAUCCUGCGUAAACAAGAAAAAUUUUAUUUGUCUAAAUUAAUUAAAAUCCAAUUUUCAGGAAGGGUUUCCUGAAAAAAAUACAAAUCCUUCCCGAAGUCUAUACACAUGCUUUCACAUGAACUAGAAUUCUACGAAUCAUAUUAGGUUAAAACGAGCAAGUCUAUACACAAGCAAAAACCAGGAGACCAAUCUCUCAGAAAGAAAACACACAUAAGGUUGAAUCUGCAACAUACCUUCAAGAGAUAGAGCUCUAGAAAUGGUUUUUCUCGGAGAAUAGAGAGAGCUCGCGUAAAAGAUCGAGAGAGAGAGAGUUCUGGAGAUGGGUUUUCGUCGGAGAUCGAGAGAUAUGGAGAUGAGAGAGAGAUUCGAGAGGCGGAGACGAGUGAGAUUCGAGAAGUUUGAAACGGCGAGAGUGUUGAGACGGCAAGAGUUUUGUUUUUUUUCAAUCGAAAUGUAUUGUUUUGGAAACCUAUCCUAUAUUAAUUGGGUUAAGUAUGCUUAUGUAAUAUUCUUUAACAGAUGAUUCUCCUCAGACCAGCGGUUAAACCAAGGCUUUUUAUAACUCAAAAGUCUCUCUAUCCCCGGGUUCGAUAUGUGGUGGAUUCAAAAUCUAUUUUAAUUCUUUUUUGUGUUACAGUUUGGAGUUAAAUAAAAUUAAAUGUAAUCCAUAACAGAUGAUUCUUCUUGGCCUAGUGGCUAAACUCCCACACUAUCCAAAUACGCAGACUCUCUCCCUCUGGGUUCGAUCCUUUGUGGUUCUAAAUUUUUGUUGUCUGUAAACAUCACAAUUUUAAGCUUACCAUAUACAUGUCCAAUCCUUAGUAUAUAAUCUCAUUUCAUUCUUUUUUACAUUUGAAACACUUAACUUUUUUUCUGGAAACCCAUCCAGAAACAAUAUUUUAACCUUCCAAGAUAUAUGAUACCCAAAUAAAAUACUUGAUAUCCUUCCAAUCUUUCUUAUGUAACCAGACGCCAACAACAUAACAAAAUAAACAGUCAUAACUAAAACCGAGUCUUAACUAAAACAAAAAAUGUUUUCAUGCAUCAUUCUCAUUUCCCAAAGCUCUCAUCCACAAAUUGGUUGAAGAUCUCACAAGACAAGGUUCUCCUUAGCUCCAAUGCAUUGUCAUCAUUAAUCUUUGUCAUGUCUCCUAUCUUCAAUGACUGGCACUCCAGAAUCUUGACAAGAAAUAUCCCACAGUUGAAAGGAUGUUUUGUCUUGGGUAAACCUUGUGCCUGCUCAAUCUCAAAUGGAAUCAUCUUCACCUUAUCUACCUCAUCACCAGAAGAUUCCACCAGCAGAUUAGAAAUCAACACUGUCAUAUUUAAAAAUCAAUAUCAAGAUAGAAUCAGUUGAAUAUUUCAAACCAAGAAACAGAUGAAUACAUCAAAUACAGAUUGUUUAUACAUACCUGCCAACUUUUUCACUUGAGGAAUAUCAAUGCUGUUGCUUUCCUUUUGAAAACAAUCAUAUACUGUGAUUCUUUUCUUCUUCAAAUGAAUUUCCAUCCCAAUCCAGACAUUGCUUUUUUUUCCAAGAGUAAUCCCAUACACAACAUCAACAUCUUCUCCCCAUGUCUUCUCUGGAUAUACCUUCCCUCUCACAGUAUCUUUAAAUAAAUCGUUGAAAAUCUUUUUACCUUUGACCUUUUCUUUCUUGUAAGCCAAAUCAUCAGAGAGCAAGCAAUGCAAGAACUCCAUAGGUAGGAAGCACGCCUUUGGAAUCUUGUAGUUGUGGAACCAAGCAGCAUUCUCAUUUCUUCUGCAAUUUAGCAUUGCAAAGGCUCCAUCAAUGUGCUGCAAAAAAAAAGGCAAACAUUAUCUAAUUUGUUACUAUAUAAUUUCCUGAAACUAAACAAAUCCUUCCUGAAUUUUUUUUUAAAAAAAAAGCUCAAGGCAAGAACAUAUGUAAACAAAUUACCUCUUUCUUAAGGUCCUUUUUUGCAUUUUCCAUGCUUUGAAAGAAAGAUUUCCUUAUCUUAUUAUCAUUGAUUGAUAGGGACCUGCAGUCGAUUAAAGAUUCAAAGGAAUUACCAAACCUCUUAUACAUAAAUAUAAGAAUAUAUAGACAAGGACAGAAACAUGCUUACGUUUCAUGCAUGCCGGGCUUUAAUGUCAUCCAAUUUUGAAGCCUUGAAAGCUUAUGUUCCGCAGGAGUUGAAAACGGAUCAACUGCAGGUAUAAUCUCAGGUAUUACAGUUAAAGCCGGAUUUCUGUCAGACUUGAAUGGAGUUUUUGUGUCUCUAGAUCGUUUAGGCACCCUCUCGCUCCUUCUUAGGAAAACAUUAUCCAUUCCUGAAUUUUGUGAUGAGGCAGCAGCUUUCCUUUUCUUAUCAGGCUUCACCUUUAAUCAAACAAUAGACACCAAGCAAAAUAUUAUCAAAUUUGUUGCAAUCGGAAUUUCUGGAAACCAUUCCUGAAACUAAAAUGUAUGUAUAUCAAACAAUUCACGUGAAGUAUAAUUCUAGUUAUGAUUUACCUUAUCUGCCAUCUUCCAGACUCCAUCUUUCCAUUCUCUAUGAAUUCGCAAAUCUGAAUGUUUGAAUAGAAUAGUUUCCAUAGAAGUAUAGAGACACACCGAGUAUGUGUUAUCACCAAGUACCAUGCUAAUUUGUCCGCUGCUCCAGCCAUUGUUGUAGAAGGCUUCUACCUUAUCCAUCAUCUCAAAGGAUUUUUGGUCACUAGUUGGUGUUGCAGGACGUAUUUUGUCAGCCGUGAUAGUAUCCUGAAGUUUCUGAAGUCUAUGUUGGUCUGUGAAGAGUGUCGUGUACUCAACUGUCAGCUCCUCUAGUCCUUCACACAGUUUAAGAUCAACAACCUUUCCUGGAUACCAUAUUUCGUCAUCAGUAGACAAAAUUUCAACCUCUGCGCCUAUUUGAAAGUGAGCUAGAAGCCUGCUUACUUCAACCUAUUAAAAAUGAAGAUUCAGUAACAUCAGCGGUUUUAAAUUGUUAGAAUAAUAAUUAAAGAUCAAAUAUACUCGAUGCAUACCUCGUUUUUUUCUGAAAAAUCUAUAGCACUUGUCUGAAGAUGCUCUGUUUGCUGAGUAAUAGGCGGCAUCUUCGAAACAUAUGUGGAAACUAGCUCAGUAGUAGGUUCUGUAGUAUCCUUGAGAUUUUCUUCUGCUUGAUUCUGCUCUGAUGGUGUCUCAUCGGAUUGAUCUCCCUCACUUGUCUGAAGGUGCUGUGUUUGCGGAGUAAGAGGCUGUGUCUUCGAAACAUCUGUGGAAACUAGCUCAGUAGUAGGUUCUGUAGUAUCCUUGAGAUAUUCUUCCGCUUGAUUCUUUCUGCUUGAUUGUGAAUGCUCUCCUUCACUUGUAGAAAAAUAUUGGGUCGCAGUUUCUGUCUCACUCUAUAAGACAAAAGUAAAUGGUAAGAGUUAGUUGAAUAGAAAAAUAUUACCUAAACAUUUUAAAUAUUUCUUCUUACCAAAGCAUUCUUAUUUUCUUCAAUAACUAGUGCAAUUAGUGAAGACAAUGGAGAGGAAGGUCUGUAAUGCACAGCAUGUGUAUCCUCCUGUAAUAACAGUAAAAUAAAAGAGGUAGUUAUGAAGAAGUUUCUACAAUUUAAAAUUCAAGUUGUACUUAUGAAAGACAUUUCUAUGCUUACCUUUUUAUUGUUUGCUGAAAUGAUCUCAGUCAAUGGCUGUGUAGCCUCAUACGUUUCCUCUGUUACCGUCUGCAAAAAAAACAAAAAAAAGUCAGGUAGGGGAUCAAAAACACGUACAAAAGCUUUCAAACAUUACUUGAAAUCUCCAAGAUUUUUUGAACAUUUACCUGCUGUUUCUGAAUUGGAGUAAAAACUUGAGCCUCAAUACUCUUUGGAGAUAUUGGAGAAGAAGGUGUCUCAUUCAUUUCCAGUGUUUCUUUUUGCAAAACUUGAGUCUGAGCAGCAGGUGACUCAAUCACAAUCUGCAAAAAAUAUCAGGAAAGGCCAUCAUGAAUACAUUCAAUUAUAAUUUCUAGAGUAAAUAUUACCUCAUCAUCUGGUUUUCCUUCUCCUUGAUUAGUUUUGGGUGGCGUUUCAUCAGUAGAGGUUUGUGUUUCCCUCUGCCAAAAAUUAGAAAGGUCUAUAUAUGUAAAUCACCCAAAACUAAUUGUAAACUCCAACUGUCAUUGAGCAUAUACCUCUUUUGUCAGAUUAGGAGUAAAAACUUGAGUAUCAAGGGCAGGCGUGUCAUCCGAUGGCUCUCUCUCAAUCUGUAAAAAUUAUCACGAAGUCAAUCCAGAGUACGUUCUAAAGCUUCCAAACAUUAACUUAAAAAUCCAAGAUUUUUUUUGACCAUGUACCUGCUGAGUCUGACUUGGAGUAUAAACGGGAGUUUCAAUACUCUUUGGAGCUAUUGGAGAAGAAGGUGUCUCAUUCAUUUCUACUGUUUCUUUCUGCAAAACUUGACUCUGACUAGCAGGUGACUCACUUGUUAAUUUCUCUCUCACAAUCUGCAAAAAAAUAUCAGGAAUGGCCAUCAUGAAUACAUUCAACUAUAAUUUCUAGAAUAAAUAUUACCUCAUCAUCUGGUUUUCCAUCUUGAUUAGGAUUGGAUGGCCUCUCACCGGUAGACGUUUCUGUUUCUUUCUGUCAAAAAUCAGAAAAGCCUUUAUAUGUAAAAAAAAAUCACCCAAAACUAAUUUGUAAACUCCAACUGUGAAAACAAUAUCAUUGAGCAUAUACCUCUUUUGUCAGAUUAGGAGAGAAUACUUGAGUAUCAAGGGCAGGAGUUUCAUCAUCUGAUUCAUUCAUUGUGUCCUGCAAAAAUCAAGAAUGCAUUCUAGAAUAUGUACAAAAGCUUCCAAAUAUUACUUCAAAACUCAACAAUAUUUUAUUGGUUACAUACCUCAUUUGUCAAAUUAGGCUGUUGAGACAUUGGAGAUAAAGGCGUCUCACUCGAUGAUUGCGUGUAAUCCUGCAAAAAUCAGGAAGGCAUUCAGGAUUUUGUACAAGAAUUUCCAAAUAUUUUCUUAAAAAUUUUUGAGCAUAUACCUCAUUUUGUUGAGACUUUGGAGAUGCAGCUGAUUCAAUCAUUGUCUCCUGCAAAAAUCAGGAAUGCAUUCAAGAAGUACAAAAGCUUUCCAAAUAUUACUUCAAAACUCAACAAUAUUUAUUGGUUACAUACCUCAUGUGUCAAAUUAGGCUGUUGAGACAUUGGAGAUAAAGGUGUCUCACUCGAUGGUUGCGUGUGAGACAUUGGAGAUAAAGGUGUCCCACUGGAUGGUUGCGUGUGAGACAUUGGAGAUAAAGGUGUCCCACUGGAUCGCUGUUUGUCAAAUAUUAGGAAGGCAUUCAAGAAUAUGUACAAGAUCUUCCAAAAAAUACUUGAAAAUGCAAAUGUAAAAGAAGAUGUUUUGAGAAUUUACCUUUUGUGUCACGUUAGUGGGAAAAACAUUGCUGUUUCCUUCCAACUCUGACACACGAGCUCUAAGAUGUAUGUUUUCUUCUUCCAGUAAUGACAUUCGAUCCUUCAUGCUCUUCAGAUUCUCCUCCAUUACCGUGAUGAUCCUGUUCACUUUUUCAUUUACUGAAUCCUCAUCAAUCGGAGUAGAAGCUUGGCCAGUCUCCUUAUUUGCCAUCAUUUGAAUAAGAGCAUCCAAUGUGUCAAAUGUGUCUACACACCUAUUUUCCCAGUCAUCGGCUGUAAUCUUGUACCCUUUCUUUGUUACAUCUUUCACUGUUUCCAACUCGUCACUAUAUUUGUCUUCAAUGGAGAUAUCAUCUUCUGGAUCAUGAGGAAUAGAAGGUAGUAUGCAAUGGACCUUCAGCUGAGAAUAUUUCAAAAAAAGACCAAUGAGAAACAUAUUAAAAAGAAGAAGCCAAAUAAACUGAGAAACAUAUACUUGGAAAAGCUUACCUUUGUAUCAGCUUCAACCUGUAAAACCCUAUCAAGUGAUGGAUUCUCUAUCUCAGUGUAUUUUUCACACAAGUAAGUCGGCCCAGGAACCUCAACUGUUGGUACACACUUACUGAACUUAUUCCUUAGCAAAGGAAUCGACUCUAGUAUCCAAAGAAGGAAUACUAGAGGAUAACCUUGCAACUCAAAUUUGGAUUUAUUCUCCAAAUGAUUCGCGACAGCGUUUUGAAUUGACUUCAGGAGCACAAUGUAAGCCUCUUUUCCCCAUGGAUAUGUCAUAUCCUGUGCAUUUUUCGCAUAUUCCAAAGGAAAACUCCCUCCUUUGCUCUUCCGCAAUAAUAUGCUCUCUACCAGGAUGAGCAUUGCGAGGCAUAUUCUCUCCUCAGAAGCAUCUUCUCUUGUGUUUCUGAGCUGGUCCACCACGUCACUUAACUUAUGACUACGCCCCUUUAGCAAUUCCCAAUUAAAUCUCUCGGUUUCCCUUCGUGGUCCUUCUAAUGCACCACUACAUUUCAAGCCUGUCAUCAUAUGAAAUUCUCUUAUAGAGAACCUCAUUGGCUGCGCACCGAAAUGGAACCAGGCUUCAUUCUCCUUGACAGAAACGAUGCUUCUAGUGAGAAUGGCGUAGACUAUCUUUGCUGAUAACUUCAAUCCUCUCUCACUGAGCUUCAUUACAGGUCCCAGAAAUGAUCCUCGGACUCUUAUCAUCUCAUCUGGUUUUAGGAUGCUUUUGACAAUAGAGAUAUAAUCUGAACCAGAGUAUUGGUUGAUUGCUGACUUUUCUUUUGGCUGUGAACCAAUAGGAUACUUCAGCUCUGGCAGUGCUAGUUUUAGAGGUACUGAAUCUCCCAUCUUGUUUCUAUCCUGCGUAAACAAGGAAAAAAAAAAUUUCAAACUUUUCUGGAAGGCUUUCCUGAAAUAACACAAAUACAAAACAACACAAAAGUCUUCAUUUGCUUCGCUUGUUAAUAAGAACGAGUAACACACAAAUCAAAAUCAAAACGCAAGCUUCCCAAAUUUUAAUUCAAAAACCCUAAUUUUAAAAAGUUACCGAUUUUGAGAGUAGAGAGUGUGACGCUGAUGAUUAGAUAGCCGGAGAAGAUGAUUAUCGAGCCGGAGAAGAUGAUUAGCGAGCCGGAGAAGACGAUUAGCGAGCCGGAGAAGAUGAUUCCCGAGCCGGAGACUUCGAUUCCCGAGUCGGAGAAGAUGAUUCCCGAGCCGGAGACGACGAUUCCCGAGUCGGAGAAGAUGAUUCCCGAGCCGGAGACGACGAUUCCCGAGUCGGAGACGACAGUGCCGGUGAGGGUUUGAAGAUUCCCGAGAGGAGACGACACGAUUCGCGAUCGAAUGAAAUGAAAUGUUUUUUUUUUCUAUUCUUAUAACAAAGGGUAUAAAGGUAAAUUACCCCUUUAAUGAAACCUAUUUUUGUGACUUCUGAUCCUGAGUGCUAGUUUGGGGAGGAAAACUUCAAAAGGUGCUAUUAUUGACAAUUGCCCUUUUAAAAACGUGCAUCAUUAAAAUGUUACCUAAAACAUGCAACACUAAUAUAUAACAUGCAUCAAUAAAACUAGAAUUUGACUCACACAAUUGUACGGAUAUUAUUUUCAGUUGAUUAAAUUUAAAAAUAAUUAUUUAUUCAAAAAAUAUUUAAGAAUGGCUAUGUUUUUAAAACUUAUAUGGUAUUAUUUGCUCAUAACUCAUUUGUCAUUUGAUAAAUUGUUAGAAAUAAAAAUUUUAGCAUAAUAUAACUCAGUUGUCAUUUGCUAAAUUUAUAGUUUUUAUUUAUAUUUUUUAUUAUUUAAUUAUAAUAUUUUCAUUUUAUAUUUGAAAGAUAAAUGAAUUUUCUUUCAAACAAUAUUUUUGUAAAUGUAUUUUUUAAAAAAUAAUCAACUAAAAUUGUUAUUAUCAUUGAAUAUAAUUAUUUUUGACAUAAUUUGAGUUUUCGUUUACAUCAAAACUUAUCAUAUUUUAGGAUAAUUUUAAUUUAAAAUGUAAUUUUCAUAUUUUUCAAACAAAUUCUAAAAAUAUUUUUUUAAAUAUUUUGUUAUAAUUGUUAAAAAAAUAUUGAGUUGCAUUUCAAAUAAAAAGGUAAAGAUAUUAAAAAUAUUCUAAUUAAAAUAUGUAAAAUUUAAUAUAGUUUUAAGGAAAUUGUCAAAAUAAAAAAAAUUACACAUAAAAUAAUCAUGAUUUUUGUUAACUGGGCGGAUCAUUAUUUAUAUGAUAUCGCACACGAAAGAAAAAAAAAUUUAAAUUAUCUAAUUAACUCUAUACUCAUUUUAUUUAUAUUUUUAUAUGGUAUCAUACAUUCGUAAAAAAAUAGAUAGUUUAAGAUGAAAAAAAAUAUAUUUACUUAAUGAAUAUAAUAUGAACGAAUAUUACAAAUACAUCAUUUAAUAAAAUAAAUAAUUAAAAAGUGAAAAUUCAUACCCGCGCUGGCGCGCGGAUCAGGAUCUAGUUUUAAAUUAUUCUACAUGUUAUUUCCCAAUUCAAAGUUUCAAACCAUAAAACCACAUAAUCUUUGUGGUUAAAAAAAAAGAAAAAAAAAGCAUAGGCGAUGGAGAGGCAUGUUUUAACGAGGGUCAAGUUGGUUUUUAUUUGGUUAAUUGUUUUUGGUUCAAGUGUUUCGACUUUAAUUUAGGUUGUAAACGAAUUUUGGUUUACGUUGUAAACCAUUAAAUCAGUGAAAAGCCGGGUUUGUGUUUCAGUUUUUUGAAUUGGUGAGUAAUACGUAAAAUAACUUAAAAUAUGUGAAAUUAAGAUGAAGUUGAAAGUUUGUGUAUAAUUGUUAUUAUAUGAUAUUUUGUGGGGGAAUUAUGUCCUUUACUCAAAAACAUUUAUAUAAGUUUAUAAAUUCAACCCCAUUUCCUAAUCUUAAAACCUAAACAAUAAUCAAUAAUCUAAACCCAAAUGUUAAUGUAGUUUUGAUUGAGCAUAUCUUUUUAAAAUUAGUAGCCAAUUUAGAAUAUUUCAAACUUCUUAAAAAUAUUCUAUUGAUGUAAAUAUAAAGAUUAUCUAUUGUAUAUAUGAUUAAAUAUUGGUUCCAUUUUAUAUAUUAAUUCAAAAUUAAGAAUUAAAUUUAUAAUAUAAUAGAAACUUUGGGUUUUAUUGGUUUUAUUAAAUAUCAAGGUUCAUAAUCAGAGAUAGUGAAAAACUAAAUUCAAGUUCGAGCUUAGAGUGAGAGAUGUGAAAAUAAAAAUAGAAUGAUCAAAAUGUUAAUGAGGCAAAGUCUUGAGAGAAAAUGAGAGAAAAUAGAAUUUUUAGGUUGAAAUCUAUUUAUAGAUGUCUUAAAACGAGCUGGAUCCACCCAAUAAAGCUCGGUCAAACCAAUAAAAAGUGGUCUUUCCGUCUGACAUGGUCAUCCCACUAUAAGUAGGUCGCUACAACACUUAGUUGUGUGGGGCUUCUUGGGGAACCAUAGCGACAUGCUCUGGUCGCUACAGCUAUGGUCGAUACAUGGUUGAUAUGACUCCAGUAGAUAGAUCAUAACUCCUUCAAUACAGCUACAAAUGAUUUGAAACCCCGGCAUUGGAAAGCUAACUCAAUUGUCUAUAUCGUCCCGAAAUUCGAGCUUCAGAAGAGAUCUUUAAGGCCGUCAUCCAUGUUCAUCUUUUACCCUUUUGACUCAAAACUCCUCAAAUUCCCUCAAACUCACCAAUAAAUAUCUCCAAAACCUGAUAUAGACACAUGCAAUGCGAUAUAAAUAUGUAUAAAUGCAUCUCUAUAUGAUCAUUAUAUACAUUAAAUGAUAAUUUAAAAUCAUGGAAAUUUAUAAGAUAUCAACCCUCCCACACUUAUCAUUUACUUGUCCAUAAGUAAACUUUCAAGAACAAAGUGAGAAAGAGGUGCGAAGGUGGAAGCUCAUUACCAAAAGAUAUUUUUCAAAGCCGUCAACGUGAUAUCCUUACAAAAUCAUACCAAAUAUCAAGAGCAAAACAUCAUAUGAAACUCUAACUUCUCUAGGCUGAUACUACUCAAAUUACCCUAAGGAGUGAUUUUACUCUCUCAAAUAAGAAGUUCAAUUGUAGUACUUAGGGAUCGAAGCUACAGAGAGUUAGGGCACACAAUAGACUAUUAAAACCAAGAUUAAGCUAGGCAAAGCAGUAAAUCAAUGAAAGCAAGAUGAACAAAGUAGUUGUUCCAUUGGUUGAUUGAGGUUGUAAACAAUUAAGAGAAAUAGCUAGACCUAGGGAUUUAUCAAUCAAGAGAUUCAAAACUUCAAUUCAAGGAUGCUAAUGGUUUACAGAUUAAUUUUAGAACUUGAUUUUAAUAAGUAAGCAAUCCAGCUUUCACAUGCAAUUGCUAAUCAGAUGUUUAAGUCCAGUCUCAGCUGUCGCUUAUUGACUUGGGGCGAGUGUCGAUCGAUGCUAUGGCCUGAGCGUCGAUCGAUACUUCCCCAGACAAGCAUUAACGACCUAAUCAAUAUAGUUCAACUAGAUUCCUAGACCAAUUCUCGCAUGCGCCUAGGUAUCUAAUCCAGCAGAGUUCGGGUUCCGUUAAUUGAUUGCACUUUCGUGCCUCUCAACUAUCCUAUGAUUCUAGGUUCAAAUAAUUAGUCGCACUGUCGUGUUAUUCUAACUAUUCCAGAUCCUAGUAUUACAAAUCAUCCUGGUGUAGAAAUCUAUAGAUAAUAUAGCAAUCCUAAUUGAUCAGUUUGACAUUAAGCUCAUGAAAUCCCUAAACCUAACAAGAUGAAUUACUUAGACAUGCAAACAAUAACACAAAUCAUAGUCUGAAAAAUAUAAUAGAUAAAUCAAUGGUAAGACAAAUGGAGUUCCAAUCAAUAUCUGAAGGAGAAUUGAUCUUCUCUCUAAACCUAAGAAAAAACAAUAGAAUAGGAUAAUAGAAAGCUUGUUACCGUUAACAAUGAUUUAUAAAUAAAUACAUAAAUAGGGUUUCUGGUCGUCCAUGGGUAUUUUGGUAACUUGGUGUGGCUUCUGGGCUUCAAACGGUCUUGAAAAAUGCGUGUCCCACGUUCUGGCAUCACUGUCGAUCGACACUAAUGCUGUGUUAACGAUCGACAGUUAUUCAUCUCCUCGAUAGCUUCUUCUCGCGAGGCAGACUGACUACUUUUCAGUAAAACGGUCAUAACCUCUGCUGCAGGUUACCAUUGACCUCAAACCGAUGGAAUUGGAAAGCUAACUCAAAGCUAUAUUUUGUGUCAAAAGAUGGGCUCAAUAUAACGGUGGGAAAGUCUCCAUCUAUAGCUAAAUAUCUGACGUGUAUGUGCCGCUCUGCACAUCAAAAGGCUCCAAAAGACACCAAAAUCACCACAUUCCUCCAAAUCGUCCAUGAACCUGUAAAUACUCUAAAUAGACUCUAUAUAGUAGUAAAUAUAUGUUAAAACACUUAUAGAUCAUGGCUAAAAGAGGGUAAAAUCCAUGGUCUAUCAACUUCCCCAGACUUACCCUUUUGUUUGUCCUCAAGCAAAACAGACGGACAGUCUCUCUGAAAGAGGUUUGAAAACAGCAGGGACUCACAUGAUUUAAAACUUAAACUCAAAAAUCAAUAUUUAUAUCGAGCAAUAACCAAAAUGAAAAAAAAACGACACAAAAAUGAGAAAAAUAUUGAAGAUAUUUAGGAUUGGCACGUGAACGUAAACUUCUCAUAACCAUAAUUAACUUUUAAAUUGCUAAAUCAUUAUAUAAAACAGAACUCUCAUAUUUUCAUUGUAACCAAAUAGUAGAUCUGAGAUUCUCUCGUCUAAAUGUUAGGUUCUUAUGCGAUAAAUGAAUUUUUGACCUAAGAUAUUUUUAAAAUAGAAUCAGCUCAUCAGUAAACAAAUUAUAUAAUUAACAAAAAAAAAAUUUUAAAUGAUUUAAGGGCCAAAAUUUAUUCGAUCAAUAAUAUAAAUUUUAUUUUUCCAUACGAUAUUUCUUAAAUAAUUCGUCCUACGCAAAGCGUACGUCUUAUCCAAGUAUACUUAAUAUAUUACCAAAAAAAUGUAUCCACAAGAUAUUAAUUUUACAGAAUUUUCCCAUUUUAUGUCUGAUUUGUUUCAGUUUGAUUUUCCUUUAAAAUUUUAAGGCUACAAAAAUGGAUAUCACUGAAUUAAUUUACGUUGUGUUAUUUAUUUUUUUGAAACUCAUUUACGUUGUGUUAAGUCGUAGAACCAUAGAACCAGGCCCGGCUUAAAUACAUUAUGGGCCUUGUGCAGACAUAUAUUUUUUCCCAAAAAUUAUAAGGAAAAAAGUUUCAUAGCUACCCGAAGUUUACACUAAUAUGGUGAAAACCAUCCAAUAUAUGAAAAUAUGUCUACAACAACACGAAGUUUAUGUUAAUACAUGUCACAUGUACGAAGUAAAUAAUAAUAUGGUAGCAACAUCACAAUUGGGUUUAAUUAAUUUUAAGCUAAGUUAAUGGGGUCAAUCCGUGAUUUACUAAACUUAAUAAACUUAAUAAUUUAAUAAACUUAAUAAACUUAAUGGUUUAUUAAGUUUCAUAAACUUAAUUUAUUUUAUUAAUAAACUUUAACUUAAAAACUUAAUAAUUUAUUAUACUUAAUAAAUUUAAUAAACUUAAUGGUUUAUUAAGUUUAAUAAACUUAAUUGAUUUUAUUAAUAAACUUUGUAAUUUAAUAAACUUUAACAUAAUAAACUUAAUAAUUUAUUAUACUUAAUAAGUUUAUUAAACUUAAUAAUUUAAUAAACUUAAUAAACUUAAACUUAACAAAUUUAUUAAACUUAAACUUAAUAAACUUAAUAAAUUCAUUAAACUUAAACUUAAUAAACUUCAUAAAUUCAUUAAAUUUGUUCAAUUUAUUAAGUUUAAUAAAUUUAUUAAGUUUAUUAAUAAAUGAUUAAGUUUAUUAAGUUUAUUAAUAAAUGAUUAAGUUUAUUAAGUUUAUUAAUUAAUGAUUAAUUUUAUUAAGUUUAAUAAAUUUAUUAAUUUUUAUAAGUUUAAUAAAUUUAUUAAUUUUAUUAAGUAAGUUUAAUAAAUUAUUAAGUUUAUAAACAAAAUCAAUUAAGUUUAUUAAAAUUAAUAAAUCAUUAAGUUUAUUAAGUUUAGUAAAUUACGGAUUGGCCUCACUAACUUAGUUUAAAGUCAAUUAAACCCGAUUGUGAUGUUGCCACUAUAUUAUUAUUUACUUCGUACAUGUACAUGUGACAUGUAUUAACAUAAACUUCGUGUAGUUGUUGACACAUUUUCAUACAUUGGAUGCUUUUCACCAUAUUAGUGUAAACUUCGUGUAGUUAGAAAACUUUUUUCCAAAUUAUAAUGAUAUUUCCUUAAAUUUACAAAUUAGGACUCUGUGCAUGUGCACCUUGAGCACACCCCAAGAGCCAACACUGAAUAGAACCAAAUAAGAAAGAUUUCUGAUAAAAAGAUUGUAUGAUUAUUUAGGAGACUAGAUUCCAUGUUGUGUGCCGUGCUGCCGUGCUGAAAAUACUUUUAGUUUUAUAACCCAUGUUCAAAAACACGGCCGAGUUGGCCGACUUCGCGCCGGUCAAACGUAAUUCGGUGGUGUUUUGCCGCGAUUUUGUGUUAUUCGGGUAAAAACUCGGAUUAAAAAAAUAUACAUAUUUUGACAUUUUCCAGUUUGAAAUCGGUUCUUUAAGCAUAGAUCUAUCAUAUUUCAUUGUUACCGAUCAAGAAUUGAAGUUAAUCGUCGAAGAAAAAAAUGAUUUAUGUUAAAAAUAAAUGAAAAACGGCUGUUAAUUAGGGUUGGAGAAAAAACAGGUCGGGAGGAAAAUGAUGAAAGUAAAAUUACAAAUGUGUCUUUCAUUAAUGAAAUGUUUAAAGAAAGAGCAAAAAAAUGGACAUUUUUGGGAAUUGAACCCGGGAGAAGAGAACUAGUUUUUUUAAGGACUUGCAUGCAUGAGAUUCUACGCGUACAGUUUUACGAUGCAAGUCCUUACGGUACAUUGUAAAACUGUACCGACAUCGUCAAUGUUUAGUCUACGCGUACGGUUAUAACUCACUAGUUAUUUAUAUUAUUAUUAUUAAUUUAUUAUUAUGGCGGAGUCGUCACAUGCAUGCAUGAGAUUCAUUCAUUCAUAAUGUCACACUCACACACUAUCCAUUCCCCUUUUUUUUUUGGACUCUUUUUUUUUUGUUAUAAAGAAAAUAAAAUUCUUAAAGUGACAGACUUCACGGGUUACACUGUGUUACUACCCGCCAAAUUCUACCCGCCACCUUUUAAAUUUCAUUUUAGUUUCUUCACCGUCAAUAAAUCGUCAGGACAAAAUAAAUACUUUUACAUUUCAUUGUUUUAUCGUACCAAGUGUGGUCAGUAUCUCUAAUAAUUUUGAAGAAUAUUUAGAAAACUAGUUAGAUUAUAAUUUUCGACGAUGUUAAUAUAUAUGUCGAAGUAAAUAAGGUAAAAAAAAAUGGUUCGUUUAUGGUUUUAUAUGGCAUUUAAAUUUUGAAUAUUGACUAUCAGAUUCAGUAUAUCAUUUAGAAUAGAAACAAAAGUAACCUAAAACUUAUAGAUUGAACUUCUUUUCAGAAUGUAUAUGCAGAGCCGGUCCUAGUGUAUUUGAGGUUACAAGCUAAAAAAUAAAAAAUGGCCGAAUUUUUUUUUUUUUUGCACUAGGGAAUUAUCGAACCUUGCUCUUUCAGACUAGACAUAUGUUGAUUCAACCACUAGACUACACAAGUUUUUGAUAAUUUUGUGGCCGCUUUUAUAUUUAUAAAGUGGCGGCCGGAAGUCCAUGCUUCACCAGCUUGGGCCCAAGACCGGCACUGUGUAUAUGGCACUGUGUAUAUGCAUUUACAGCUUUAGUAUCCUUUGAAUUAUUAAUUAUCAAAAAAAAAUUGUAUCCUUUGAAUUAUCGAUUAUACUAGCCAGAAUUAGUACAUGCUGACCUAUUUACAUUAUAUUUGAAAUCCCAUAGUGAAUACGCGCACCAUGACUAGUAUUACUAUUAUUGUAUUAUAUUAUAUUUACAUUAAUAUGUAAUAUGAAAAAACUAUAAAGAGAAUCAUCAGUCACGGACAUCAUGACUCAAUCACUCUAAGCUAGAAUGCUAGAUACGGAAUAUCUUUCAGAAGCGUGGGACUAAAAUAUUACAAGAAAUAGCUUCGAACAAUUCACAGAAGCUAGCAUGGUGAAAAAUAAUCUUGAACCCAACAGACUACUUUUGGUCGGGAACCCCAAUAAGUUGGAACUUUGUUCAAGAUUUAUCAACCUAUAUUUGUAUAUGAAUAGUUGAAUAGUGUAUAUCCCAAGAACUGAUUCUCUUUUUCCUAUUUGUAUAGGCAAAGACAUAAACUAGCACCCAAGAGAACUUGCCUAUGAUCCUCUCUCUCAAAAAAAUGUGGACCUAACAAGGAAGGAACAAGACAAAAAGAGUGAGAACGAUUUUUUUUAUUAUAUCUUGUAACUAUAUAGAGAAUGGGAGGUGUCUCGUAAGUCAAGUAGUAAUGACAAAACCCCUUCAUAAAUUGUCUACCCACUGGGCACUACACUACAAGAACCUUUGGUUGCUCCCAUUGUUUUCACCUAUAAAUUACAAAUAUGACUAUGCCUAAGGUUCUUAAGAAACCUAAUAUAACGAAGGUUUAAGUUAGUGGCUUCUAAAAGCUUAGACUAUGCAUUCUCUAAUAUUGAUUAUAGACUAAACAUUGACAAUGUCGGUACAGUUUUACGCGUUGGCUUUAGAUAUUAUAAGGACUUGAUCUGAGGUUUAGUUAAAAUAAGGUGCAAGACAUAAGACAUGAUUCUUAAAAGGUACUAGCUUAAGACCCGCGCAAUUGCACGAGGUGAAUGUUAUAUAUAAAACUAAUUUUUAUCUAUUAUUAUUUAUUUAUAUUCAUUUACGUAUUAUGUAUAUAAUUAAAUUAGAGUAAGAACAUAAAUCAAAACAAUACAUCUUGUUUAUUUACGAUACUUUUUUGGUAAAUAAAUCAAAACAAUCAUUUUAUUUAUUUUCUAUGGUAUAUAACUAAAUUUCAGUAACAUGGACAUAGAUAUAUAGUAUAUUUUAAUAUAAAUAUUUAUUAUUGAAAAUUCAUACUCAUAUGAUAAACACAAAAUUUCUAAUGUGCGAUUUUUUAAUGCAAAUUUUAAAAUUUAAAUAUUAAGGUUUCAAUACUUUUUCAAUAUAAAUUUAGAAAUUAUCAUAUUUAAGUAUUAUUCUAUGUUAUAUAGUUUAAUUUUAAACUAUAUUAUUAUAUAAUAUGAAUGUCUAGCAAAUGAGACUUCAUAUUCAUACGAUUUAUGAUCAUUUGUAUCUUGUUAUUACCAAAACAAAGUUAAACCAUUGAUCACAAAAUUUUAGUGUGAGACAUUUAACGUUUUUAAUAAUUUAUAGUCGUUUUAGAAAUUCAAAAUAUAACAUAUAUUUUUUUAUUAUUAUUAUAUGGUUAAUGUUGUUGUUUAAUAUUUUUUAAUAAUAUAAAAUUAAACAAAAAAGAGCUAAGAUACAAAAUUUAUUAUCAAAUAUUUAUUAUUCAUAAUCAUUAAUUAUCAUAUAUACAUUAAUCAUAUUAAGCAACUCCGUAGCUUUUAUUUAAGGAAAGUGCGAGAAUAUUAUUUUGUACACUAUUUAUAAAUUUAAUAGUUAGUUUAAUAAAAAAAUAUAAUAUAAGUUAAGAUAAACCAACCUAUUUUUCUAUGAAUUCUGAAAUUCAUUCUCAUGGUCACACGUGACUACAAAAUAAUGUUGUAAUGUUUCACAAUUAAUAUAUAAAAAAGAUUAUUGGCAUGCUUCACGAAGCUAAUUUUUGACCAAAUAUGCAAAUAUAAACUAUGGAAAUUUCUUAGGAACAUACUAGUAAUGAAAAUCAUUGGAGAUCGUACUAUCGUUAUUCGUUACUGAUUCUUUUGCAAAAAUAAACAUAUAAGAAAUGAUUAUGCUAGUUUAUGUUGCUGAGUGCUACAGUUUAUGGGUCUGACCGGUGACCAUUCAUAAAACAAGAGGAACAACAGAAAAAGAAUAUACCGGAAAAAAAUAGCAAGAAUGAAAGUGAAUGGUUAUUGCUUCUCAAAUUUAAUAAGGAAUAAUUUUAUUUUUUAAUUUUCUACAAAAAAAAAGAACGAAAAAGAAUGAGAUAGAAUUAUUAUUCCUUGUGAAUGGUGAUUUUUUAUAGGAACGUUAGAGAAUGCAUUAUUUCCCAUCAUUUCUUGGUCACCUUUCGUAAAAUAGUGUUGUUUUUCUAAUUAAGCAUUUUCAUGUUUUUGUUUUUCUAAACAUUUUCAUGUUGUUUGUUUUUCUAUACAUUUUCAUGUUACGGUAUAUAUAGGCUGAGCAUGUCCAAGCUAUUCAAAAUUAACCGAAUCGUGGAACAGAUCCAGUAACUAGCUAAUUCAUAGUUCUAUUAAAAUUGAGGUUAAGUAUAUAAAAGAAAAAAAAAACAAAGAAAUGAAUAGUAACAAAACUAGAGAGAGAACAGAAAGGAAUAGAGAUUUUGCCGAAACUUUUCUAAGUACAGUGUCUGAGUAUUUUUUUGGUAAUCAUGUUAAAUCAGUGUCUGAGUUCUUCAAACCUUCUCAGACUUGUCGUUUGUAAUUAAUCAUUAUCUGGCCGAUUAAAAAUGAUUAACGUAUUUGAUUUCGUGUUUUCCGAAUGCUUUCACACUAACCAAUUACAUUUUCACAAAAUUUACAAAUAGGUUCGUAGAGCAUGCAGCCAUGUGAUGAGCACAAAAGUGAACAAUUCUUUAGCAGUUUACUUAUAUCAACGUAAAUAGCGAAUGUUAUUCCUAAAUUUCCCUGAAAAGAUAAGAAUCUACGACUACAAAGAUACGCCAAUUUAGGAAAGUAUGACAAACCCUUUAAUUUCGUUUUGGAACUAAGUGACCUUAUACCUGCUUAAUAAAAUCUAAUAUUCCAAUCAUCUAAUCACAGUUUGGUGCUUACACUAUUAAAAAUAAACAAAUAUCGGCGAAUACUUUUUCUAUAAAAGGGUGCACACUAUCAUAUACCUACUUACUAAGUCGUUUACACAACCCAAACCCUCAUUCUAAGAGAUGGGGUCUCACACACAAAACCUCUCUUUUCUUAUCCUCCUUCUCCUAGGCUUCCUUGCUGUCUCAUUCGCUUGCGAAUGUAGCCCUCCUAAACCAUCUCCGAGACCCCACAAACCGCCUAAACAUCCCGUCAAACCGCCUAAACCACCAGCAGCCAAACCACCAAAACCACCGGCAGUAAAACCUCCUAAACCCCCCACCAAACCUCCCACCCUUAAACCACACCCCCACCCUAAACCUCCCACCGUUAGACCACAUCCACACCCUAAGCCCCCUACCAAACCUCAUCCCAUCCCAAAACCGCCCACCGUUAAACCACCACCCUCCACACCCAAACCGCCCACAAAACCACCCACCGUUAAACCACCUCCAUCCACCCCUAAGCCGCCCACCAAACCACCCACCGUCAAACCACCACCCUCCACCCCAAAACCGCCCACCAAGCCACCCACCGUCAAACCACCUCCGUCCACCCCUAAACCACCUACCCACAAGCCACCAACAGUGUGCCCACCGCCAACACCAACACCAACCCCACCUGUUGUAACGCCACCAACACCACCAACACCAACUCCACCAGUCGUUACGCCACCAACACCAGCCCCACCUGUUGUAACGCCACCAACACCAACACCACCGGUCGUAACGCCACCGACACCAACCCCUCCUGUCGUAACACCUCCAACACCACCGGUCGUAACGCCACCGACACCAACUCCUCCUGUCGUAACACCACCAACACCACCGGUCGUAACGCCACCGACACCAACCCCUCCUGUCGUAACACCUCCAACACCACCGGUCGUAACGCCACCGACACCAACCCCUCCUGUCGUAACACCACCAACACCAACUCCACCUAAGCCAGAAACGUGCCCAAUCGACACGUUGAAGCUAGGCGCUUGUGUAGACGUUCUUGGAGGUUUAAUUCACAUCGGGCUUGGUGGAAGUAGCGCCAAGAAAGAGUGUUGUCCGGUUUUGGGAGG
rnacentral:lncRNA from 1 species